UUAGUAGAGUGCUUAGGAUCACUCUCAGAACUCUACUUGAAAGGUUUAUCACUACGAGAGAUAAUCAUUCGAUCGUUGAUCAUGAUCAUUCGUAAAGAUUCAUUAAUGAAAAAUCAUUUGUUUAUCCGCUGCAUUUUUUCUUAAUUUAUCUUCAAAAACAACAUAAGAGAAAAUUUUGAUUGUCUAACAUUUGUUGUAUGUUAGAAUUUUUUUUUAAUACAUUCAAGAUAAUCUAUCAUAUCCAAAAAUAAUAAAGUUCUACAAAAUUGAAGAGGAUGUGUUUUGAAUUUCGUUUAACUAAUGUUCGAUAGUAAAGCAAUUACAUGAAAAGAGAAGCCUAGAAUCAACAAAUUCGAUGAAGAAAGAUAGAAGGAUCAUUUUUAAGUACAAGGACAAAGAGUGUAUCUUGUACAACCAUAAGAGCACUUGAAAGAUUUUGGUCGGAAGAACCAUCAUUUUCCUAAAGAAGGUAAAAAAGUAGUUGGAUAAGAAAGAAUAUAUCUAAAUAAUACAAUAAAAAAGGAUAAUUUGGAUAAGAAAAAACUUGUGUAAAAAUUACGAUUAAAAUAGGGUGCUUGGAUGAAAAUCUCGAUAAUAAAGACUAAUUAGGCAAGGUGAUCUCUAAAUAAAUAAUAAAAUCUUAAUGAACAUUGAUCCCCAUCAAACAUUUUUCCAUCAAUGUGUAAAUAUGAAUAAAGAAAACAAAAUUUCAACCUACCAAUUAUGUAGCCAGACCUAAUUUCCAUAUAAAAAUGUUAGGUCACGAACAUUACAUCCCAAGUUCUAGAAAUUAAGGUAAGUUAUAGUUAGAAAGUUGCAAACAAGAAAAUUAUAUAAAUAUAGUAACUUUAUUUCACUCUAUAUAUAGAUGUAGUUACACAUUACACACAUCGCAUAAAUAAAAUAAAAUAAAAUAAAAUAAAAAAGAACCAACCACAUUAAAUUAUUUCUCAACAACCUUAAAACCAAAGCAUUUGAUUCCUAAUGUUUAAUUUCUUCCAUGUGAUUAGCAGCAUAUUGAUUAAUGAGUGAAAGAGCAUUACUAGUAAAUUGAGCAAUAUUAGCCAUUCUAGAUAUAAUAGAGGCUUUGAUUAUUCCAUCAAGUGAUUUUCCACUAAAUCCAUCUCCACAAGUGGUUUCAUCAGUCAAAGCUGAGCUAACCCAUGUCUCCACAUUGCUUAUAUGCCAAUUGAAAUCUUGACCAUUGAUCUUGCAAAGUUUAAGCUCUUUCAAUGAACGGCUAAGCCUAUCAACACUAUCACUGAUUUCUUCAGCACAAUCACGAAGAGCAGCAUAUUCUCUUUGUUUAAGAUUUUUGAAUGUAUUGCACAUUGUAACAAAGCCUUUUGUGGUUUGAGUUUUGUUGAGGCUAAGUGAUAAAGCUGUUUCGGCUAAUUGGUGUGGAUCUUGUUGGAUUAUUGUUGCAUAGACAGAAAGAGAUUCAAGACAAAGUGUUGGGUAUGGUGUUGUGCUACAUGAGGAUUUGAUGAAACUUGUUGGUGUUGGUGUUGAUGUUGCCAUUGAGAGUAGAGUUAGGAGAAGGAACAGAAGGGUAAACUUCGCCAUGUUGGUUUUGAAGGUUGAUAUUUGGUAGAAAGAAAACAUAAUAUUUUGUGGUUGGUUGUGAUUUGUGAGAAUCAGAGUAUGGAUAUAGAAAUUAUAUAGUGAUAUAGGUGGGACUUGGAGUUGUGACUUACAAGUAAAGAGUGAAGAAUUUACUUUAGACCUUUUUUUUUUUAUAAGCACUUGUAUUAAUACGCACAAGGGGUGCAAUCCAAUACAAAGGGACACAAGUUAUAAUCCAAUGAAAUUAGAAGGAUUAACAAACCAUAAUUCUCUAUUAAUAUCUAUACUCCCUUUAAACAAUAUAGAAAACCAAUCCCACCCAAUUGAUUUAAUAAUCAAUAAAAUCUCAAGACUUGACUAAGUUUCCUUUGUAUAUAUAAUUAAAGUUUCAAAAUUUUCAUUUUCCCCCUCAUUUCUCUUUCAAGUUAAAUGUGCACAAUUUAACUUUGAGUAAUCUAGUAUCUUUUCAUUUCUUUUAUCAUCAUCGAUUACAUAAUACUGAUAUGGUAGUAUGUUAGAUGUCUCACCGGAACAUAUUCGAGUGAGUGAUUGGUUAUGCACUUUAUCGGAUUACUUUUGUUUGUGUAAGCUGAUAUGAUAUAUUUUUUAAAAUUUAUUUGUAUUUAUGUUUUAUUAAUAUACUUUUACUUAUGGCACGAUGUGGAGGACACGAUGGUAGGAUAAUUUAGUGUGGACGUAGAGGACGAGAAGAUUUUCGAGCUCAGUUAGCAAUUUAUGCAUACCAAGAUGAAACAACAUCAUUUUUUCAGGGUCGUACUACACGUCUCUUCUAAAAUGGUACGAACAUGUUGUUACAUAGAAAGGCAAGUAAUUCAUUUUUAUUCGUUUUAAUAAUAUUUUGUUUUUAAGUUUUAUUAAUUAUUUAUAUUUUAUAUGUAUAAUUUAAAUUAUUUUCAUGAGCAAGGUUUAAAGAAAGAAUUAAAGAUUCUAGCACAUGAAAAGAAACGAAUAUAUUAGGCUCCCUUGUAUCACCCACCUGUGAUACAAGGUUUGGUGGCUUUGUUCUAACUUCACUCCAACGAGAUAGUUGGAGGAUGAUUAGUCCAAACCUUAUUUCAUAUUUAUGAAGAGGUGGCAUCCAGAGACAUCAUUAUUUCUUAUGCUAUUUGGUGAAAAGACGAUUACUCUUUAGGUAGUUUCAUGCAUACUUCACAUUCUGAUCAUGGAUGAUUUCGACGAUCAUCCAACGCGUAUCAACGAAGAAGGUGUUGAUGCUCUUGAUAUGGAGUUAUUUAGGGGGUGACCAUACAAUAGGCUACACAAGAGACUCAUACUUUUAAGGGUUCAAGUUACAUGCUAGAGUGGCUCAAUAUCUUAUUUGAGAGAAAUCGAGGUCUUAGUCAGUUCAACUUUGCUGCUAAAGCUUAUUUUAAUGUUGCUGGUAAGGUGCGUUAAUUUUGUGGAUAAGAGUUUUACUUUUGUAGAGGAAAAAUAUCUAUCGAUAUUUAGGAAGUUGAAAAUCUACUGUAGAUAUAAUUUGGGUGUAGUUGUGUUGGGCACCUUUACAGAUUUUUAGGAGAUGAGUUAUGUUUACUUGUGAGCAGCUUGAUCGCCAGAUAUGCCACUCUGAUACAUAUAUUUUUGUUAUCUACUUAUUCAUUUACUUUUUAAUUUUAUUAUUAAUGUUAAAUGUGGGUUUUAAGGUUGGGUCCCUAAGCCAUGAUUUCUAUCAGUUGAAAGUCUCAACCGAGAGAAUAAAAAAAUUAUAAAUAAAUAAAAAAUAAGAAAGGUGCCCAUUAAAAAAAAUUAAGAAUGAAAAAGGUGGCUUUUGAGACUUGGUUCCCGAGCCACAUUUCCUAUCGAUUGCUUGAUAUUUGUUUUUUUAAUUAAAAAAGUGGCACGCCCAUGGUGUAUACCUCAUAUAUAGUUCGGUUAAGGUGAAAGUCUUAUCAUAAAAUAUAUUAUUUAUUGUAAUGGUGAAUUGAAAAGUUAAAAGCUAGUCUUUUUGUCUUACCAAUGAGACUUUUAUACUACAAGUGUGUUGGAUGUCAGGGUAAUGAAUCUAGUAAUUUUCAUGUUAAAUAAAAUUAAGUCUUUUAUUUUUGUCCCAAUUUCUUUAAUGUGAGAAGUGACAUAACAUUUAGGAUAUAUGAUCAUCCAUCAAGACAUAGUUUAACAUCAUGCCAUUAAGUAAAACUUUGGUAUAAUUGUUUCUAUACAAAAAAUACUCGAGCGUCUAAACGCUCGAAAUAGACACAGAGUCGCCACCGAAUUUUAUUUAUUUUUAAAGAAAGGUAAAAUAACGAUAAAACCUUAAAAAAUUAGGAUAAGUUUUCCACCAUAACCAAAUACGGGUUCGUGGAUUGGUUAUGCGAGGGGAAGAUAUUAACACCUCACACAUCUGUUGUACUCAACAGGAACCGUUUAGUUAGCUAUGCUUAAAUGUAUGCUUAAAGGUUUGCUUCUUCUUAAUGGUUGCUUUUAUUUUUAUUUACAGGAAAUGAGUUAAAGAAAAAAAGUUAGCUUUUUGUUAGUGUGCUUGACAAGAUUUUGAAAUCUUACUCCUACGUAUUCUCGGGUGCAAUGGAAAACUCAAAGCCUCGUAGUUUGUGGUAGAAAAUGAGUGUUUGUUGGUUGUUUUUAAUUUAGGAAAAUGUUUCGACGCACGGCGGUGAAAAAAGAUUAUUUGAGUGAUUUGAGAUUAAUUUUAAGUGUUUUAAGUUUGAAUGACCGAACGAUACAACGUACGCCAACCAAUCGGUUACUCGAGGAAAGUCUGGAUGUACAUCCAUCCCAUCCAAUUAUUUGCAAAAAGUUGAGUUAAUUUGAUUGAGAAAAUGUUUGAUAUUUGACUAACUUUGUGUUACUGGCCUAUGUAAAAACUUAUACAAGUUAAUGAUAAUGGGUGACGAUCUAAAUUGUUUUAUUUACAAACGGUGCAAAUUUACAAAUUUAAAGAACCUAAUAAAUUAAUUACAAGACUAGUGAUCUAACAAGAUAAUUAAAUAUAAGUUAAAUAAUUAACUAGGAGGAAAAAAAAGAACAAAACAAGUUAGGAAAUAAAUAAAAUAGAAGUAAACUAGAAAUAUUAAGGGGAAUGCAAACUAAAUGGAUGGGUGGUGAGAAUAGAAUGGAACCAGGGACCAAAUGGCCAAAAACUCUCAAUUUUAAUAAAUAAAUAAAUAACAAAAAAAAUAAAAAAAUAAAAGAAAAAUAAAAAUAAAAAACGAAAUGAGGAGAGAAAGAAACACAAUUUCUCUUCUUCUUCCUCUAAUCCCUCUUCAAACUCUCUCUACCAUUUUCACCAUUUUUUACAAAAAUCAUGGAACAAAUCUAAGUAAACACGAAACUGAAUACAACAAACACUAAUCCACAAACAAAUUUUAACAAAAUGUCAAGAACACAAGAAAACUCACAAAUCCGGAUCAGAAAAAGCAACCAUAGAUGGUGAUGGUGGUGAUGACUUUGCGACGUUCGCGAUGGUGCAGUGUGUGGUGUUGUUGUUUUGUAUUGUUUAUGUUGUGUUUGGAAAUAUAUAUGAAAGUGGUGAUUGAUAUUGAUGAAGGUUAAAGGUGGUAGAAGUUUGAUGAUUAUUGAGAAAGGUGAUAGAUUUGGGACUUAUUGAUUUUUUCUUUGUGGAAUGACUUUUUUCUCUACUAUGAAAUUUGACUCCUAUUUAUACUAAUUUUCAGGUUAACAUAAAAGGAAAACAAUUUACAGUGACAAAACAUGACCAAUUAAAAAUAAGCAUUAUAAAUUGUGACCAAUUAGAACCACGUAUGACACAUUGCAAUCCUUUGAAUAAGUAUGACACAUGGCAACAAAUUAGAAACAAGGAUGACAAAUUGCAACCAAAUAGAAACAAGUAUGACACAUUCCAUCCAAUUAGAAACAAGGAUGACAAAUUGCAACCAAUUAGAAACAAGGAUGACAAAUUAGAAAAGAUUAUUUACAUUAUGAUUUUUUUUGUUAUUUUUUCAUUAUUUUUGUGAUUAAAUUUUAAUUAAAAAAUAGCUAUUUAAAAAAAUACGAAAAUAAUAUUAAAAUACUACAAAAAAAAUCAACAUUUUACUUUUUGUUGACUUUUUUACUUUUUAAUAAAAACAUGAAUAAAUAAUAAUACCAAUUAGAAACAAUGUAAUCAAACUGAGGAGUAAGAGAUCUCAGUACCUUCUCAAUGAUAAUUUCUUUAGAGAGAGUUUCUCCACACGACUUCAUCUCAUUUGUGAUCAGAAUCACUCUGAAGAUGUAGUCAGGUAUCUUCUCAUUGUUCUUCAUGUUGAGAUUCUCAUACUACUUACGUAGUGACUGAAGCUUCACAUUCUUCACUGAUGCAUCACCGCCAUAUCACUGCACCAGUGUGCCCCACACAACUUUCGUCAUCGUCAAAUCAUCGAUUUUCUCAAACACGUUCACAUUCACCCACUGAUUGAUGUAGAAAGAGCCUUUUGAUCCUUCUUCCUCAAAUCACACUGAGCAUUUAUCUAUUCAUCUGUUGCAUUUUCUGGAAGUGCAACCUGAACGUAACUGUCGUUGAUGAGAUCAAGAACAUCUUGAGCUUCAAACAACACACACAUCUGAAUCAUCCAACGAUUUCAGUUCUUACCAUCGAACACGGGAAGCUUGGUACUUAGAUUACUGUUUCCGUUCAUCUUCAACCUUGUGCAACACACUCAGAUCUCACCUAAACAUAGUGUUUACCAAUCCUGUAGAAUCAAAAUAUGUGAUUCUGUUAUGAUUCUGAACAGACAUUCAACACGAAUUCUCCGAACAAAAAUCAAUCACACAACGCCUCACCGUUUCACUCGUUAUUUAUGUGGCGUUUCUCUGUUAAUCUGAACCGAAACUCUAGAUGCCAAGUGUUGGUGCACAAGGUGAUAUAGAUGAACAAACAAACAAGAGAGAGAAAAGAGAAUAAUAAUAAAUUUCCACUACUCUUGAAAUGGUUACAAAAAAUAGUUGCACACACACUGCAAAAGGAAUAAAGAUACUAUUUAUUCACACCACUCACUUGCUUAAAUACAAGUGGGACAUAAUGAGAAAUAUUAAAAUACCCUCUAACAAACUUUAUUCUAACAAUAUAUAUAUAUAUAUAUAUAUAUAUAUACUCAUUAUAUUGUUUACACAAAAUAUUAACAAAUUAAUUUGUUUAAAAACUAAAUUUUUUAUACAAAAUAUUAAAUUGUUUACACAAAAUAUUAAAGUAAAAAUUUUAUCUUUCAUCGUCAUCACUGUCGGUGAAGAACAAAUGUUGGAUAUCUUGGAGAACAACAAAUAUUGGAGAUCCUCGUUUCAUUGAUCUUGAGGAAGAUCAAAUGUUGAAUGCAAUAUAUUCUCUAUGACUUUUACAUUCAUUUGUUUCUGAUAUAAAAAAAUGUUAGAUAAAUAAAAUAAAUAUUCAGUUAUAUGAUUAUUUAAGAACACAAACCUUGAACCUAUAUAAUUUUCUGCUCUUGUAACCCAUCACAUGAAUCUUUGGCAAAGUAAAUACAUUCUCAUCAAUCACAUAUUAAAUAAACCUAAAUAUUUUCUUCUCUUUCAAUCUAUCACAUUGAUACUUUUACUUUGUAAAAUCUAUCACUACAACGUUUAAGUUUCUUGUGGAUUCACUAUUAUCAAAUUUUAAUAUUCAAAAUGCUUUUAUAAUGAAGAUUUUAGGUUUCACGAGGAUCGCUAAUGACUAUGUCUUGAGAGUUAAUACUCAUUAAAUGGACAAUAAAAUUUUGUUUAAGGAUGGUGAAGAAAUUGAGUAAACACGCUUAUAUUUUACCUCGGUUAUUACUCAAAACCAACGUAAAAUGUGUUCCAACCCAAGUGUCACAUACCUCUCGAUUUCUGUCAAAAACCGAGGGAAAUUUUUUUUUUUAAUUGUUUACGCAGAAUAUUAAAAUAAAUUGUUUAAACAAAUCAAGAGUUUGAUAAUGGAUUCUUAGAGAACAACUUAUUUUUUCAAAUUUCUGAUAAGUUAUCUGUUCUAAAUAAGAGGAAAAAAAUUGUACUUGCAAGUCAUCCCAAAGAGAUUUCAUUAUCUUGAGCAAAUAUUUUUAUGCCAAAUGCUUUCAUAUGAAAGAGAACAUGAAAGAGAAAUUGAUGAUUAUGUUUAGGAAUAAAUUUUUAAAUAUUGUCAACCGAGAAAAAUAAUAAAUUUCUCAAUAUUUUCUUUGAUUGACAACAUAGGAAUGUUAUUACAAAAAUAAUACAACAACAUCAACAUCAUUAUGUGAGAUAGAUUGCAAUGACAAAAAAAAUAUUUCAUUUAAUAUUGAAGAACAUUGGAGUUUUUUUGUCUUACAAUCCAUCCCAAAGAAUGAUGCGUAAGACUUUGAAGCGGAUACAUAUAAGUUACGUUUAGGGUAAAAUCUAAUUAACAAACGCUUUUACAGUAAAAUAUGAUAAUUUAAUCCUUCAGUUAUUAAAUAUAAUCGAAAGAAUGGAUAAUUAAUUUAAAAAAUAAAAAUAAAAUAAAAAGAAAGACAUCACUUUUAAAGAAAUAAAAACAUAAACGGCUGAUGAUGAGAUUCGAAGCAUGUCCUGAAAUAUUUUUCCUCUCGAUUUUAUAUAGAAACUUAGGGAAUAUAUAAUAUUUAUUAAAAAUAAUAUAAAACAUGGUGUGUCUUGACUUUUUAUCUCGAUUUUUGGUAGGAUGUAGUAAAAAUUUUAUCAUAAAAUAUAUUAUUUAUAUUAGUGUUUUUUUCUUUUUAUAUCUUAAGAUUGUUAUUUAUCCGGAAGAUAACCUUGUUUGAGAAUUUGUCUUUUGUAGUUUAUUUUGUACAAUUUGGAACCAUCAAGAGAUUGAGAAUAUCCAGAAAUAAAAAGGUCCAUAUCUUUUUGGUCUCAUUGAUGUUUGAAUGAACAAAAUUGGUCAUCAGAAUUUUAAUCCCGGAAGAUUGUGAGGUUUGGCAGGUUUGUGGAUGGUAGAGGUGGAUGUGAAUUUAUACUUAAAGUUAUUGUUUGGAUUGUAUUUUAAUUUUUUUAAAUUUUUUAUCAAUCAUUUGUCAAAAUGAAAUUGUAAUGCAUCAAAUAAAAUCUAUAAAUACACCUAUAGUUAGAAUUAUGUAUCCAUCUUACAAAAGUCAAUCAAAAAUUACAUUUUUUUAAAUAUUAAUUCAAAAAUAUAAGUAAAAAAUAUAUAAGACCUUUUUAAAACAAAUAUCUUUUUAUUCUUAGAAAACAACAUAAUAUUUAUAGCGUCGAGUUUCUUUCAAUUUAAAUUGCAUUCAUUUAUAAAUGUUGUUUUUAUAUAACAUAUGAUAACAAUAAUUAAAUAAAUAAUAAAUAUGUUUUAAUUAUAUUUAGAGUAUGUAAUAAUUUGUAAUUAAAAAAUUAUAAUUUAAAUGACAAUUGAGUUAUAUUUAUAAAUAUAAAUAAAAAUAAUAAUUCAAUCUAAAUGCGUAAUUAUGAACAAAAAUAAAUAAUUAUGAUACUAAUAAAUGCAUAGUUAAAAAAAAUAUAUCAUUAAUAUAAAUACUUUUAUAAAUGAAAAUAUAUAUUAUUGAUAUAAAUAUUUUAUAAAUAAAAUCUUUUUUUUCUGAAUAUUGUAUUGUUGAUACAAUAUUAAAAAGCAAUUAUUAAAAACUAAAAUUUUAAAAAUGAUUUUAAUUUUUUAAAUAAAUAAUAUAUAAGUGAUACGCAUUCACAUCAAAUAAUUUUUUUUUAUAUUAUAUCUUAAUAUUAAAAUUUAGGAUAACAAACUAAUAUAUCUCAGUGUGCAUAAUAACUAUUUUAUUUUAAUUAACAAUUAUCUUUUUAUGAGAGUCAAAAAAUUUAUUUUUAAAAAUCAUAAUUUUUUUUCUUUAUCUCACAAAUUUAUAUAAUUAUUUAAUACAAUUGAGUUUAUUUAAUCAUUAUUUAUUGCUCAUUCUAUAAUUAAAUAAUUUAUUUCAAAUUUACCUGUGUAUUUAGUACAAUUUAUUACAAAUUUUAUAUUAAAUAUUCCACUACAAUUAUAUAAAUGAGUUAAAUUUUAAAUAAAUUCAUUCAUAUUAUAAUUAUAUUUUUCUCCUUCUACCGCGUUUCUUUCCUAGUCUUUAUUAAUCCGGUAAGAUCCAACCAAUUACUUUUGAGUGUGAACACUUUACUUUAAGAAUAGCAAACAGAGAACACGGCAUGAACUCUUGACUCUUAAGUCACAAGCCCAAGCCCCACCUUUAUGAGUAUACCUUAAUGAGUAUAUAAUAUCUUGAUCCAUAAAAAAACAUUAAUUUUUUAUUCUUUUUCGAAUCAAAAGGCUCAUUUCUUUUUUAUAGAUUUUACGUUAGAUAUGGUACUUCGAUUUUUAUUAUAACAACAAUCAAUACGUUUUAUAUUUUUUAUUUACUCAUUGUUUAUCUCAUUCACUUCUCGAGUUCUGACGAAAUAACACUUCUUCUCUAGCAAACGAAAGAAUACUUAUUCUUCAAGGAACCUUAGGGGACGAAAAAACAUUCUCACCAUUAUUCUCUAGUAUGUUAUUAUUGUUGUUUGUUGGUUCUAUGUAUUGGCAUCAAUUUUGGUAAAACCUAAAGUCUUCACAAGUUGUCACAAGUGUUGUCUUGACAUGAGAUAAUAGGUUCCUGCAGGGUGUUUAAAAUAUGGUUGUGUAGGAUUUUGUUGAGAUGUCAGACCCGAUGUCAAGACAUCUGUAUACAGAACAUUCAGUCUGAAUGUUAUGUAUUGUGUGAUUGCGCUUUUUAUGUUAAUCGAUGUGUGAUUGAUGAGAUGAUUGAACGCGCCAUUCAAUCAGUAACUAAAACCAGAUUGACUUAUUUUCCAACAAGAUAUAAUCAGCUGUCAUAAGAAGAUACGAAUGGAAAAUACUUUUAGGGUUUUAUGAUGUCCAAGCCCAGCCAAACGCUUCUAUAAAAAGGGCAUGGAAAACCUGGUUUUAAUACACAAGAAAUAACGAACGAAAUAGUGAGAGAGAAUAAGGGUUUCAGUCUUGUGUGAGCGUGUGUAUGUGAGCCAUUCAUUCAUCCAUAGAUGGUUGAAUUGGACUGACUUUUGAGUUGUAAUUUGUCCACUUUAAGCUUUGAAGCAUGAGUGUGUGUUUACUUGGUUGAAGCUUUUAAGCAAGAUCAAGUAUGUGUUCUUGAAGAGCGUCUUCUUUCAUUAUAAUAUUUGUUNNNNNNNNNNNNNNNNNNNNNNNNNNNNNNNNNNNNNNNNNNNNNNNNNNNNNNNNNNNNNNNNNNNNNNNNNNNNNNNNNNNNNNNNNNNNNNNNNNNNGGAUAGUCUUCCUGGAAGCCAUAGCCUGCUCACCUGUUCAAAGCUUGAUUCCUAAGUCCUUGAAAUGGUUAGUAUGAUGAUGCUAUGAUGUUAUGAUGUUAUGAUGUUAUGAUGUUAUGAUGUUAUGAUGUUAUGAUGUUAUGUAAGCACAGACAUGUCACACAACAAUCAUUCCUAGGUUUUAGGGCUUGCAUGAGUUCCACAGGUGAAUACCUUCCCCACUGAAGUUUGGUUGGUUCAACCUGUCCUAGAAUAGUAACCGGGUUCUAGAAGGAUCUCAAAUCAUCGACCUUUCCUUAAGUCCACUUCAGCGCAACACCCAGUGGUUGACCGAAGCUUCCCUAAAGUCCAAUCUCAAAGAGUGUAGUAUCGAGUAUCAACCAACCUCAGUCCGAACCGAAGCCAGUUAUCUCACUACUUUCUAAUGGCUAGGAUGAGUCAAUUAGGGUUCUAAAGGUCUGGUUAAUGCUUCAAUGACACCACGCGGAAGCCAAAUUUUUCCUCAAGUAACGUGAGGAACAUCAGGACAACCAAAGUAUCACAUUAACCGUAGCCAUCAUUUUAACCAUUCCAGUAUACGCCGGAUAGUCGCGAUGAUCUAUUGCUACUUACCUAAGGUACACUAGAUCCGGGUGUAGGAUCUUUCACUCAANNNNNNNNNNNNNNNNNNNNNNNNNNNNNNNNNNNNNNNNNNNNNNNNNNNNNNNNNNNNNNNNNNNNNNNNNNNNNNNNNNNNNNNNNNNNNNNNNNNNNNNNNNNNNNNNNNNNNNNNNNNNNNNNNNNNNNNNNNNNNNNNNNNNNNNNNNNNNNNNNNNNNNNNNNNNNNNNNNNNNNNNNNNNNNNNNNNNNNNNNNNNNNNNNNNNNNNNNNNNNNNNNNNNNNNNNNNNNNNNNNNNNNNNNNNNNNNNNNNNNNNNNNNNNNNNNNNNNNNNNNNNNNNNNNNNNNNNNNNNNNNNNNNNNNNNNNNNNNNNNNNNNNNNNNNNNNNNNNNNNNNNNNNNNNNNNNNNNNNNNNNNNNNNNNNNNNNNNNNNNNNNNNNNNNNNNNNNNNNNNNNNNNNNNNNNNNNNNNNNNNNNNNNNNNNNNNNNNNNNNNNNNNNNNNNNNNNNNNNNNNNNNNNNNNNNNNNNNNNNNNNNNNNNNNNNNNNNNNNNNNNNNNNNNNNNNNNNNNNNNNNNNNNNNNNNNNNNNNNNNNNNNNNNNNNNNNNNNNNNNNNNNNNNNNNNNNNNNNNNNNNNNNNNNNNNNNNNNNNNNNNNNNNNNNNNNNNNNNNNNNNNNNNNNNNNNNNNNNNNNNNNNNNNNNNNNNNNNNNNNNNNNNNNNNNNNNNNNNNNNNNNNNNNNNNNNNNNNNNNNNNNNNNNNNNNNNNNNNNNNNNNNNNNNNNNNNNNNNNNNNNNNNNNNNNNNNNNNNNNNNNNNNNNNNNNNNNNNNNNNNNNNNNNNNNNNNNNNNNNNNNNNNNNNNNNNNNNNNNNNNNNNNNNNNNNNNNNNNNNNNNNNNNNNNNNNNNNNNNNNNNNNNNNNNNNNNNNNNNNNNNNNNNNNNNNNNNNNNNNNNNNNNNNNNNNNNNNNNNNNNNNNNNNNNNNNNNNNNNNNNNNNNNNNNNNNNNNNNNNNNNNNNNNNNNNNNNNNNNNNNNNNNNNNNNNNNNNNNNNNNNNNNNNNNNNNNNNNNNNNNNNNNNNNNNNNNNNNNNNNNNNNNNNNNNNNNNNNNNNNNNNNNNNNNNNNNNNNNNNNNNNNNNNNNNNNNNNNNNNNNNNNNNNNNNNNNNNNNNNNNNNNNNNNNNNNNNNNNNNNNNNNNNNNNNNNNNNNNNNNNNNNNNNNNNNNNNNNNNNNNNNNNNNNNNNNNNNNNNNNNNNNNNNNNNNNNNNNNNNNNNNNNNNNNNNNNNNNNNNNNNNNNNNNNNNNNNNNNNNNNNNNNNNNNNNNNNNNNNNNNNNNNNNNNNNNNNNNNNNNNNNNNNNNNNNNNNNNNNNNNNNNNNNNNNNNNNNNNNNNNNNNNNNNNNNNNNNNNNNNNNNNNNNNNNNNNNNNNNNNNNNNNNNNNNNNNNNNNNNNNNNNNNNNNNNNNNNNNNNNNNNNNNNNNNNNNNNNNNNNNNNNNNNNNNNNNNNNNNNNNNNNNNNNNNNNNNNNNNNNNNNNNNNNNNNNNNNNNNNNNNNNNNNNNNNNNNNNNNNNNNNNNNNNNNNNNNNNNNNNNNNNNNNNNNNNNNNNNNNNNNNNNNNNNNNNNNNNNNNNNNNNNNNNNNNNNNNNNNNNNNNNNNNNNNNNNNNNNNNNNNNNNNNNNNNNNNNNNNNNNNNNNNNNNNNNNNNNNNNNNNNNNNNNNNNNNNNNNNNNNNNNNNNNNNNNNNNNNNNNNNNNNNNNNNNNNNNNNNNNNNNNNNNNNNNNNNNNNNNNNNNNNNNNNNNNNNNNNNNNNNNNNNNNNNNNNNNNNNNNNNNNNNNNNNNNNNNNNNNNNNNNNNNNNNNNNNNNNNNNNNNNNNNNNNNNNNNNNNNNNNNNNNNNNNNNNNNNNNNNNNNNNNNNNNNNNNNNNNNNNNNNNNNNNNNNNNNNNNNNNNNNNNNNNNNNNNNNNNNNNNNNNNNNNNNNNNNNNNNNNNNNNNNNNNNNNNNNNNNNNNNNNNNNNNNNNNNNNNNNNNNNNNNNNNNNNNNNNNNNNNNNNNNNNNNNNNNNNNNNNNNNNNNNNNNNNNNNNNNNNNNNNNNNNNNNNNNNNNNNNNNNNNNNNNNNNNNNNNNNNNNNNNNNNNNNNNNNNNNNNNNNNNNNNNNNNNNNNNNNNNNNNNNNNNNNNNNNNNNNNNNNNNNNNNNNNNNNNNNNNNNNNNNNNNNNNNNNNNNNNNNNNNNNNNNNNNNNNNNNNNNNNNNNNNNNNNNNNNNNNNNNNNNNNNNNNNNNNNNNNNNNNNNNNNNNNNNNNNNNNNNNNNNNNNNNNNNNNNNNNNNNNNNNNNNNNNNNNNNNNNNNNNNNNNNNNNNNNNNNNNNNNNNNNNNNNNNNNNNNNNNNNNNNNNNNNNNNNNNNNNNNNNNNNNNAAAAUGUUUAUGAAUUCAAUUAUAAUAUCCUCCACAAAUUAAGAACAUGAAGUGGUACCAUAUGCCAAGUGAGAGUACAAAACGAUAUCACAUGCAAAUUAAGACACUAAAGUGGUACCACAUGCAAAAUAAGGACACAAAGUGAUAAUCAUAUGCCAAUUAAGAAACUAAAGCGAUAAUAGUGAGGCAAACCUGUUUGCAAGUCGAGUUGCAACCUUGAAUUGGCGAGCCGGCCUGAGUUGGGCGACGGUGGCUUCGGAGCGGGUAAGCGGCCUUCAGGGUUUCCGCCUUCUGAACUCUUUGGACCAGCAGGGUUUCGGUGCUAGGGUUUCCUCGGGAUCUCUGUGUGAGUGUCUCCGGGUGAGUGAGUCCGUCUCUGUGUGUCUCUUUCGUGGCAGAGGAGCAGGUAUUUAUAGUAGUGGUAAUGGUAACCUAAUGGGCUUAAAAUGAGGUCCAAAAAUCUCAAACUUUCGCAAGCUUCGCUAGGCGAAGGAAUUGCUCGCCUAGCGAGCAAACUAGGUCUGGGCUUUUUCCUGGAUCCAACGCUUCGCUGGGCGAGUGGCAUGAUGCAAUGUUCGCUAGGCGAAGGAGCUGCUCGCCUAGCGAGCCAGCUGUUUUGGGCCGCCUGUGGAUUGGGCCUGUUGUGAGUGGGCUUUUGUCCAUUUGAUAUCAGUGCCUUGCAGAACAAGUCAGAGGGUCUUGGAAAAUGUUCGGUAGUGCCAACGGGCAAAUUUUGGGGUAUGACAAUUUGCAUAAACAGGUUUCUCUUUCGCCGGAUGUAUUAUUGGUGUUUCUUCUAUGCUUUAGCCAAGAUGACUCAUCGGUACAACACCUGCGCCAAUCAUCUCAAAAUUAUGGAGCAUCUAGAGCAAGAGAACCGAGAGCUGAAGGACGAGAUCGCCCACCUGACUGCCAUGAUGGAGUCAGUUCUUGUUGCUCAGAGCCAAGCUUCUCCAACACCUGCAACUCCUCCUCCUCAAAGGACAGUUAUUUCAGAGGUGGCUACCUCUACCAUGCCUGCUGAUACCGCUCAUUUUACACCCAUUAUGCCUACCGUAUUCCCGUGGGGAAUGUCGUCCAACUUUAUGCCUAAAGGCUUUAGCCUACAUUUGCUUCCAUGCCGGCAUCUAGCCCAGUCAUGUCUAUGCCACCUCCCGUUGUGCACACCUUACCUCGUGUAGGGGACACCAUUUAUCACUCCGAGCCAUCUGAGGGUCCGGAUGUUUAUGAGAAAAUGGAUGAAAUGAAAGAUCAGUUUCUUGAGCUGCGCAAGGAUUUGAAGACGCUAAGGGGUAAGGACUUGUUUGGAAAGAGUGCUGCUGAGUUGUGUUUAGUGCCCAACGUCAAGAUCCCGGGGAAGUUCAAAGUGCCUGACUUUGAAAAGUAUAAAGGGAACACUUGUCCACUCAGUAAUCUAGUGAUGUAUGCUCGCAAGAUGUCUACUCAGAUUGACAAUGAUCAACUGUUGAUUCACUACUUCCAAGACAGUCUGACUGGUGCUGCGCUCAGAUGGUAUAUGGGGUUGGACAGUGCAAGCAUUCGCACUUUCAAUGACUUAGGAGAGGCUUUUGUCAAGCAAUAUAAGUACAACAUGGACAUAGCGCCUGAUAGAGACCAAUUGAGGUCUAUGUCUCAAAGAGAAAAGGAGACGUUUAAAGAGUUUGCGCAGAGAUGGAGGAAAUUGGCUUCCCAGAUCACUCCUCCCUUGGAGGAAAAAGAGAUGACAAAGAUCUUUCUGAAAACUCUGAGUUCAUUUUAUUAUGAACGAAUGAUUGCUAGUGCCCCCAGUGACUUUACCGAAAUGGUAAACAUGGGGAUGAGGCUUGAGGAAGGAGUCCGAGAGGGACGUUUGUCGAAAGAUGAAGCAUCGUCAAGUAAGAGAUAUGGCAGCAGUUUCAGCAAGAAAAAGGAUAGUGAAGCGAAUGCAAUUUCAAGUGGGAGGCAGAGGAGGCCUCAUAUCAGAAGGAAUCCACCAUCCCGUCACCAUCAUCAUCAAGUAUCUUCAGUUAUCCCUAUAUUUUCUAAUCAACACCAGUUCAACAACAACCACAAUGUCAACAACAAUAACCGCAACAACGAACAAACACCUACAACAAUAACAAUACCAACAAUCAUCAUCAAUAAAACUUUGAGAGGAAGAAGGUCUCUUUCGAACCGACUCAUAUGUCUUAUGCAGAAUUGUAUCCCUCUUUGGUUCUCAAGAACCUAAUCCAACCAAGAAACCCGCCGCAAAUUCUAGAACCACUUCCAUGGUGGUAUAAGCCUGAGCUCUGUUGUGACUUUCAUCAAGGAGCACCCGGACAUGAUAUCGAGAAUUGUUAUCCGCUCAAGUAUGAGGUUCAGAAGCUGAUGAAGAGUGGAACGGUGUCCUUCGAGGACCGUGCACCGAAUGUGAAAGAAAAUCCUUUACCCGCCCAUGGGAACCCUUUUGUGAAUAUGGUGGAUGGUUGUCCUGGAGAAUUUAAGGUGUUUGAUGUUCGUUUCAUUCGGAGAUCCUUGGUGCAUAUGCAUAAGGAUAUUUGUUUGGUAAGUGAUUUUGAACAUGACCAUGACGGUUGUAUUAUCUGUAGUAUUAACCCGAGGGGUUGCGAAGUUGUGAAAAGGGACAUCCAGCGACUGAUGGAUGAAGGCAUGAAUGGGCAUCCCGGCGAACCAAGAAAAUGAAAAAGGUUCGGGAAAAAAUUAGGGAUUAAAAGUGAAAAGAUUGUACACCCAGUAAGUUGAAAACCUGAAAAGGCAACUUAGGCAAAAAUGGGUAUCCCGGUGGAUUGAAAACCCGAAAAGGGCGAUCCAGGCAAACGUUAGGGAUUAAGCGAAUGACUGCGUUCUGAGUAGUUCUGAAUCUNCAGAAGCGGCUGCUCCUCAGGGUUCGAUGCCAGAUCGAUGAUCUCGACACCAGAUCCAUGGUCUCUUUCCUUGAAGCAGAAUCUCGGUACCGUAUCGGUGUUUGCUUCCCCUGCUAAGUCGUCUCUCGCAGAUUAUGGUUGCCAGAACCGCUAUCGCUUUCCCCAACAGCAGGUUUUCAGUGCCGUUCUCUCCCCAGUCAGAGUCUCGGUAUCUCGUCAUUGCUAUAACACCGUGUGGCGGGUCCUUUCCCCACAGAAUUCUGUGCGCUGUGCAUCUCCAGCAGCCUUGCUAGGGUCCAGAAGAUGGUGAUCAUUUCCCCAGCAGAUCCCCUUUGCCUCAGCUUGGCAUUCUCCCCAGCAUUUUGCAUCCCUGCAUGUAGAAUCAUAUUGCAUUGCAUCCUCCCAAAUCGCGUAGCAUUUCCAUUUUCAUGGAGCAUUAUGCCAUUGAAAAAUUCAAACAUACGAAUGUAAGCAUAAAACGUUCUCGGUAUCCCAAGUGAUAAGCCAGAAGUUGUUUCCAAUACUCAGAUUGAAGAUUGUUCAUGACUUACCUUUGUUAUCCCCAGCAAGUGUCAUUGGCCCAUGCGCCUCCUCUAUUAUCGUUCCCUAUUUUCUGCCGAUGCUGACAGGCAUGAAGUUUCCGGUAUUCAGACCGAAGUGGCAUUCAGGCCAAUUUUCCGAUAUUCAGAUCGAAGUGGCAUUCAGGCCAAGUUUCCGGUAUUCAGANNNNNNNNNNNNNNNNNNNNNNNNNNNNNNNNNNNNNNNNNNNNNNNNNNNNNNNNNNNNNNNNNNNNNNNNNNNNNNNNNNNNNNNNNNNNNNNNNNNNNNNNNNNNNNNNNNNNNNNNNNNNNNNNNNNNNNNNNNNNNNNNNNNNNNNNNNNNNNNNNNNNNNNNNNNNNNNNNNNNNNNNNNNNNNNNNNNNNNNNNNNNNNNNNNNNNNNNNNNNNNNNNNNNNNNNNNNNNNNNNNNNNNNNNNNNNNNNNNNNNNNNNNNNNNNNNNNNNNNNNNNNNNNNNNNNNNNNNNNNNNNNNNNNNNNNNNNNNNNNNNNNNNNNNNNNNNNNNNNNNNNNNNNNNNNNNNNNNNNNNNNNNNNNNNNNNNNNNNNNNNNNNNNNNNNNNNNNNNNNNNNNNNNNNNNNNNNNNNNNNNNNNNNNNNNNNNNNNNNNNNNNNNNNNNNNNNNNNNNNNNNNNNNNNNNNNNNNNNNNNNNNNNNNNNNNNNNNNNNNNNNNNNNNNNNNNNNNNNNNNNNNNNNNNNNNNNNNNNNNNNNNNNNNNNNNNNNNNNNNNNNNNNNNNNNNNNNNNNNNNNNNNNNNNNNNNNNNNNNNNNNNNNNNNNNNNNNNNNNNNNNNNNNNNNNNNNNNNNNNNNNNNNNNNNNNNNNNNNNNNNNNNNNNNNNNNNNNNNNNNNNNNNNNNNNNNNNNNNNNNNNNNNNNNNNNNNNNNNNNNNNNNNNNNNNNNNNNNNNNNNNNNNNNNNNNNNNNNNNNNNNNNNNNNNNNNNNNNNNNNNNNNNNNNNNNNNNNNNNNNNNNNNNNNNNNNNNNNNNNNNNNNNNNNNNNNNNNNNNNNNNNNNNNNNNNNNNNNNNNNNNNNNNNNNNNNNNNNNNNNNNNNNNNNNNNNNNNNNNNNNNNNNNNNNNNNNNNNNNNNNNNNNNNNNNNNNNNNNNNNNNNNNNNNNNNNNNNNNNNNNNNNNNNNNNNNNNNNNNNNNNNNNNNNNNNNNNNNNNNNNNNNNNNNNNNNNNNNNNNNNNNNNNNNNNNNNNNNNNNNNNNNNNNNNNNNNNNNNNNNNNNNNNNNNNNNNNNNNNNNNNNNNNNNNNNNNNNNNNNNNNNNNNNNNNNNNNNNNNNNNNNNNNNNNNNNNNNNNNNNNNNNNNNNNNNNNNNNNNNNNNNNNNNNNNNNNNNNNNNNNNNNNNNNNNNNNNNNNNNNNNNNNNNNNNNNNNNNNNNNNNNNNNNNNNNNNNNNNNNNNNNNNNNNNNNNNNNNNNNNNNNNNNNNNNNNNNNNNNNNNNNNNNNNNNNNNNNNNNNNNNNNNNNNNNNNNNNNNNNNNNNNNNNNNNNNNNNNNNNNNNNNNNNNNNNNNNNNNNNNNNNNNNNNNNNNNNNNNNNNNNNNNNNNNNNNNNNNNNNNNNNNNNNNNNNNNNNNNNNNNNNNNNNNNNNNNNNNNNNNNNNNNNNNNNNNNNNNNNNNNNNNNNNNNNNNNNNNNNNNNNNNNNNNNNNNNNNNNNNNNNNNNNNNNNNNNNNNNNNNNNNNNNNNNNNNNNNNNNNNNNNNNNNNNNNNNNNNNNNNNNNNNNNNNNNNNNNNNNNNNNNNNNNNNNNNNNNNNNNNNNNNNNNNNNNNNNNNNNNNNNNNNNNNNNNNNNNNNNNNNNNNNNNNNNNNNNNNNNNNNNNNNNNNNNNNNNNNNNNNNNNNNNNNNNNNNNNNNNNNNNNNNNNNNNNNNNNNNNNNNNNNNNNNNNNNNNNNNNNNNNNNNNNNNNNNNNNNNNNNNNNNNNNNNNNNNNNNNNNNNNNNNNNNNNNNNNNNNNNNNNNNNNNNNNNNNNNNNNNNNNNNNNNNNNNNNNNNNNNNNNNNNNNNNNNNNNNNNNNNNNNNNNNNNNNNNNNNNNNNNNNNNNNNNNNNNNNNNNNNNNNNNNNNNNNNNNNNNNNNNNNNNNNNNNNNNNNNNNNNNNNNNNNNNNNNNNNNNNNNAUUCCCAUUACCUUUAUGCUCAAUUUGGAAUUUCAUCUUGAAAUGUAUGAGUAUUGGAUGGAUGAAUUUCAUUUAGCGUUUUUGCCCACGGUCUAUUAAUUUAUGUAUUAAUUAUAAAUAUGCCUUGAAUGCUUAAUCCUUAUCGUGUUUCACUAACCCGUUUGUUGAGUUUUUGUGAAGGCUCACAUGAACUUUACAGCCGAUAGCUCACUGGAUAUUCCACUGUUCUCAUGGGAUACCAUUUGGAGAUGUAUUCUGAUUGCCUGGUUUGGGGCACAUUACUUAUAAUGUUUGUUUUGUAUGUGUUCGUAUCCCGCAGGUGAGCGCGGUUUCCUUCGUCAAGGACGGCCUUUUUUGGCAAUGAGCGCAUCCCAACCCUAACCCCUUCAUUGAUUUUUUCUUCUCCUAAACACACGUUUACUCCUUCUACUACAGGUGAGUAAGCUCUCCAAAGGUCGGAGGCAUCCGGCUAGAUUGCGUUAGUAACGUCCGUUAUCGUUCCAAAAACUCCCAUCCAUAACCCCGUAGUUAAGCCGAACUACGGCUUGCUCUGAUUUCUCAUUCCAGAUGAAAGAUUAUGUGUAGGGCAUAUAAAACGCGAUGUCUUAGCGAGCACACAUCCCCCCCAACCCGUAGGUCAACCGAGCUACGAAGACUCUGAUUCUCAUAUUCAGAUGAGAUACGUUAUGCAGUGGAUGCGACAUCCGCGUGGAGUCAUUUUCAUUAACCCUUUUUUUUAGUAAACAGCACAAGAAUAACUCACACCCUUUAGACAGAAACUACAAAAGUGGAUCCCGUAGAGUACUACGGAUGCGUAGGGGUGCUAAUACCUUCCCUUCGCAUCAACCGACUCCCGAACCCAAGAUUUGGUUGCGACGACCUUUUGCUUUUUCCUUUUUCCUUUCCCCUUUUCAGGUUUACUUCGAGCGUUUCCUUUCCCUCCUUUGGGAUAAAUAACGCACGGUGGCGACUCUUCUGUCAUUUUCUUUCGCCGGUUGUUUUUUCGCACACUGUAUUUUUCAGGUUGCAACACUACCUUACAACAAAUUGUGAAAAGGGCUCCCUAGGAGUACCUAGGAUGUUUUGGGUGCUUAAAACCUUCCCAUUUCAUAACCAACCCCCUUACCCCGAUCUUUGACAUUUUUAUUAGUUUUUGAUUUGAUAAAACUUCUCGGUUUUUUUUUCCGCUUUCUAACCUUUCCUUUGGAUAAAUAGAAGUGCGGUGGUGACUCGAUUUGUAUGAUUUACUUUUGAUUUAGUCAAUAAAUCUAAAGGUAAUGAAUACCCCACUACAGUGGUCAAGAGGUCCCGUUUCCUAGGACUAGCUUUGUGGUGAGCAUUGCUGAUGUUACCAAGGUGACCCGCAGUGGUCGAGUGUUUGGGUUGGUAUUCCCAAAAGAUAAGGAAGAAUUAGUUGUUGGAAAGAAGGUGGAAGUGCCUGUUGUAGAUCCAGUUGGUGCUUCAAAUGGUAAGUAUGGUGAAUCCAGCGAUUUGAAGGCUAACGAUGAUGAUGAGGUACUUCAUUUGAUCAAAAGGAGCGAGUUUAAUGUGGUGGAGAAGCUGCUCCAAACCCCCUAAAAAAUCUCAGUGUUGUCUCUGCUCAUGAAUUCUGAAGCGCACAGAGAAACACUGCAGAGAGUUCUUGAGCAAGUGUUUGUAGAACAUGAUGUUACAGUGGAUCAAUUCGAUCAUAUCGUGGCUAACAUCACUUCUUGCAAUAAUCUUAGCUUUUGUGAUGAAGAACUCCCUGAGGAGGGUAGAAAUCAUAAUCUGGCUUUACACAUUUCUAUUAAUUGCAAAGAGGAUGCUUUGUCAAAUGUGUUUGUUGACACCGGGUCAACGUUGAAUAUGCUACCGAAGUCAACUCUGUCAAAGCUAUCAUAUCAAGGAGCGCCUAUGAGGUAUAUCGGUGUAAUCGCCAAAGCUUUUGACAGCUCGCGCAAAACAGUUAUUGGUGAAGUGGACCUUUCAGUUAAGAUAGGUCCGAGUGAUUUUCAAAUUACUUUUCAAGUAAUGGAUAUCCACCCGGUCUACAGUUUCUUAUUGAGAAGCCCAUAGAUCUAUGAGGCAGGAGCUGCUACCUCCACUUUGCAUCAGAAGCUCAAAUUUGUGAAGAAUGGCAAGCUUGUGAUUGUUGGUGGGGAGAAGGCGUUGUUGGUUAGCCACUUGUCAUCUUUCUAUUAUGUUGAAGCUGAGGAUGAGGUUGGAACUCCGUUCCAUGCCUUAUGUAUUGCUGCUGAAAAGAGAGUUGAGGCACCCAUGUCCUCAUUGAAGGAUGCUAAGAAGAUUGUGGAAGAAGGCAAUGUUGAUCAGUGGGGGCGCAUGGUAGAAGUCUCCGACAAUAAAGGCAAAACUGGUUUGGGGUUCCAUAAAGGUUCAUCAACUGCAAGGUCUGAAAAUAUGCAACUUAGCUUCCGUAGCGGAGGGUUCAUUCAUGGCAAUGAACAACACUUAGCUGUUGUGCUAAAAGAUGACGAAGAGGAAGACUGCACCAAUUUUGGGACGCAUGGAAAGGCUUGCAACAAUUGGACUGCUGUUGACAUUCCUGUUAUUUUGCGUCGAUCUAAGUAAUUGCUUUUAUAUGUUUUUAAAAUGCUUCUCCUAUGCCUAAGGGAGAAGUGAACAUUGUUUGGGCAUUUUUCAAAUUGAUCAUUAAUAAAAUUAAUUCUAUUCAUCCACAUCUAUAAUGUCUUAUUUUUACUUUUUGCUUUAUUCUGAAAAUGGUAAUCACAAAAAACAUAAAUAAACAAUAUAAUUGUCCAUCUGCAUAAUAUUUGGUCACAUAUCCACUUCUCUAAAAUCAAAAUAUCAAAUCAUUAUGUAGGUUGGUUUCUAACCCCAUUGAAUACAAUGAUCAUUCUCCUUCUCCAAAUUUUGAAUUGCCUGUGUUCGAGGCCGAGGAGGAAAGUGAUGAAGAAGUGAGUGAUGAAUUAUCUCGUCUUGUUGAGCAAGAUGAAAAGAUCAUUCAGUUGUUCGAAGAGCAGAUUGAGCUAGUCAACUUGGGUUCCGAGGAUGAUGUGAAGGAAGUCAAGAUCGGAUCUCGUCUGUGUUCUGAUAUCAAGAAGGGGUUGAUUGAUCUUCUUCGAGAAUACUCAGAUGUGUUUGCUUGGUCCUAUCAAGACAUGCCUGGUUUGGAUUCUGAGAUUGUGGAGCAUCGAUUGCCGUUGAAGCCAAAAUGCCCGCCGGUCAAGCAGAAGUUGAGAAGAACGCAUCCUGAUAUGGCUAUGACGAUCAAAGAGGAAGUGCAGAAGCAGAUUGAUGUCGGUUUCCUUGUGACCGAUGAGUAUCCGCAAUGGACCGCCGGUCAAGCAGAAGUUGAGAAGAACGCAUCCUGAUAUGGCUAUGACGAUCAAAGAGGAAGUGCAGAAGCAGAUUGAUGUCGGUUUCCUUGUGACCGAUGAGUAUCCGCAAUGGGUAGCCAAUACUGUGCCUGUGCCGAAGAAAGAUGGAAAAGUCUGCAUGUGUGUUGAUUAUAGAGAUUUGAAUAAAGCUAGUUCGAAAGAUGAUUUCCCUCUGCCACAUAUUGAUAUGUUGGUAGACAAUACUGCUAAAUUCAAAGUAUUUUCGUUUAUGGAUGGAUUUUCUGGAUAUAAUCAAAUCAAGAUGGCACCCGAAGAUAUAGAGAAGACCAUAUUCAUUACACCUUGGGGAACACUCUGUUAUAGAGUGUUGCCUUUCGGUUUAAAGAAUGCUGGUGCAACUUGCCAAAGAGAAAUGACUACUCUUUUUCAUGAUAUGAUGCAUAAAGAGAUUGAAGUUUAUGUCGAUGACAUCAUUGCUAAAUCAAUUGAUGAAGAGGAACAUGUUGAGCAUUUAUUGAAGCUAUUCCAGCGUUUGAGGAAGUAUAAACUCCGCUUGAAUCCCAAUAAAUGUACUUUUGGUGUUCGUUCUGGUAAGUUGUUGGGAUUUACUAUCAGCGAGAAGGGUAUUGAAGUUGAUCCUGCCAAGGUCAAAGCAAUACAAGUGAUGCCUGCGCCCAAAACUGAAAAGCAAGUCAGAGAUUUUCUCGACCGCUUGAAUUAUAUCUCCAGAUUCAUUUCACACAUGACUGCCACAUGUGCGCCUAUAUUCAAGCUUCUUCGGAAAGAUCAGUCUUAUGAUUGGAUCGAAGACUGCCAGAAAGCUUUUGACAGUGUCAAAGAAUAUCUUCUUGAACCGCCGAUUUUGUCUCCGCCUGUUGAAGGAAGACCAUUGAUCAUGUAUUUGACUAUGCUUGAAGAUAGUAUGGGUUGUGUUCUUGGUCAGCAAGAUGAGACUGGAAAUAGAGAAUUUGCAAUUUACUACCUCAGUAAGAAGUUCACCGACUGUGAGACUCGGUAUCUUAUGCUUGAGAAGACUUGUUACGCAUUGACUUGGGCUCCUAAGCGUCUCCGUCAGUAUAUGUUGAAUCAUACCACUUGGUUGAUAUCCAAAAUGGAUCCGAUCAAGUAUAUAUUUGAGAAGCCUGCUUUAACUGGGAGGAUUGCCCGUUAGCAGAUGUUGUUAUCAGAGUAUGAUAUCGAAUACCGAUCUCAGAAAGCGAUCAAAGGUAGUAUCUUGGCUGACCAUUCGGUUCACCAACCGAUUGAAGAUUAUCAGUCAGUGCAGUAUGACUUUUCUGAUGAAGAGAUUUUGUACGUGAAAAUGAAAGAUUGUGACGAACCAUUGCUUAAAGAAGGGCCAAAACUUGGUUCCCGUUAGGGCAUGGUAUUUGAUUGAGCUAUUAAUAAGUAUGCUAAUGGCAUUGGGGAAGUGAUCAUUACUCCUCAAGGCACGAAUCUACCAUUUACAGCUAGAUUGACUUUCAAGUGUACAAACAACAUGGCAGAAUAUGAAGCUUGCAUUAUGGGGCUUGAAGAGGCCAUGAAUCUCAUAAUCAAGUAUUUGGAUGUCUUUGGAGAUUCAUACAGCUAGAUUGACUUUCAAGUGUACAAACAACAUGGCAGAAUAUGAAGCUUGCAUUAUGGGGCUUGAAGAGGCCAUGAAUCUCAUAAUCAAGUAUUUGGAUGUCUUUGGAGAUUCAGCUUUGGUUUUGAAUCAGGUCAAAGGUGAAUGGGAGACAAAUUAACCCGGUUUAAUACCAUAUAGAGAUUAUGCGAGGAGGAUUUAAACUUUCUUUACAAAGGUUAAGUUUCAUCAUAUCCCUCGAGAUGAAAAUCGGAUGGCAGAUGCUCUUGCAACAUUGGCGUCAAUGAUUGUGGUGAAGUAUUGGAAUAAGGUUCCUGAUUUGUCUGUGAUGCAUCUUGAUAGGCCAACUCAUGUGUUUGCUGUUGAAGAAGUCAAAGACGAGAAGUCGUGGUAUCAUGACAUCAAAUGUUAUCUCCAAAGUCAGAUUUACCCGCCUGGGGCAUCUUUGAAAGAUAAGAAGACUUUGAGAAGAUUAGCCGAUAAUUUCUACUUGAAUGGUGUUAUACUGUAUAAGAGAAACUUCGACAUGGUUUUGCUCAGAUGGGUGGAUAGACACGAAGCAGACUUGUUGAUGACUGAAGUGCAUGAAGGUUCCUUUGGUACUCAUUCCAAUGGACAUUCAAUGGCAAAGAAGAUGUUGCGAGCAGGUUAUAAUUGGCUGACAAUGGAAUCUGACUGUUGCAAAUUUGUGAAGAAGUGCCACAAGUGUUGAAUUUAUGCUGAUAAGAUUCAUGUUCCCCCGACACAAUUGAAUGUUAUUUCUUCCCCAUGGCCUUUCUCCAUGUGGGGAAUUGAUAUGAUUGGGAUGAUUGAGCCCAAAGCUUCGAAUGGACAUCGUUUCAUUUUAGUGGCAAUUGACUACUUCACAAAAUGGGCUGAAGCGGCAUCGUAUGCAAAUGUAACUAAGCAAGUUGUUGUAAGGUUCAUCAAGAAUCAGAUCAUAUGUCGUUAUGGUGUGCUAAGAAAGAUCAUUACUGAUAAUGGAUCGAACUUGAAUAACAAUAUGGUGGAAGCUCUUUGCAAAGACUUUAAGAUUUCACACCAUAAUUCUUCUCCCUACAGACCCAAGAUGAAUGGGGUUGUUGAAGCUGCGAAUAAGAACAUUAAGAAGAUCAUUCAGAAGAUGGUUGUCACAUAUAAGGAUUGGCAUGAGAUGCUCCUGUUUUCUUUGCAUGGGUAUCGUACAUCCGUCCGCACUUCAACAGGGGCAACCCCUUUUUCUCUUGUGUAUGGAAUGGAAGCAAUGCUCCCCGUAGAGGUUGAGAUUCCAUCAUUACGUGUGCUCAUGGAAGCCAAGUUGACUGAGGCUGAAUGGUGUCAGACCAGGUUUGAUCAGCUGAAUUUGAUUGAAGAGAAGAGGUUAACUGCCAUGUGUCAUGGUCAGCUAUAUCAGCAUAGGAUGUAGAAAGCUUUUGAUAAGGUCAGACCUCGGGUAUUCAGGGAAGGUGACCUUAUGCUCAAGAAUAUCUUGUCGUUCAAACCAGAUUCUAGGGGAAAAUGGACUCCCAAUUAUGAAGGCCCAUAUGUUGUUAAGAGAGCCUUUUCAGGUGGUGCUUUGAUUCUUACGACUAUGGAUGGUGAAGAGUUCACUCGUCCUGCAUCAGUUAGAAGAUCUGCAAAUCUUUGAGAGUAACAUUCCUAUCUUUUGUGAUAAUACUGCUGCUAUUUGUUUAAGUAAGAAUCCCAUUCUACAUUCCAGAGCCAAACACAUUGAAAUAAAACAUGGGAGAAAGAUAUAUGCCACGAAAAUCAAAACAACAAUAAGCCAUAAAACGUCUCGUAUCGCCAAGAAUAAGCCAGAAUGUUCCAACACUCAGAUCGAGAUUUUCACAUUGGACUGCUACCGUAUGUACCCCAGUAGCAUCCAUGGCCCUGCCCUCCUCUAUAUUCCUAUUCUGCCGAUCUCGGACAGGCAUGAAUUCCGGUAUCAGACGAAGCUGGCAUCUCAGCCACAUCUUCCGAUAUUCAGAUGAAGCGCAUUCACGGCAAGUUACCGGUAUACAGACCCGAAUGCAUUCCAGGCCAUUUCCGAUUUCAGAACGAAGAAGUGAUCCGACGUUCAGGCGAUCAACUUGUCGCAUCUCAGGCCAAUUUCCGAUGUUCAGAUCAAAAGAAUUCCGACGAUCACCGUCGAUGCACACUUGUGGUCAUCAGCCAAGUUUCCCGAUGUUCAAUCGAGAAUCUUCCGACUUCCAAGUCGACUGCAACCUUGUUGGCUCCAGGCCAAGUUCUCCGAUUCAGAUCGAAAGAAGUCUACGUCAGGUCGAAUGCACACUGUGGCAUCAGCCAGUUUCCGAUUCCUCAGAUCGAAGAAGUUCCCCGAUGUCCAGCUCGAUCAACUUCUGGGCCUUUUUUUAUUCAGGCCAUUUCCAUGCAAGAUCGAAGAAGUCCGACGUUCAGCUGACAUCCAACCUUGCCUUCAGGCAUUUAUCCGAUGUUCAACGAAGGGUUUCAACGUCAGGACUGGUCGACACUGACCCGUCCUACGCAUUUAUUCCCCGCCACAUUCAGCAUUGCGCAAUAAAGCUCCGAUGGCAACGCGAAUGCAACUGUGCCUUCAGCGCAAUCCAAAGACGUUCAGUUUGACCAAACCUUUUGCCAUACAGCCAACUUCCGAUGUCAGACUCGAAGCCAAUAUCCGACGUCACGCACGGUCGACACAACGGGCAUCAAUGCCACCCUCGGUGUUCAGACCACAUAAAACGCAUAUCAUCCCGAUGUCAGCACGAAGUCACUCCCAGAUCAGACUUAUAGACAUCAGGCCAAUGUAUUCUGGUAACCCAUUGAGUUUGGUACCAGUAACACUUUUCGUCAAAUCAACUGCUACGCAUCAGGCGCCUGUAUUCUGAUACCAUUUAUUUGUAUCCACGUUGAAACAUAUCCGGUAUUCAGAACGCCGACUCCACCUACCAUAAACGGGAUCUUCUUCAAGACCCAACCUUUCCAUCUGAACAACAUGUACUCACUUUUCCCCCACACAGCAAAUUUUCCGCUUUAUUGUACCAAUCCCUUGAACUCGAAACACAAACUCCUGUCAUCCCUCUUCCAUCUCAGUUGUCACAUACGCAACGAAUACCCCAAAACACCCUUAAUCCCCGAAAAAAAAAACGAAAAAAAAAAGAAAACGAAAAAAUAAAUAAAUAAUUAAAUAAAUAAAAAGAAAAUGACUUGCCUCUCAUCAUCCUAGCCCCACAGGCCACAAAAAUCAGGUUAUACAAUUCGAGAGUUUCAGAUGAAAAACAAAUCAUUUUACCAUUACCCUGCUGAAGAAAAAGGAUUGAUAGAAACGUAACAAGAACAGAACAGCCUCCAAACCCAGAAAGGAACAACGCACAAAAUGACCCAUCUGCCACAAAUAAACCCACAGAUCGUUGUAAACUCCACGAGUGCAACUCAAUUCCAUCCAACCUCCAACAGUGGCCCUAUUCCCACUACACUUAGCCUAAUUGCACCUCGAAUUCAGAGUACGUGAUAAUCAUAGGUUGCCCGACGGUCAUAAAGCAUUAUGUACUAAAAGGCCUAAGCUUAACCAUAUUCACAAACCCUUUGUAGUUUUUGAAGCCACCUAACUUUACAGAAGCUCACUGACACACUCUGCCAUGGAUCAAACCAUGGGAGAUGAUCGACCUGUGCCACAUUACUUAUACAUGUUGUUGUAUGUUCUAUCCCGCAAGCGCGCUUAUCGUCAAGGACGUCCUUGCAUGAGCAUCCAAACCUUAAAUCCGUCAUCAUUCUUCUCCUACAACACCACUAACCUCUAACACAGUGAAGCAACUCUCCAAACUCGACAGUCCGUAAUGCAAACGCGGUUCGGUCCAACCCAAUCCAAACCCCGUAGUAGCCGAACGACGCUUGCUCUGAUCCAUCUCCAAUCAAAUCGCAAUAAAACCAUUCUAGCGAACACACAUCCCCCAGCCCGUAUAAACGACACGAAACCUGAGUCCAUAUUCAGAUGAAUAACUAGCAUGGAUGCGACAUCGCGCGAUCAUUUCAUUAACACCUUUUAGAAACAGCACAAAAAACUCAACCUUUAACACAACUACAAAAGAUCCGUAAGUACAGAACGCGUAGGGCUAAUACCUUCCUCCAUAACCCGACUCAACCCAAGAUUGUUGCGAACCUUGCUUUCCUUCCCCUUUCAGUACUCGAGCUUCCCUUCCCUCCCCUUGGAUAAAUAACGCACCGGUGGCGACUCUUCUUCAUUUUCUUCGCCGUUUUUUCCCUUUAUUCCACGGUGCAACACACCUUACAACAAUUGGAAAGCCCCUAGGAUACCUAGAUUUCGUCUAAAACCUCCCAUUUCAUAACCAACCCCCUCCCGAUACUUGACAGUAUAGUUUGAUUAUAAAACUUCUCGCUUUCUUGUCCGCUUCUAACCUUUCCUGAAUAGAAUCGUGUGACUCGAUAUGACUUAUAUUGCAUAUCAAAAUCAAAGGUAAGGAAACCCACACAGUGCAAAGGCCCUUCGAACUACUUGUAUGCCACAGUACCAGUGACCCAUGGCGUGUGGGUUAUCCCAAAAGAAAGAGAAUUAGUUCGAAAGAAAGCGAAUGCCUUGAGAUCCAUGCCUUCAAAUGAAUAGCAAUCCACCAGCGAUUUGAAGCAACGAUGAAACGCACUUCCAUUGACAAAAGCAGUUAAUGUGUGAACCUCCAAACCCCCUAAAACUCAGUGUUCUCUCUCACAACGAACCACAGAAAACACCAGAGAUCUUGAGCAAGUGUAAACAUAAAGAGCAAUCCGACAUCGGCAACAUCACUCUGCAAACUCUACGAGAACGAACGCCCGAAGAGGUACAAAUCAUAAGCUUACCCAUUAUAAGUGCAAAAUAUCUCAAUUUGUGACACCGGCAACUAACCCGGAAGCCCGCAGACAAUCAAGACGCCAAGUAACGGCAAUCCAAAGCACAGCCCCAAAAAAUGGAAUGGACCUUAUAAAAGCAUGAUUCAAAUACUUCAAGAAUGAUACCACCCCCUACAUCUAAAAGCCAACAAGCCAGCCACUUCACUCAUCAGAACUUCAAAUUGGAAGAACAACAUGAGAACUUUAGCCCACUUCUAUUAGACAGCAGAAGUAUCCGUCCAUCUAAUAUGCCGAAAAAAUAACAUUCCCUUGAAGCAAAAAUUGAAAACAAUUAACAGGGGGUGGCGCAAAACCCACAAAAACAAAAUUCGGCCAUAACACACUCACAUGUCGAAAAAGCACAUACUCGACGAGCAUUCAUGCAAACAACACUACGCAAACAUAGAAGAAAACCACCAAUGGACCAAAACUCAACAAACUGCUACAUUCCUGGCAGCAAAGCAAUAAAACUCUCCAUGCAAAAAUAACCAUGUUGCACUUUCAAAUGGAUCAUAAUAAAAUAUUCAUUCAUCCACACAAACGUAUACUUUUUGCUUUUAUCGAAAAGAACACAAAAACAAAAACCAAGAGCCAUUCAAUAUCCCAACCACCCUAAAACAAAACAAAACAAUAGUCUAACCCCAGAUACAAUGAAUCCCCCAAAUGUAACUUCCUCAGCCAGAAAAGUAAAAAUAGAAAUAUUCCUUGUACAAAGAAAAACCACAUUUCAACAUAGACAGUCAACUGUCGAGGAUACGUACAAGCAAAUCGACCCGUCGAUACAAAAGGAACUUCAGAAUACAAGCACCACAAACAGCUUGACGAAGGACAUCAUCCGUGACCAAAAGCCCCGCAACAAAAAAGAAAUCCGGAAGCAAACAAAACGAAUGGCAAACAGUAUUCUACCAAGUACCGCAAACCAAGCUUGACUCCGAAAAAUUAAAGCGCACAAAAAGAAAAAGCAUCAAAGAACCCCCAAUAAUAACACCAAAUCAAAGAUCUAGAGACUAUAAACAAACAAACACCCAUAAAAAACAAACAUACAGCACACCAUAAGCCUCAAGAGCAACGCCAAAAAAAUACUACCUCAAGACAAAAAAAAAUCACAUCAUGCAAACAAUGAAAAGAACAUACAUAUAAUCACCACAAAAACCCCUAACCAAAAAACUUCCAAGAAACACACAGCAGAAAGAUCCCAACCAACAAACAAGCCGCCCAAAAAACCAACAAUCCACCGAAUAACCAACAGCACACAACACAUCGCCUAAUCAACCUCAAAAUCAGCGACCAUGCACAAGACUCCAAAAGCUACAUCAAAAUACCGAACCUCCGGAUCCCCAAAAACCAGACAUAUACACGAACAAUGUUGCUGCCAAAAAACAAAAAACAAACACCAGUAAACGCGGACAAACCACCGAAAACUGACCAUACUGCCUAACCCCCAAAUAACAACCAUAACCAAAAAGACACAAAAUAGAACCCUAACAACCAGAAACAAAUAAAGACCAGAAAGCAAAGAACGCACCAUCACCCAACCAGAAACACAGGCAAACCGAUAACAAUACAAAUAAAAUACGAACCACUAAAAAGCCAAAACGCCGUACAGAGAUACAAAACAACAGAAACAACUACCACACAACACCAUUCACAUACUCAAUCAAACAACUCAAAAAAGCCAACAGCCAGAACCAAACAAAGCAAUCACUGGAACAUCAAAAAUGACAAAAACCCGAAAACCAAAAAAGCAAAUUCAACUCACAAAGAAUCAAACCCAAAACGACAACCCAACAAAAAAGAACUACACAUCUCUCAACCACGCAAAUAAGACAAAUCACAGCACACAAUACCCAACCAAUACCCCCGGCACCUAAAAAAAAACGAAAAAACAACACAAUGAAUAAAACCACAGCCAAUGAAACACAAGCACUAGACAACAAACCGCCAUCCAACAUCCAAAGGACGCACAAAUUCCAUGAAACACAAUUAAAAACACAAUAUCACACCCGCCACAAGAACCAGCCCAAAAUAAUGCCCAAACCAAACCUCAAGGAAGACACCACAAGCAAGCGGCAUCACAAAACUAACACAAUAUACACAAAACAAUUUCAAUUCAGCAAAAACAAACAAAACACAAACAACAACCAAAACAACACACCCCCAAACCUCACAACAAAAACCAAAAACAAAAACAUAAAAACAUAAAACAAACCCCUUCAACGACGCCCCACCAACCCCGAGAAGAAAACCCCGAACACAACCCAGAACCAUACACAAAACAAUCAAAAAAAAAACAACUCCAACACAAACCAAAAAUAAGCAACCACUAAACCUACCAAAACCAAAAUCAACCCAAUUAAACCCAAAAACUUCAGCGAGCUACACGAAAACACCCGCACAAAACUCAACCGAAACACCACUAAAAUCUGCCAUGAAUAAACCCAUCCCUCAACCAAACAUAAAAAACACAUACAAACACAAAAAUAAACACACAGGAACAAAACAAGGCAAUACUACUAACCCACAAAAAAACCACAAAAAACACAAAAGCCAAAACCAAAAAAAACCGACAAAACAAUCCCUCACCUUCGACUGAACUCACAAUAAAGAACGAUAUAAAUCAAACAAUCGACCUGAGACAAUACAUCAACACGUGAACACAACCACACAGAACCAACAGCUUAAAAAAUCAAAAAGACGUGAAAAUCCUAAUGCGACAAGACAUCAUAAUACUGAAUCAUUUCCCCAGCGGCAACUACUUGUACAACAAAAGCGUUGCAUUUUACAAGAUAAACACUUCCACAUUCACACUAACCCACCCAAACCACCUCUCGAAAUCUCGGCAACCCAAACUUCACUCUCUUCACCAGACCCUCAACACAAUAAGUAUUCUCAACAAUUAACAAACUCCACUGGCUCAAACUCAAGCUCCAACCCAAACGUACAACUCUCUACCCCACUUCACAAGAACCCCCAUAGUACGUUGACCAAUUAACAUCAACCCUUAAGACUGGAGUGUGAAACCUAGUAAUUCGACAACGAGGAAAAUGCGUGAUCUACUGAGAACUUCGCAACACGGAAAUACACUUUCCAAAGCUUUAAGUCCGUUACGACUUCCAUCAGAUUCUAAAUUUGGCAGAUACAUACCAUUCUCGUCUCCUUUUUCUGGAGGAAAGAAUAAGAACUGAAGCAAUUACCCCCUCUCACGAAACAUGAUAGAGAUAGAGAAAAAGAUUUACACAUCCCUACCAUCAAAGCGANCAACAUCCCUCCUAGGUCAAAGCGCAUUACUGAUGUAAUCAAUCCAACCAUCUUCAAACCCAACACUGAAGGAAAUCCUUCAAAGAACAAAGAGCUGCAUCAGAACCUCAGAGUGUGGCUGAAGAUCAUUCUGGGAACUAUUCACCACCGCCUAGCAUCCAACUCCUCUGAUUACAUCAAUGCAGAUCAGAAGUGCAUUCUGUAUUGCAUUCAGAAGGGUGUGAAGAUCUGCCUGCACUUCUCUUCAGAUAUCUCAGAGUUUCUGUAAGAGAAACCAGAAACAACAUGAAGCCCAGAUCCUACAUCCCUCUGGGAAGGCUCAUAUCUGAUGUCUUAAUUGAGAAUGGACUGGUAGAUCAUCUGGAAAAGACCAAGCUGAUGGAUGAUCUGGCAAUAGAUAUUGGGAAGCCUCUGAACGCCAGAAAUCUCAAGAGUAUGGGAAUAAUAAAGAAGAUUCAAGUCAGACCCACUAUGGAUACCUCCUGGGAUGCCUUGAAAGAUCAGAGGAAGCUGCUUCAUGGUCUUGCAAGGUUCUUCAAGGAUGAACCCAGAGAUGCGGUUGUUAUCUAUCUUCAGCGUCUGCUGGAUGAAGGUGUUGACAUAUCUGACUUCAGCCUCGACGAUUGUCUAGAUUCAGAAGAAAUAUCUUCAGCGUCUGCUGGAUGAAGGUGUUGACAUAUCUGACUUCAGCCUCGACGAUUGUCUAGAUUCAGAAGAAGACUUCGUCAGGUACAAGAGAGGUCUCUCUGAGAAGAAGAUAGCAUCUCAGGAAAAGAAGGUAAGAAUUGGAGAAUCUUCUGGAAGCAGAUCUCCAACUCCUCUGAAAAUUUCUACUGGUACGUCUGUUCCUCCUCUUUCCUCUGUACCUCCGAUGGUUUCCUCUACCCCUUCCUCUAAUCCUCUCCCAACACCACCAAUUUAUACAACCUCUGAAAUCCCUCCUUCAACCAUCAGAACCUCUCAGCCUUCACCAGUUCUAAAUAUCGCCCGUACAUUCAUACCUCCUUCUGAACCUGAACAAAUGAACCAAAGCACUUCCUCUUCUUCAUCUUCUACAGCCCCAGAAUCACCACCAUACCUCAACAUUUCUUCUGACCCAGAACUCUCAGACCCUAACUCUCCAACCCUAGCCCAAAUUUAUGCUCUAAACCUCGCUUCACAACAACCAACAGAACCUGAAAUAACUUCACCACAACAAACAACCACCAUCCCUUCUGAAAACCAACCUUCUGAAAACCAACCUUCUGAAGACCAACCCUCUGACCUUCCCACCUCUGAUAUCAACCCACCAAACACCUCUGCUGCACCUGAAUCAGAAACUGAAACUGAACCUUUAGACUUAAACCCUCUUUACGCUUCACCCCAAAGAUCUGAACCUGAAGCAGAAUCUGAACCUCUCACAUUAAAUCUCAGCCCUCCAACAUCUUCACCCCAAACCUCUGAACCAAACCUUUCUGUACCUACCCUUGAGGAAGCCAUCAUGCUGGUAGCAGGGGCUUCAGUACAAAAGGUCAAGUCUCUGACCACUAACUCUGAAGUCAGUGAUGAUCCUGACUCUGUAAGGACACACUGGAACAGAGUCAUUGGCUGGAUGACCUCUGAGGCUUUUAGACUGAAGAACAUCUCUGAACAAGUCAGAAAUGGCUACAUCAGAGAUGCUGAGGCAAGACUCCAGGAAAGACUUGCCAGAGAAGCUGCUGAAGAAGCCAGGAGGCUAGAGGAAGAAAGACUUGCGCGAGAAGCUGAAGAAGCAAGAAGACUGGAAGAAGAAAAAGCAAGGGAAGCUGAAAUCCUAAGGAUUAAGGAAGCUGAAGCUAAGGCUCUGGCGGAUGCAGAAGCACAAGCUGCUGCUGAAGCUGAAGCACAGCAGGCUCUGACUCUGGGAGAGUCCUCUUCUGUUAUCCCUAUGGUUCUUCAGACUCUGAAAGAACUUAAGCAAGAUCAGAAUGAACUCCGGGCCAGAAUGGACAAGCAAGAUACUGUCAACGACAACAUCCAGAACAUGCUUGCUAUGUUGCUUCAGAGAAUGCCUCCGCCUCCGAACCCCUAGACACUUAGGAUUUUUGUUUGCCUGUUGUUUUGUCUUUUGCUUUCUGAUGUUUUCAUGUUCUUGUUGCCUUUGUGCUUUUAUCUGAAUACAUUGUUUUUCUCUUUAUUUAUUUAUUUUUGCUAUGUCUUUUUGAUUCUGACAAAAAGGGGGAGAAGUCAUUAAUAGCUCUGAUGAAAAUAUUGUCUAAAUACCUUAAGCAUUCUGCAACAUAUUUUUUUUUAAAAUAAAUUUAUCUAACCUGGACUUAAGAAAUUGCAGAAGGUAUCAAGAAACCUCUUUACUUAGAAGCUCUGGUAAGAACUUCUGAACUCCCUAGCACUAUCUCAGGGGGAGCUCUUAUCUAUCUGAUCUGAUAUUAUUCAUGUUUCAUCUGCUAAUUAAGUUUGUUUUGUCAUCAUCAAAAAGGGGGAGAUUGUAAGAACAAAAAUUGUUCUACAACAGAUUCCUUGAUUUUGAUGAUAACAAAGGAUGAAACCAAAAAUGGCACCCUAACGAAAAGUUUCUAAGUGUGCAGGGUUCUAAAGAAAGAAGGAAGAAAUCUGAUGAUGUCAUCAGAUACAGAACCAGAUAAGAUACAAAUUAUCAAAUGAUCAGAAGCAUCUGAAGUGGAAACACGUUCAAGAAAGUCUAACUCUGAGCAAUACAUCAGAAGCAUCUGAACAAGAAUACGCUCUAAAAGUUCUGACUCUGAACAACGGUUGUCUAACUCCAGAAACUCUCAGCGCUAUCUGAAGAAUCCAUCAGAACUCAAAAGAGAUCUACAUCAGAAGCAAGAUUUCAAGAUUCUCAGAUACACGAAGACUCUGAUCAUGGAAUUGCUAAUCAUGAAAGAGUAACGUUAAAGUCAAGUAAAGAUUUGCAAAUGGUUUUCCUAAUUAAGAAAGAGAUGUUAAUCUCCAAUUUCAAUAAAGAAGAUACUACUUGUGGUAAGUAGUCAUUUCAAGGAGAGAAAGUUAUCCUGCAAAAGCUAUUUAUGUGAUGGCAUAAAUUCAUUUUAAUAUCCACCAGUUUCAACUACUACUUCAACUGAUAUAUAAAAUGGGCUGCAAUCAACUUUGAAGCAUCAGCAAGCCAACAAGCCAAAAUUAUACUGAAACAUCAACGCUCAAGAAAAAACACUCUUGCUCUCUAAAGAUCUUUCACGAAGCUUUUGCUUAUAACGUGAAAAACUCUUGUUCUUAAUACUGUAAUAUUUGCUUUCUUAGAAGCACUCUAGAUUACCAUAAAAUCUUUCAUCUAUUGUUUGUUGAUGUCCUUCAAGUGACUCUGUGUAGUCUGUAUACUUGAGAGGACUAAGAGAUUUUCUCUUAGACGUUGUUUGUAAUCUUUCAAGAUUAGUGGAUUAAGUCCUUUGUUGAAGGCGAAAUCACUCGGCCGGGGUGGACUGGAGUAGCUUUGUGUUAUAAGCGAACCAGUAUAAAAUCAUUGUGUGGUUUUCAUUUUGAAAAAGCGCUUAUUUUUCCAAACAAUUCAAACCCCCCCCCUUUCUUGUUUUUCUCACCUUCAAGUUCCGAUUCUUUUCCCCAACUGAGUUGGUUGAUUCAGUACCUUGCGGCGUGUUAUUUCCCCGACAGAGUUUCUGUGCCCCCCAACGGAGUUCGUGUUUCUUCAGCAGGGUUGAUCUUCAGCAGAGUAAGAGGUUCUUCCCCAGUGGAUCGCGUUGGUUUCCUCACCAGUCGCCAUCCUACUUGCUCCCAGUCAGAGUUUCCUCCUUGUUUCUGAGCAGCCAUUUUGUGUUUAUCUUCUGUAUGGUUGUCUCCCAUUUGAUAUGGCGUUGACUUAAAAUUCCUUGCAGACUCGAUAAAGAUUCCUCUCCUCAGCAGAUCUCCUCUUCCCUCGGCUAGAUUUAAGCCUUUGAAUGUUGAUUUCUUUGUUCUCCGGCAGUUGUCUCCCUCUUUUGCGGAUUGACCGAGGAUUGUACCGAUGAUUCAAAUUUUUUGUGACACCUUUGUAUCCUUUGUGAUCGUUCUGUCAGCAUAAUCAUCAUAUAUACAUAUACAUAUACAUUCAUAUAAUUUCAUAAAUGCAUAUUUGCAUCAUCAUAUCUGAUUAGUUUAUCUGAGAUUCUUAUUCUCUGUUAUGGCGAUACUUUAUCCCCAUACGAGUUUGGUGUCUGUCCUCCCUCAAUUUCAGAGUGUCAUCCCCUUAGGCAGGAAGACUUUAACCUUUCUCCUCUUCCCCACUGAGUUUGUUUCCUAGUGGAUGAUUAUUAUUUCAGUUUCCUUCCCAGUUGAUUAUCUGGAUGGAAUCACUCCCCUUGAGUUAUGUCCGCAUUAGGUUGAGUCUUGAUUGACUGUUUCUUUCUAGCUCUUACCUGGAUAGAUACUUUGAGUCUUCUAAGAGUUUGUUACCCAGUAACUGGUAAUAUUCUUUUGAAAUUUGUUACUUCUUGCCCAAUACCUGACAUAAGUACCCCUGUUUUCAUAGCAGCGGAGUUCCCAGUGGAUUCAUUUGUUUCUGAUUCCCCAGGAAGUAUAUCCUUGAUAUGUUCAUCCUAAGCGGUGACAGAUAUCUUUCUUUCCCCUGCCUGAGUCUAUCCUUGAUAUGUUCAUCCUAACCGAUGACGGCUAUUCUCAUCCUUGGUGUUCUACCCAGUAAAAAGGUAGUUGUAAUCCCUAUUUUAUUCCCUAGAGAGUUAAUCCUUGAUAUGUUCAUCUUAACCGAUGACAAAUUUCCUUCUCCUUGUGGUAUUCUACUGAGUAAAAGGUAGUUGUAAACCCUACUUUCUCCCGUAGAGUCUAUCCUUGAUAUGUUCAUCCUAACCGGUGACGGAUUUUCUCUUCGAUGGUAUUCUAUCCAGUAACUGAUAAAUGUAAUUCCUAUUUUCUCCCCUCACAUAGUGUAUCCUUGAUAUGUUCAUCCUAAGCAGUGAUAGAUUUUCUCUUUGAUGGUCUUCUAUCUAGCAUUCGAUAGAUGUAAUUCCUACCUUGUGGUUCAGUUGGUAUAUCCUUGAUAUGUUCAUCUUAACCGAUGACGGGUAUCCUCCUUGACAGUCCCAGGCAAGUCUAUCCUUGAUAUGUUCAUCUUAAUCGAUGACGGAUUUUCUUCCCUGGUGAGUCUAUCCUUGAUAUGUUCAUCCUAACCGAUAACGGAUAUUCUCACCUUUGGUCUUCUGCCCAAUAGCCGGUAGUUAUAAAUCCUGUUUUCUGCAGUUUUCCCCAGCAAGGCUAUUCUUACCAAGUAACCGAUAAUGAAUACUCUCUCCUGGCAAUUCUCAGCGAGUCAUCCUUGAUAUGUUCAUCCUAAUCGAUGACAUAUGUCCUCUCUGUCAGAUCUUUAUUAUCUCCUCACCCAAUAAUAUGCAGUAGAUAAUAGAUUUCUGCCCCUCCUGUGUUGAAGUUUAUUUCUUCUCCAGUCGAGUUGAGUGUGCGUUUCCUUAGUGAAAUCGUUUUUCCUGCAUGAUUCAAGUACUUCAGUUUUAUCCUGACUUACUCGUAUCCCCUGCAGAUGUUAUUGUUCCCCGUCUGAGUCUUUCCCAUUUUUUGUAUGGAAUUCCUCGAGUCCCCUAGCAGUUUUCAAGUUGUAGCCUGGCCUAUGCAUAACUCUUUUAUCCCCAUAGAGUCUCUGUCUCCCCAGUGAGUUUUCCUUGCGGAAUGCAUUAUACUUCUGUGGACUUUUGGUCUCUCUGAUUUCUUUUCCUUUGUGGCUAUAUUUCCGUACAAAGAAUUUACUUUUGCAUUCAUAUCAUAUGCAUCAUGAGGUCUCUUAGGGACCAAAAUUAUUUCUAUGUUGUUAUUUAAGCCCAUUCUACUAAGUCGAGCCGAAGAUUUUAACCUUUACCUCCUCAGUUAGAAUGUCCUUAAAUAGGGGCAGCUGUAAGACCCCAAUUUUGACCCUAAGAUCCCUCAUGCAAUUUCAUCAUAUGCAUUAGCAUUGGGAUCAUACUUUGGCAUCCUCCUUACCCCUAUUUCAUUGGGUUUGUUUUGGGAGAGAUCACCAAGCACUAUGUGAUUGUAUCAUACUUGUAUAUCAUCAUUUUAUUAACCAAAAUACAAAAAUAUGUUUUUGCAUUUGCCUAACUCUUUUGUAGGUAGCGCAUGAUCUCCAUUGGUCUAUCAAGUUCAUAUCUAGGGUUUGAGACCCUCAUGACAAAGAGUACAACCAUGAAUUGAUCCAAGAAUGGUUAUGAGCAUCAUAUAUGAGUCCCAAUGAUCUCUACAUUUUAUAUUGAUCAAGUUUCCUUCAAGAGUUUGGAGGUGAUUUGCCUUGGAAACCCUAGUUUGAUUGGGUAUCUUAAGUGACUUCUCCAACAAGCUAUCUCACCAAUUGAUCAAAUUUCUCAAGGGAAACUUCAAAAUUCAUUAUCUUAUGCAUAUAUGAUCUAUCAUGGGCCAAGAAAGUCAAAAGAAUUUAAGGUUAGCAAGUUGGUUGAUGGUGGUUGGCCAGAUGAAUUCAUCUGAUCAAAACUGGAUCUCCCUAGACCCUAUCUCCUACAAUUUUCACCAUAUGAAAAUGAUUACAAGAUCAAAGUUACUCUAAAUGACAUUAUAAACAACUUUAAUGUUGAGGUCUAGAGCUACUUUUGCUUGGACAGUCAUUUUCUAUGUUGAAACAUUAUAGGUCAUUUUGUCUAAACCCUAAUUUGAAAGUCAACUUCCCAAGGCCAUAACUUGCUUAAUUUUUAUGAGAUGAAAUAUUUCCAAGUUGCACAAUAAAAUUUAAUAUGUAUACUUCAACUUUGAUGUAUGUAGUUAGAGCUAAGUCAACUUUUAUGAUCAUGUGAUAUGAGGUUACAUUAUAGGUCAUUUUUGACCUAUACCAUUGAACAAGUGAUUUUUCCAAACUUCAAAAUUGCAUAAUUCUAUCACUCUAAAUCCAAAUGACAUGAAAUUGGUGACCAUUUUGAAGGUAUUUGAAGAGCUACAACGUUGAUGAAGACACUUUUCUCAUUUGAAGCUCACAUAAAAAGUUAAGUAAGGUGGAAUAUUGAGCUAUAUAGCUUGACACUUAGUAAAUUUUUUAACAUGUUGAAAUUUCCAAACUUCCAAAUCAAAAUUCUUCAUGUUCCAAGCUCCAAAUGAAAAAGUGUUGAAUAUCAAACUUGUUCCCCUUGAUCCAAGCUUUCCAAAGCACCCAAGUUCAUGCAUUUUGGAAAAAGAUUGCUAGGACUGCGCAUGGCUUUAACAGGGCUACAUCAUUGGAAAGAAUCAAUUGCACAAACUUCAGUUCACAUUGCCUUACCAUUCAAGCUUCAUUCAGACUUCAAUUGGAAUCAUUUUGGACCUUAAUGCAUUGCAUCAUGGGCCUGUACAUGCCCAUGCACUCGUGCCAUCCACAUUGCCAAUUUUGGAUAGAUUUUGAAGUGUGCAAAUAUUAUUCCCUUUGGCUAUAAAUAGAAGGCCUCUGAGCUCAUUUGAAUAACUUUUUGCGCGCCAGCUUUUCCCCCCGUUGAAACCCUCUCAUUCUAAAGGAAAACCUGAGAAAUUUCAAUUUGAAAUUUGAGUUUGAAUCUCAACUGUUGGAGAUUCAAGAACUCCAGGAUCCAAAGCCUUGCAACCUCUCCAAUCACUUCCUGCUAGCUUCUCACUCAUUCUAAAGGAAAACCUGAGAAAUUUCAAUUUGAAAUUUGAGUUUGAAUCUCAACUGUUGGAGAUUCAAGAACUCCAGGAUCCAAAGCCUUGCAACCUCUCCAAUCACUUCCUGCUAGCUUCUCUAGUGUGAUCAGAUCGUGUUUGGAGCAAGCAACAUCAAGAACUGCAUAGCAUUGAAGGUAAUUUUCAAAAAACUUCAUCUCUUCGAUUCUCACUCAAUUCUACUUAAUUAUCUUGGAUCUUUGGUUGCCUGAAGUCCUACCAAUGUAGGCAAGAAGAUUGAGUUGCUUAGAGGUCAAAUCGAAGCAACUCAGUUGAUACACCUCAAAAUUCAACUCCUCAUAUCUUUCUAUAUAUGUUGAGUUAGUUAAAAUUGAGGUCAGAUUUGUGCUCUACGCCAUUUUUUCUUUCAGAUCAUGUCCUUCUUUUUCAUUUUCUUGAUGGUGAUGAGUGAACCAGUCCGGUGGACCUCGCCUGAGAAGGUGACCGGAGGUCCAGCGCCGGUGGUGUGUUGGACAGGUUCUGAGCCGUUGAUCUCACUUGAAAUGUUUUAAUCUCAUGCGUUGCUUGUAAUUACCAUUUGUGUUACGCAUUGACUCGUGACUAUGGUGGAAAGUGCGCUGAUGGCCAUUUGAUAUGCCACCUCAAUUAAUGAGGCAGAUCAAGUGGUCCACGUUUUUCUGUUAUUUUCUGAUUUUCUUUUAUUCCUUUUAUUUUCAUUAAUUCAUAUUAAUUUUAAUAUUGAUCCAAAAAAUAUGAGAGUUUCACCAAAAAAUUUCAAAUAAUUUCCUCUUUCAUAUUUUGAAUUAUGAUCCAAAAAAUAUGAGAGUUUCACCAAAAAAUUUCAAAUAAUUUCCUCUUUCAUAUUUUGAAUUAAAAUUAUUUUUUGGAUCAUUAUUAAUAUUUUUCAUGAUUUAAUUGAUUUUGUGUUUGUUUUUAACUGUUUAAAAAUACUUUUAAGUCUUUAAAAAUUCUGAAUUUUUUUCUCCAAGGUCCUUUGACCUUGUUUGACAUAUGAUAAAUCUCAUGGCCAUUUCUUUGGUGUUUUGAUGAGGUUUUAGGAAUUUGACAAACCAUAUUUAAUUUAAGUGUAUUAUUUUAGUCUUUUUAAUUUGAAUAAAUGCCAAUUAAUUGUGUUGACCAAUUGUGAUGACUUGUUUGAGUUUGACUCUUGUUGUUGGGCCUUGGUCAAGGUUGAUUUGACUUUGUCAAAUUAAUAUCAUUGAAUUUAGAGGAUUGAUGGAAUGUACAUUCCAUCUUCCAAAAUGAAUGGAUGAUAUUUAUUUGGUAAAAGUCCUUCUUUAACCAAUUUGAGUUUUGAUCCAUUCCCCUCCCUCUUCAUCUCAUUCUCAUUCUUUAUGCAUUCAUCUCAUUUGGCCUAUGAUAUCUCAAAGUCCUAAGGCUAGUUGAUUGAAAAAUAAACAUAAGUAUGAAUGAGAUUAGGCCACCUCUUUUGCAUAUUCUUUUUGUGUGUGAUAUGUUUCAUGAGCAUAGUCCAUUAUACUAUGUCUCUAACAUGCAUUAACACCAAAAUUCUAUUGCCCGACCUCAAAUAGUUGUACAUAGUCCAUUAUACUAUGUCUCUAACAUGCAUUAACACCAAAAUUCUAUUGCCCGACCUCAAAUAGUUGUGACUUCUACAUAAGUCCAAUUACGAUUGCUUAACAUAUCACUAAAUUUGUGACACAAAAGGCAUAACAUUCUAGUUAGUGAGAUUGUAAGUCUCCCCUCUUUCAUGGUUUUGUGGGGAAACUUGGCCUUUUUUCCUUCCUUUGAAAGAUGUCUUGGCUCAAGGAUCCAUGCUUGUUAUAAGUGGGUUGGGUGUUCUCCAAAGAAUGACUAAAAACUGAAAAGCAAAGGCAAAACAAUACUAACUUCUAACUCAUUAACUACUAAGUUUUAAUUUCAAGCCAUUUAUUUUAAUGUCAUUUAAUUUUAGUCUUUAUUCAUUUGCCAUUAUUCAUACCAUUCUAACUGUUUAUGUUAAUGCAAUUUUCACUUUGUCCACUUGGACCAUAUUGUGUGAUAUAUCUUGUUUGUGUAUACUUUGCUUGUUUGUGUGGUCUUUGACCAUUAAUGUACAUAAUAACAACAAAAACCCUAUUGUGUGAUAUAUCUUGUUUGUGUAUACUUUGCUUGUUUGUGUGGUCUUUGACCAUUAAUGUACAUAAUAACAACAAAAACCCUAAAAAACUUUUGUGUGGAAUGUUGGCUUGAUCUUGGACAAAUGAGCUUAGAAUUUAGGCAACAUUCCUAUGCUAAAGGACUUGGCCAAUGGCAACUUUUGUGAAACCAAGUGCUUGCAAUUUGAAACUUCAUCUGAUACAUCAUUCAAGAUCCCUCUGAGUUCAUCUACAACAUGAUCAUUAUGAAGCUGUUAUUUUGAGCUUGUGACUUAUGGAAUUCAUCUGUUACAUGGGCUAAUUUGAAGAAGAUCAUGGAGUGGCUAAAGCUUGGAUGUGGCUAUCUUUAUUUGAUGUCUUGCUCUUCAAGAUAAUAUAAUUGUGCAUUUGUGUGUUGCUUGAUUCAAAAUGUUCAAGGGAAUUUGGGUUUCUAUUGACAUUCUUGUCUAUUUGAUUGCUACCCAUUGGUCAGAUCUUUUCAACUCUUAACUUUUAAUUUUGUGCAUUGGAUUAGUCUCUUCAUCUCCUCCCCAUCUCUUAAAUUUCAAAAUCUCUCCCUCAUUUUAAAAAAUCUUCUCUGUUUGAACUAGUUUUGUUCUAAAACUUUGAGCACUUUGCAAAAUGAUAGAAACUUUGGCCUUAUGCCAUUGUAUUUUUAAACUACUUUUCUUAAAUCAAACUUGUAAAGAGGCUCAAUUAUACUUGACUUAAACUUUCAAAAAGCCAAAAAGAACUAACUCAUUCAAACCACUUUUAGGCUUCUGUGCCCUUCAAACUUAAUUUUUGCUAAAAAUAAUGCAUCCACUUUGAAAUUCGUAUCACGAACUACGAGGUUUUGAUCCUUCAUUUUUAUGUUGGUACGUAGGCACAAGUCCGAAGGUCUUGUCAAACACAAAAAUAUAAUUAAUGAAUUCUUUUCUCAUCCCCCCACUCUAUUUGUUUGUAAACAUCAUUUUGUAUCAAAUACAUAUGCACACAAAAAGGGCUCCCUAGGAGUACCUAGGACACUUUGGAUGCUAACACCUUCCCUCUGUGUAACCAAGCCCCUUACCUGUAAUCACUGACAUUUUAUUAGUUUUGAUUUGAAAACUUCUUACUUUUGGGUUUUGUUCGUAUUUUUUCCCUUUUCCCUUGGAAACAAUAAAAGUGUGGUGGCGACUCUGGUUUUACUGAUCUCUAGCUUAUCCAUGGCUUGAUGAUCAUGAAUUUACCGCUACAGAUACAGACAUGGAAGGAAUUAGAGGAUAAAUCCAUGGAAAUAUUUUUCAUUACUACUCAGUUUACCGAGCGCUAAGUAGAAAUUGUGAGGUUUGAGCAGUAGGAAACUGAGUCACUUUAUGACUCUUGGAAAAGAUUAAAACUUUUGUUACGCAGAUGCUCGAAUCACAACAUGAAUAAUAUGGAGCAGAUGAAAAACUUCAUUAAAGGUCUCAAAGUCAAACUCACGUAUUUUUGGAUGCUUCUACGAGAGGUACUAUCUGAUAAAUGAAUGAACCAUAGGUAAAAGAUAUCAUUGAGAUGAUGUGUAUAAAUGAGUACCGGUCCAAGAACGAAAGGUCGGUCAAGACGGGAACUGUGGGCACGCCUAAAGGUAUGUUACCUAUUGAUACCCACACUACUCUUUUAGCUCAUAUUGAAUUAUUAAAUAAAAAGCUAGCUGGAAGCAGCUUAGUUAAAGCUAACGUAAGUCAGGGACAAGCACUUAAAAGCGACUUAUAUGGAGGAUAACAUGCGAAUGCAAGGUGUUCAUUAGAAGGGACAAGUGAGGAGGUCUAAUUUGCUAAUUUUUAAAAAAAAUAACCUGUAUUCAAACACAUACAAUCCGGGUUUAAAAGACCACCCAAAACUCCUUUGGAAUAAUAAUCAAAAUUCAAAUGCUAACUAAGGGAUGCAACAAAGCCAACAAGCUCUGUUUCAAAGAAAUCCAUCACAAAUGGUAGAGACCUUGCAAAAUUUCAUUAAGGUCACUCAAAGUAGCUUUGAUAGGGUAAAUAAGACCCUUGAAGAAAUGAGUAGAAACUAGGAUGCGUCUAUCAAAAUUUUGGAGAUGAAGAUAGGUCAAUUAUCUAGACAAGUAGCUACUUUUCCAAGCUCAAGUGGAGGAUUCACCAGUAACAUUGUUGAUAACCCUAAGAAUGAUAACCCUAAAUAUAGGUUUAGGGGCAAUUACUGAAAAGGAUAAGGAGGAGAUAGUUAAAGAACGUGUGGUUAAGAUAGAGGAGGGUACAAAUCAAGGUGACCAAGAGGAAAGAGGAGACACGAUUGAUCAACUUAUAGACAAAAAAUCUCCUCGGGGGAGAACAAAGAAGCAGAUCAUGACUUAACCAAAUCCUCCUUUACCUGAUUACGUAAAACCACCGUACCCAAUAAUUAAAAAGAAAGUGGUUUAAGAUGAUGAAGCGAGAAUGUUUUCAAAGUUCAAGGAAGUUCUAGCUACUCUCCGGGAAAGUAUUUUGUUCCAUGAAAUUUUAGAACUAAUGUCUAAGUUUGCUAAAUUUAUGAAGGCGUUACUAAAUAGGACGGAAGAGAAAAGGAUCAAGGAACAUGUAAACAUGACCGAAAAGAAUGAUAUGGUAAAACCUCAAUCCUUACAACGUAAACUAAAAGACUUAGGUAAAUUUAUGAAGGAGUUACUAAAUGGGACAAAAGAGAAACGGAUCAAGGAACAUGUAAACAUGACAAAAAAUGAUGAUAUAGUAAAACCUCAAUCCUUACAACCUAAACUAAAAGAAUUAGGUAAGUUUACUAUUUCCUAUAAUUUCAGUGGGUUCAAUAUUCUGCAUGCUCUAUGUGAUCUGGGAUCUAGCAUAAAUGUCAUGCCACUAAAAACUGUGAAAGAAUUAAAAGUGGGUGAGAUCACACCGAGUAACAUGACUCUCAGUCUAGUUGAAUUGUCUAUUACUCAUUCAAUUGGUAUUUUACGCGACAUAUUAGUACCUGUCGACGACUUAUUGUUUCCUAUAGAUUUUGUAGUGCAUGAUACAAAAGGAUAUUCAGGAGGAUCUAUUAUUCUUGGACAUCCAUUCUUGGCAACCGGGAAAGAAAAGAUUGAUGUAGAAAUUGGUCAACUUAUCUUGAAGUCAAAUAAAAGGAAUGUGGUUUUCAAGGUAUAUGACUGGACACCUUAUGUGGAUAAUUUGGAUACUUUCUACUAUCUGGAGGAAAAAGGUAGGAAAGUAUACAAAGGAACAAUGAGAAAGGAAGUGACAGACGUGAGGGUAUCCCUUGCGCCUGACGUACCUUAGACAUGGAUUAUCAAGCUAGUGAUGUUAAAAAAGCGUUUGAUGGGAGGCAACCCAUCAAUAAGAAUUUAUUUUUUCGUCAUAAUGAAUUUUUAUUUUUCUAACCUUGUUAAUUUUUGUGCUAUGUUAUUGGAAGAGAAAAUAGGUGAAAGAAGAAAACAAAGAAAAAGCAAAAGGGAAGAAAAUAGAACAAGAAAAGAGAGAGGAAAGUUUCAUCCCCUGGAAUCAUCACGUAUGAUAAUAUAAACUAGUUCUUUACAAUAACAAAAUUUGAUAUUUAUUUAUACAAACACAAUUAAUAUAAAGACAAUAACACACAAAUCACACAUGUUAAUUUUAGAAGAAUUAUACUCUAAUAUUUUUUGAGUCGUGAUAUCUCCUCUUCUUAAAUAUUUGAAAGUUGGAUCUCUCUCAUUAAUCUCUAUUCCCCUAUUUAUUUUAAGAAUGAACAUAUUGAAUUAAUAAAACAUAAUUGCACCUUUCUUAGAGGUUAUACAAAUAACUACUAAAGUUGAAAAAAAUAAAGAGAGGUCAACUCAAUCUUUAUCAAAUGAAAUUAAAGUUUAUUUUAAAACACAAACAACUAGUUCAUUGAAAUGAUAACUUGUUUAGUACACAAACAAGAUCUUACUUAAUACAUAGAAAUAAGAUCUUACGGAACAUAGAGAUUAAAAACAUAGGAACAACAUGAAAAGUUUUUAAAAUGACAUAGAUAUUGAUUAACAAAGAUAUGAACUAGUUUCGGGUAUUUUUUAACCAUCCAUCAAGGUAAACUUGUUUGGAGUCAGGGGUGGAUUUUGGUCUAAUAUCUUUCAACCAUCCAUCAAGGUAAACUUGGUUGGAAUCAGAGGAGGAUUUUGCUUUUUCAGCUCGAGUGUCUUUCAACCAACCAUCAAGAUAAACUUGUUUGGGAUCAGAGGUGGAUUUUGUUUUCUCUGCUCGAGUAUCUUUCAACCACCCAUCAAGGUAUACUUGGUUGGAGUCAGGGGUAGAUUUUGUUCUCUCGUUUCGAAUAUCUUUCAACCAUCCAUCAAGGUAAACUUGGUUGGAAUCAGAGGAGGAUUUUUCUUUUUCAGCUCGAGUGUCUUUCAACCAACCAUCAAGAUAAACUUGUUUGGGAUCAGAGGUGGAUUUUGUUUUCUCUACUCGGGUAUCUUUCAACCACCCAUCAAGGUAUACUUGGUUGGAGUUAGGGGUAGAUUUUGUUCUCUCGUUUCGAAUAUCUUUCAACCAUCCAUCAAGGUAAACUUGGUUGGAGUCAGAGGAGGAUUUUUCUUUUUCAGCUCGAGUGUCUUUCAACCAACCAUCAAGAUAAACUUGUUUGGGAUCAGAGGUGGAUUUUGUUUUCUCUACUCGGGUAUCUUUCAACCACCCAUCAAGGUAUACUUGGUUGGAGUCAGGGGUAGAUUUUGUUCUCUCGUUUCGAAUAUCUUUCAACCAUCCAUCAAGGUAAACUUGGUUGGAGUCAGAGGAGGAUUUUUCUUUUUCAGCUCGAGUGUCUUUCAACCAACCAUCAAGAUAAACUUGUUUGGGAUCAGAGGUGGAUUUUGUUUUCUCUACUCGGGUAUCUUUCAACCACCCAUCAAGGUAUACUUGGUUGGAGUCAGGGGUAGAUUUUGUUCUCUCGUUUCGAAUAUCUUUCAACCAUCCAUCAAGGUAAACUUGGUUGGAGUCAGACAUGGUUUUUGUUUGCUUUGCUCGAGUAUUUUUCAACCAUCCAUCAAGGUAAACUUGGUUGGAGUCAGAUGUAGAUUUUUCUUUCUCAGCUCGGGGAUCUUUUAACCAUCCAUCAAGAUAAACUUGUUUGGAGUCAGAGGUGGAUUUUGUUUUCUCUGCUCGGGUAUCUUUCAACCAUCCAUCAAGGUAAACUUGAUUGGAGUUAGGCAUGGACUUUUCUUUCUCGACUCUGAUAUUUUUCAACCAUCCAUCAAGAUAAACUUGGUUUGAGUCACUUGCAGGUUUUGUUUUCUCAACUCGGGUAUUUUUCAACCAUCCAUCAAGGUAAACUUGGUUGGAUUCAGAGGUGGAUUUUGCGUUCUCUGCUCUGGUAUCUUUCAACCAUCCAUCAAGGUAAACUUGGUUGGAGUUAGGUGUUGACUUUUCUUUCUCAGCUCUGAUAUCUUUCAACCAUCCAUCAAGAUAAACUUGGUUGGUGUCACCGGUAGAUUUUGCUUUCUCAGCUCGAUUAUCUUUCAACCAUCCAUCAAGGUAAACUUGGUUGGAUUCAGAGGUGUCUUUUGCUUUCUUUGCUCUGGAAUCUUUUAACCAUCCAUCAAGAUAAACUUGAUCAGAGUUCUGGGAGGAUUUGGUUUUCUCUGCUCGUGUAUCUUUCAACCAUCCAUCAAGAUAAACUUGGUUAGAGUUAGCAAUGUGUUUUUGACUCUUCAAUGGAUUUUUGAGCCAACCAUCAAGGUAAGGUUGAUCAACUUGUAUUUCUUGUACAUUCUCUUGCUGAAGUUUGAUAUAUCGGGCAAAGCUUCCUUGUCCAUUCUAUAAUACAAUUGAAUAAAUGGAUAUUAGUGAGUUAUUUUUGGAUGGUAUAUAUGAUUACAAAAACAAAAUAAUGUGUUUUAUAAGACACAUUAUGUUGCACAGGUGAGACACAUUCAUUAUAUAUUUCAGAUGGAUACAAAAUGUGAAAUAAAAAUGAAAGAAAAACAAUUUUUAAAAUUUCAUUGCGGCAUAGAAAACAUUAUUUUAUCAAAUCAAAUAGAACAACUUGAUUGUAAGUGAAUGAUGAAAUCAAAUCAAAUAAAGAUGAGAAAUGAUAGAUUGUGAUAAAUAAAUGAUGAAAAAUAUAAGUGUAAAAGAUACAAGAAUGGAUGCAAAGUUAGUAACUUACGAUCAACAAGAGCAUGAUAAAAGGGAGGAGAAACAAAACAUCUUUGUGUGUCAUUUCUUUAAUGUUAUGAUUUUGUGGGAAAAUUGUUUUAAUGUGAAAAGAUGUAUUGAAAUGGAAGUGAAUUGGGCUAUUUAUAAGUGAAUGAAAAGAAAAACUACAUUAAGGAUAUUAAGGACAUUGCGACUUUGGUUGGCAAGAUUAUUUUUUAAAUAUUUAAUUUAUUUUAUUUUUUAAAUGUUUAGUUUAAUUUAUAAGUUUAUAUGUCUAAGAAAGAUCAAUUUACUUUUUCCAAGAUCUAUUAGGUGUGUUGUUUUGAGUUAUAAAUAAAAAAUUCAAAAAAUUGUUUGUUUGGUAUCAUUUUUUUAAUUAGAAGCUCCUAACUAAAUUCUCCAGGUUUAAAAUAAAUAAAUUUUAGAAAAGCUACUGCAAUUAGUUUUUUAUUUUAAAAUUAAAAAUGAUUCUCUUAAAAACUUUAAUAAAAACCUAUUAAAAUGAUAAAGGUGAUUUUUUAAAUGUUAAACAAACAUUUAUUUUGAUAAGUUAUUUCAAAUAAUUUAAAAUUUCAUAAAUUUAUUUUAAUUUAUAAUUGAAGUGGUAAUUAUCAUAAUCUCGUCUCUUGAGUUCUAAUAUUUGAGCUAAUAGUAUAAAUAUUUUUUAGUUGAAUUAAAAUUUGCAUUAAUGAUAGUUUCAAUUUUACAAUUAAUUAAACUAAUUUAGUAGUUAAUUUUAUUAAGUGUAAUAAAUGCAAUGAAUUAAUUUAACUACAUCCCCUUUAAUUCGAGGUGGGUGUAGGUAUUCCGAGACAUUCAAAUUUGAAGACUAAUAUAUAGAUUAAAAUUAUUUAUUAAUUUAUUUAAUGGUAAUUACAUAUUACAAAAUUUCAUUUUUGGAAAAAAGUUAUUAUUUUAAUAUUUUAUAUUUUUUAAUAGUUAUUAUUUUAUAAAAUUAAUUAUAAUGAGUAUAAUAUUUUAAUUUUAUUAUCAUCAAAUAUACACGACAUCAAAAUUACCAAACAUGAAAUCUAAAUAUAGGGAUCCAAUUAAUUGAAUUGGAAUUUACAUUGUGAAUCAUGAGUCUUCUGCCACCAAUUCCUAGGGACUCACUACCUAGCAAACAAUGAAUACAAAAUAGUAUCACAAGAAACACUAAAAUACUGUGUUGACCCUUGCAUGUUUAAGAUGUUCACAUGUAGCUAGGGUUUGGGUGGUUAUGUAGUUAUGCUUACCUAAUAGUAAGACUGUGUUGACCUUUGCAUGUUUAAGAUGUUCACAUGUAGCUAGGGUUUGCGUGGUUAUGUAGUUAUGCUUAUCUAAUAGUAAGUUAAAAAAUUGUAGUUAUCUAAAAAGUAAUAAAUUAUUAUAUUGACCGGUCUAAAGAGAAGAUAGAUAAGUUANGUAGUUAAUUUUAUUAAGUGUAAUAAAUGCAAUGAAUUAAUUUAACUACAUCCCCUUUAAUUCGAGGUGGGUGUAGGUAUUCAGAGACAUUCAAAUUUGAAGACUAAUAUAUAGAUUAAAAUUAUUUAUGUUCGUCUUAUAUAUUUUUUUUUUAUAUUUUAAUAUAAAUAUUUAUUAAUUUAUUUAAUGGUAAUUAUAUAUUACAAAAUUUCAUUUUUGGAAAAAAGUUAUUAUUUUAAUAUUUUAUAUUUUUUAAUAAUUAUUAUUUUAUAAAAUUAAUUAUAAUGAGUAUAAUAUUUUAAUUUUAUUAUCAUCAAAUAUACACGACAUCAAAAUUACCAAACAUGAAAUCUAAAUAUAGGGAUCCAAUUAAUUGAAUUGGAAUUUACAUUGUGAAUCAUGAGUCUUCUGCCACCAAUUCCUAGGGACUCACUACCUAGCAAACAAUGAAUACAAAAUAGUAUCACAAGAAACACUAAAAUACUGUGUUGACCCUUGCAUGUUUAAGAUGUUCACAUGUAGCUAGGGUUUGGGUGGUUAUGUAGUUAUGCUUACCUAAUAGUAAGACUGUGUUGACCUUUGCAUGUUUAAGAUGUUCACAUGUAGCUAGGGUUUGCGUGGUUAUGUAGUUAUGCUUAUCUAAUAGUAAGUUAAAAAAUUGUAGUUAUCUAAAAAGUAAUAAAUUAUUAUAUUGACCGGUCUAAAGAGAAGAUAGAUAAGUUAUUAUAAUCAAAUAUUAUCUAAAAAACAAUAAAUUAUAAGGAAUAUAGUUUCAUUAUUUUUAUGUUUAUUUAAAAAAUAUAAAUAUUUUUUAAAUUAAUGAUAAAUAAUUGAUUUUAAAUGUGAUGAUGGUUUAUAUCUUUACAUAAGAAACUAAAUGAUAAAAUGUGAAUAUUCAUAUCUAACAUUAAAUAUUUAUCUAAAUAUGUAGGCCAGCCUCAUAUUUAUUGUAAAUUUUUUAACAAAGCUUUUAAUAAUGUAAAUUAGAAUAAUGUAGGCCAGCCUCUCUAUUUAUAUAAAAAAAAUAUUUUUUAAAAUAUUUUUAUAAUAAAAAUAUAAAAUUUGUCACAAAACAAUUUUAUUAUUUUAUUAACUAUAAAAAUAUAGGUUAUAAAUCACAUAUUUCAUUUAUAAUUCAUUAACCAGUAAAAUACGUAAUAUUAAUCAAAUUAUAAUAUUAAAAUAUGAAAUACACAAUUUGCUUAAUUAUUAAUUAUUAUAUUUUAUAUUUUAAUGUCAAAAUUUAUUGAUAUUAUUUAUUUUAUUAAUUGAAUACAGUAAUAAAUAAAAUAUAUGGUUAAUCACCUAUAUUUUUGUGAUUAAUAUAAUAAUAAAAUUAAUUAAUAACAAACUUUAUAUUUAUAUUAUAAAAAUAAUUAUAAAAAUAAAUCAAAAACGAGUUUAAGACAACAUAGGAAAAAGGGAGACUCGGAUAUCGUAUCUCAAAGACGGUUGAAUUAUUAUUAAUAUACUGGAAUCGAAUUGGGGGUUUAUAUUUGAUUCAUAAUAAAUGAUUAUGAAAAGUGAUUAUAAAAUAAGUUGAUUUAUUGAUUCGGUUCCUACCUACCAUUGAUUAUUAUAGCGCGAAUGAAAGUGUAAGAAUUAUGUUUCUUAUUUGCUGAAUUAAGCAAUCAGUUAAGAUUAAAGCGAAUUAACGGAUUAAGCAUACGUUAACACGCAAUCAAAAUUAGGGAACAAUAAAUAUUCAAAUCAAACAAAAUUACUAAGUUUGAAAUUGUACCUCAUUCAGGUCUUGGUUCAAGCAUCCCUAUGUGCAUCACAUUUAACUUUGCAUAGGCCAUGAACUCAAGUCUUUUGGUAUGGAAAAAUGCAUAGAUCCAUAUGCCCGAUUCACUUCAUUCAUAUGAUGCAGAUGAUCAAGGAUGAUUGAUCCAUUUAAGACUUAGUUCCAUUGGUUCAUUCUUUGUUGCUUAAGAAAUCUCAGGGUUUUACUAAGAAGAAAGAGGUCGAGACCAGUGUCGUGAUAGUAAAUAUCUACCCUCAAGUUCAAGCACCUAUGACUCAUGUGUCAUACUACCCUUAUCUGUACAUUGUCGCUGCUCAAUAUCAGCAACCUGCAUACCAACCGCAAUAUCAACAGCCUCCAUGGGCUCCAAUUUCUCAGAAUCAACAAAAUAGCAGAAACCAGAGUCUAGGUCAGGGCAGACGUUAUGAUAGAAAACGUCCUCAGCCUGACCAUAUCCCUGUAUCAUACACUCAGUUGUUGUCGUAUCUUGUCCAGUAAGGAGCAAUUGCGCCAAAAGAGAUUCCGCCUGCAACUCCUCCCUAAAAUCACAAGCAUAAUCCUAAUGUGUCUUGUGCAUUUCAUGUCGGAUACAUAGGGCAUUCUACAGAGGAUUGUUUGGUCCUCAAGACCAUAGUACAAGAGUUAAUUGAUCAUAAGGUUUUGUAAUUCUCUGAGGCAGGACCCAAUGUCAUAACCAACCUAUUGCCAGACCACUGUGGACAGAUAGUGAAUGCAGUUUAUGGCGAAGAUUCCUCAGAUUCAGUUGAUUCUUCAGAGAAGUACUGAUGCUAGCAAUAUCAUAUUGAUUCAAUCAUGUAUCAUUUGUAAUCUUUUCUUGUUUGUUAAUUGUUGUUCAUUUGUAAAACUUGUCUGGUUUUUCAGAUGAUAAUAAUAAUGAAAUAAGCGUGCAUGUUUUGCUUAAAUCCAUUCGUGUUCACUCAUAUUUUAUUUUAUCAGUAUCAAAUUGUUUGUCGAACAAAAUCAAAAGAGAAUGAUGAAAUUAAAAAUAUGCAAGAUCGCUGUUUGUAUGCUUUUGAAUAAGAUCAUGUUGAUGAUGCAAGGCAUUGUUCAAUCCCUAAACACCGGAGAUAUAAGGAAGAUAAUCCCUAGUCAACCCAUUUGGAUGUUGUAGUAGGAGUUUCUUUCUUUAACACAUAAAAUCCUCAUGCUUAACUAGGGGCAGGGUAUUCUUCAUUUAGUUUAGACUUGCAUUCAAAUUUCAGAAGGAGAAUAUCUCAUCCAGUGAUCAAUCAUAUCAUAUCCCUCUCAAGAGGAUGGAAUCACAAAUCCAGGAUGGUUAUCCCUUACCAUUCAAAAGGAGUGAGAUAGUCACGACCCAUGCAACAAAUCAAGAAAGUCGUGUCACACGGUUUUCUCUAGUACAAAAAGAAAAGAUGAAAAAAUUAAAAGUCCGCUAAGUCAAAAACUUGAAAACAAGAUUGACUUAUAUGUGUGUGUUUGGGGUGAGUCUGGAGAUGCACCUUCGAACUUCGAAAUGUGUGAGCUUUUUUGUAUUUUUCAUCUCAUGCCCUAGUAAUAUAUAUGGUGCAUUAAAAAAUAUCCAUAAAUUAAGGGAUUUGGUUAACACACUCUUAGGAUUGUUUUUCGACCCUUGUGAAAAAUCAAAACUACCUUUAGAAUUCAGAAAUAAAUCUUUGGACGCACCUCAAACACACACACAAUCAAUUCAUUUUUGAGUCAUGAAGUUAAUUAGGAAAUGCAUCUCCUUAAAUAUUAACGGGGGUGUAUUUUCCAAACCUAUUGAACCACACAGAAUUGCAUAAACCAAACAGAUGCAGAAAUAAAGAUAAAUCACAUUGAUAACAUGAAAAAUGAAAUAUUACAUAGAUAAUCGUUAACAUAAAUCGAACUUUGCAUUUGAACAUCAAGAUGGACGUUUCAACAUAUUUAUAAUAUCUUUUAUCGAUCUCGCAAUCAUCGCAUCCAACUUGAUCAAACAUUUUAUUUCGUAACGGUUAAAUGUAUUUCACAUAACUCUUAAAUCCGCAUCCGUCUUCAGCUUAAAGUUGUUGAACUGAAUCUACCAUUCAUUAUCAACCGAGAGUGAACCUUACUUGAGUUUCACAAUUCUUCAAUGAACUUAAAUGCAAUUGAGGACUCCGCGUAGUUGAGUCAUAUUUCAUGGAGACUCAUAAUGCGUCCAAAAAUGCAUUUCCAAAAUUUUAGUGGCAUUUUUAAAUUUUUAUAGGAUGGUUUUCCAGCACUUAUGUAGAGAUAAACAAUUUCCUUAUUAAAGGUCUCUGAGAGGAAUUGAAAUAAAUAUAUUUAAAAAAUUAGUAUUAUACUUAUUUAAGGAAUAAAGUUUUCUAACCAAAAAUUUUUCCCUAAUUUUUUUGUGCCUAAUUUUUUUGCUAACAAAAUAGAGACCUGAUUAUAUUUCACUAAUUUUCAUUCAUCUCUCAAUUAAUAUCUCUCAUAACCCUCAUUAACUCUCAAUUAAUGUAAUUCAUAUCAAUUAAUUGUUUUUUGAAAAUUUUGUAUCCGGCUUCGGACCAACUAGUUUAGUGAAUUGCUAAUUUCAUCUUUAAGUGUUGGAAAAAUACCUUAUAAAAAUUUGAAAAUACUCUUCUGAUUCCAAAAAUGCAUCUUCGGACGCAACUUGCACCUCACCAAAACACGCUUCAACUUGUUGAUGUUUUUUAUGUAAUUCAAGUGGUGUAACUGGUUACCUCAUGUGGUGUAAACGGUUACCACUAAAGUUGAUUUAAUUCAAUAUCAGAUGUAACCGAUUAUCCACUUUUGUGUAACGAUUACAAGCUUAAUAUUUUGAUUUUUUCUGAUAUUUUACUUGGUCAAUUCAGUUCCCAAUUGUGUUGUAUCUCUUGUAUAAGUGUUUAGAAUGUACACUCAUCUAAGGUUAAUGCAAUAAUAAUCUCUCAUCCUCAAUUCUCCUCUUUCACACUCCACAUCCAAAGUAUCUCCACCAUUAUUCACCAAACUUGUGGUGUCCUGUUCCAACAUUUGACAUCAAGAGUCUGGUUCAGAUCCACAAACACUUAGUGUGCAACAUGAAUUAUGUUUCCAAUGAAAAAAUCCCUCCAAACCUACCUAUCCUUGAUGCGAAGAAUUAUGAUAAAUGGUACAAGGAAAUGAAGAUGUUGUUUGGCUACCAAGAUGUUCUUACAGUAACUCUUAAGAGAAAAUAGUUGUCCCUGACCUACUUUGAGUCUCCGUAGGGAAAUUGGACUGGCAAAGAGGGUAGAAGGAGGAAACUACUCAAGUGAGCUUGAAGCAACAAAGGCAGUGAGUUUAGUUCCCACGCGGGGAAGAACGUUUAUAACAAGAGCCAGGAAGAUAAAUUAUUUUAUAAUACCUUCUCAAAAGUAAAAUGAGCUAUGAGAAAGAGCAAGAAUCUCAAGCGAUUGGCUGAACUUAACCUAGCUCGAGCUACAUGGCGGUUGAUCAAGGGAUACCGGAAAGAGGCAAACAACAGAACCUCCGGGUUUGAAGCUUUUCAUGUCGGGGCGAGGUCAAUCAAGGGUUUUGGGUCAGUGAAAGCUCGAGUGCCCCCUUCAAAAGUAAGGUGUCGGGAAUGCAACCAGUGAGGUGACCCGUUCCGUUAGGGCGGAUGAAAGAAGUUAUCCUGAAGCAGCGUCAAAGGCCUCUGUAGGCCCUUCAACAGGAUUUUUUGUCGUGUAGCAUUCUGUUUUGGCUACUCACGAAACUCUUUAUCCUUAAUAGGAAGAACUCCCUUUAGAGGAAGGAUACAAAGACCAAGCCUGUCUUUCUCUCUUAAAAAGGGCAUAUGGGGCAGGGCAGAAAGACUAUUUUAGGGGACUAAUCUGCUAAUGAAUGAAGGAAGGAGAAGGCCUUAAUUGUCUAUCCAAAGGUCCGCCUUGGGUGGAUUUAGGCGAAUCAAGUGGGUGGGAAUGAUCCGAGCCCCCUAUGUAAAUUUCAGUAAGGUAACUAAGGUUUACAAUAAUUCAUUUCAGUAGUGCGUUACCUUGCAGCUCUAUCUAUCGGGUAGUCAGUCUCUUGGUCAAAAGCCGGUACCUAAUUCCCCUGCUGGUGGGCCGAUCCUCGUCUAGCGGUGGGAACCGGCUGGUAUGGAUCAAUUGCUUGCCCUGUCUCUCUUCUGUUCAACCAUCGAGAAUCCGCAGUUAUCUUUGCUCAUUGGGUGGGCGAAGGAAUCCUUUCUAUUGAAUAAGGGCUUUGAGAAGCAGGCCAUUCCGUUCCAGUUAGCACCGUAUCCCGCUUUUCCGAUAGCAAAGGGCCUUCUAAUUAGCGUGCUUUGCUUAACCCGGCAAGAUCCGAGAUCAGACCUAGUCCUGCUGACCCGCUACCCUUGAAAACAUACUUUUUGCCACCUUACGACUGGUGUGAAGGAACUUAUUGCACAUAUUUAACAUGGGGAAGGAAAGAGGAGGGAAUAAAGCAUAUUUUAGGCAUCGANUUAAGAAAUGUCCAUGAAUUAAGGGAUUUGGUUAACGCACUCUUAGGGUUGUUUUUCGACCCUCGUGAAAAAUCAAAACUACCUUUAGAAUUCAGAAAUAAAUCUUUGGACGCACCUCAAACACACAUAAUCUGUUCAUUUUGUAGUCAUGAAUUUAAUUCGGAAAUGCAUCUCCUUAAAUAUUUAUGGAGGUGUAUUUUCAGAACCUACUUAACCACAAAGAAUUUCAUAAACCAAACAGAUGCAGAAACAAAGAUAAAUCACAUUGAUAACAUUGAAAAAUGAAAUAUUACAUAGAUAAUCGUUAACAUAAAUCGAACAUUAUAUUUGAACAUUAAGAUGGACGUUUCAACAUCUUUAUAAUAUCUUUUAUCGAUCUCGCAAUCAUCGCAUCCAACUUGAUCAAAUAUUUUGUUUCGUAACGGUUAAAUGUAUUUCAGAUAACUCUUAAAUCUGCAUUCGUCUUCAGCUUAAAAUUGUUGAAAUGAAUCUUCGAUUCAUUAUCAAUCGAGAGUGAACCGUACUUGAGUUUUGUAAGAACAAAAAUAGUUCUACAAUAGAUUCCAUGAUUUUGAUGAUAACAAAGGAUGAAACCAAAAAUGGCACCCUAACGAAAAGUUUCUAAGUGUGCAGGGUUCUAAAGAAAGAAGAAAUAAAUCUGAUGAUGUCAUCAGAUGCAAAACAAGAUCAGAUGUAAAAUCUCAAGUAUCAGAAGCAUCUAAAGAGGAAUCUCAUUCAAGAAGCUCUGACUCUGGACAAAACUACAAAGUAUCAGAAGCAUCUGAACAUGAAGUAAAGUCUAGAAGCUCUGACUCUGAACAAAUGCCUUCUGUAAAUUCUGAAGUUAUCAGCGCCAUCUGAACUUUCAAGAGAUAACAUCAGAAGCCAGUUUCUCCAGAUACACAAAGACUCUAAUCAGAAUUGUUAAUCAUGAUGAAGUAACGUUUAAGCCAAGUUAAAGUUCUGCAAAUGGAUUUCCUCAAUUAGAAAGAGACGUUAAUCUCCACUUCCAAGAGAGAAGAUACUAAUUGUGGUAAGUAGUCACUUCUAAGAGAAAAAGUCUACUGCAGAAGCUAUUAAUGGAAUGGCGUAACUACAUCUCAAUAUCCAACAGAUUCAACGCUACUUCAACUCUACUUCAACUCCUAUAAAUAGAGAAGAAAUCUCAUUCAGUAAGAAAGAAAUCACUAGCCAAAACUAUACUGAAAUUAUAUCACGCUCAAGAAAAACAUCUUUGUUCUUCAAAGAUUUUCACUAAGCUUUUGCUUAUCAAGUGAAAAAUUUGUUCUUAAGUUUGUAAUAUUUGCUUUCUUAGAAGCACUCUAGAUUACACAUCUUGUAUCUAAUUUUUAUUUGAUUUCCUCAAGUGACUCUUUGUAGUCUGUAGACUUGAGAGGACUAAGAGAUUUUCUUCUCUCUUAGGGGUUGUUUGUAAUCUUUCAAGAUUAGUGGAUUAAGUCCUUGUUGAAGGCGAAAUCACCUUGGCCGGGUGGACUGGAGUAGCUUUGUGUUAUAAGCGAACCAGUAUAAAAUCAUUGUGUGAUUUUCUUUUGCAAAAGCGCUUAUUUUUCAAACAAUUCAAACCCCCCCUUUCUUGUUUUUCUCACCUUCAAUUGGUAUCAGAGCUCCGGCUCUGUUAUUGAUUUUCAAAUCAAACACUUAACCGUGUAGAGAGAUCCAGUGCGAGAAAAACAAAUGGCCCACUCAAAUGAGAAAGAUUCUUACAAUGCCAAGCCUCCUGUUUUUGAUGGAGAAAAGUUUGAUUACUGGAAAGAUAGAAUCGAAAGUUUCUUUCUGGGUUAUGAUGCUGACCUCUGGGACAUUGUCACAGAUGGAUACAAACCUCCAACCUUAAAUGGAGCUGAAGUUCCCAGAAGCAAAAUGUCAGAAGAUCAGAAACGUGAGUUCAAAAAUCAUCACAAGGCCAGAACAAUACUUCUAAAUGCUAUAUCAUACAACGAAUACGAAAAGAUCACCAACAGAGAGACGGCUAAAGAUAUACUUGACUCUCUGAAGAUGACCCAUGAAGGAAACUCCCAAGUCAAGGAGACGAAGGCUCUGGCGUUGAUCCAGAAAUAUGAAGCCUUCAAGAUGGAAGAUGACGAAGCUAUAGAAGCUAUGUUUUCCAGAUUCCAAACUCUUAUUGCAGGUCUUAAAGUGCUAGACAAAGGAUACACGACUGCAGAUCAUGUUAAGAAGAUUGUCAGAAGUCUGCCAAAGAAAUGGAGACCUAUGGUUACUGCUCUGAAGUUAUCAAAGGAUCUGAACAGUAUCAGCCUUGAAGAACUUGUUAGUUCUCUCAGAAGCCAUGAGAUAGAACUAGAGGAGGAUGAGCCUCAGAAAAGGAACAAGUCAGUGGCGCUGAAGUCCAGACCUGAAAGACGGAAGUCAGACAGAACCAAAGCUCUCCAGGCAGAAACUGCAGAUACUGACGACUCUGAACCUGAAGACUCUGAUGAUGAAGAAGAACUGUCCUUACUAACCAGAAGAGUUAAGCAACUCUGGAAAAGAAGGAACAACAACAACUUCAGAAGAUCAAGACCCAGAGGGGAUAGAUCAGAGUCAACUUCAAAAGGUAAACCUAAUAAAGAUAUUACCUGUUUUGAAUGUAAAGAAACAGGUCAUUAUAGAAAUGAAUGCCCCAAGCUGAAGAAAGAUAACUCUAAGAAAGAAAGCUUCAAGAAAAAUGCCUUCAGAACAAAGAAGGGAUUAAUGGCCACCUGGGACGAUAGUGAAUCAGGAUCAUCAGAAUCUGACUCUGAUGAACAAGCCAACGUAGCAUUUAUGGCUACCACAUCCAGCAGCUCAGAUGAAGAAUCUGAAGAGGUAUUUUCUGAACUUUCUAGAUCUGACUUAGAAUCAUGUUUAUCAGAAACUCUUACCUCUCUUCAGAAAUUAAAACAAAAAGUUAAAAGCAUUAAAGGCCUUCUUAAAGCAAAAUCUGAAGAAUGUAGUGAACUUGAGACAACAAUUCUAGCACAUGAAGAUACAAUCAAAUCUUUAACGUUAGAAAGAGAUGGAGCUAAAACAAAAAGCUUAAAAUUAGAAGAAGCGUUGUCUCAAGCACCACAAACUUCAAAUGAAAUUAUUUAUAAAUAUGAAGAAGCCUUUCAGAAGUUUCUGAAGAGUGGAAUAGAUAGGAGUAUUAUGGCAUCCAUGAUUUAUGGAGUAAGUCAGAAUAAUAAAAGGGGAAUUGGGUAUGAUUCUGAUUCUGAUAAAACUUCUACCAGUAACCAAAUUAAAUCACCUUUUUCAUACCACUAUACACACACACAAGAACACAAAUUUAAAAAUGCUAGAAGACCCAAAGUUGUAAGAAACUCUGGGAAAACUAAUCUGAAAGGACCCAAGAGAUUCUGGGUACCGAAAGAUAAGAUUAUCUAUGUUGCAGAUAUCCUAUGCAGCAAAGUUCAGACACCAGUCAUGGUACCUGGACUCUGGAUGCUCGCGACAUAUGACGGGAAGAAAGUCUAUGUUCCAAAGCCUGGAACUUAAAGACGCUGGCUUUGUAGGCUUCGGAGGAGAUCAGAAAGGAAGGAUCAGAGGCUCCGGAACUAUUGGUAAUGGUACUCUUCCCUCUAUAUCUGAUGUUCUUUAUGUAGAAGGAUUAAUGCAUAACUUGUUAUCCAUAAGUCAAUUAAGUGAUAACGGUUAUGAUGUAAUCUUUAAUCAAAAAACGUGUAAAGCCAUUAAUCAGAACGAUGGCUCUGUCCUUUUCACAGGCAAGAGGAAAAACAACAUUUAUAAAAUAAAUCUUUCUGAUUUAAAAGAUCAAAAUGUUAAAUGUUUAAUGUCAGUUCACGAAGAGCAAUGGGUAUGGCAUAGACGCUUAGGCCACAUUAGCAUGAGAAAACUUUCUCAGCUAACUAAACUUGAGUUAGUCAGAGGCUUACCUAAACUGAAGUUUUCUUCAGAUGCUCUGUGUGAAGCUUGUCAGAAAGGAAAGUUUUCAAAAACAUCUUUUAAAAAGAAAAAUGUUGUUUCUACCUCCAAGCCUCUGGAGCUUCUUCACAUUGACUUAUUUGGUCCUGUGAAAACAGCAUCAGUCAAUGGAAAGAAGUAUGGACUAGUAAUCGUUGAUGAUUACAGCCGCUGGACAUGGGUAAAAUUCCUAAAGCACAAGAGUGAGUCUCACUCUGUAUUCACCAGUUUCUGUUCUAAAGUGCAAAAAGAAUUUGACUCUAAAAUUGUUAGAGUCAGAAGUGAUCAUGGUGGAGAAUUUGAAAAUAAAGAUUUUGAAGAAUUAUUUGAUUCUAAUGGAAUAUCCCAUGAUUUCUCCUGCCCUAGAACUCCACAACAAAAUGGAGUUGUAGAGAGGAAGAAUAGGACACUCCAAGAAAUGGCCAGAACCAUGAUCAAUGAAACAAAUGUAGCAAAGCACUUUUGGGCAGAAGCUGUAAAUACAGCGUGUUACAUUCAGAAUAGAAUCUCUAUUAGACCUAUUCUGGAUAAGACUCCCUAUGAACUGUGUAAGGGAAGAAAACCCAACAUUUCAUAUUUUCAUCCUUUUGGAUGCAUUUGCUUUAUAUUAAAUACUAAAGAACAUCUGAACAAGUUUGAUUCCAAAGCACAGAAAGGUAUUAUGUUAGGAUACUCAGAACGCUCUAAAGGCUACAGAGUAUACAACACAGAAACCAAAAUUGUGGAGGAAUCAAUUCAUGUUAGAUUUGAUGAUAAGCUUGACCCUGAAAAGUCAAAGCUAGUUGAAAAGUUUGCAGAUUUAGAGAUCACUCUGGUAGAAUCUGAGAAAACUCCAGAAGCAACUGUCACUCCAGACUCUGAAGAAAUUAAAUCUCCAGAAAUUCCAAGGAAAGUCAAGAGUCGUAGCAACGUAUCUGAAGAUUUGAUUUUGGGAAACAAAGAUGAACCUGUUAGAACCAGAUCUACCUUCAGAACUUCUGAAGAUAUUCCUCUGGGACUAGUGUCUCUGAUUGAGCCUACGUCCUGUGAUGAAGCUCUUCAAGAUAACGAUUGGGUGGCAGCUAUGCAAGAAGAGUUAGAUCAAUUCUCCAAGAAUGAUGUCUGGGAUCUCGUUCCUAAACCCAGAGGCACUCAUGUCAUUGGAACCAGAUGGGUUUUCAGAAACAAACUGAACGAGAAAGGAGAAGUUGUCAGAAACAAAGCACGACUGGUAGCUCAAGGUUAUAGUCAACAAGAAGGUAUUGAUUAUAAUGAAACUUUUGCUCCAGUCGCAAGGUUAGAAUCUAUUCGUCUUCUUGUAUCUUUUGCUAUUAAUCACUCUAUCAAAUUAUACCAAAUGGAUGUCAAGAGUGCAUUUCUUAAUGGUUAUAUUUCAGAAGAAGUGUAUGUCAAUCAACCUCCAGGUUUUGAAAAUUCAAACUUUCCAGAACAUGUUUUCAAACUUAAGAAAUCCUUAUAUGGACUUAAACAAGCUCCCAGAGCUUGGUAUGAACGCUUAAGUAAUUUUCUUCUGGAACAAAAUUUUAUCAGAGGGAAAGUUGAUUCUACACUCUUCUGUAAAAAUCAUAAAAAUGAUCUCAUGAUAUGCCAAAUUUAUGUUGAUGACAUUAUUUUUGGUUCUGCUAAUAUCUCUGUUUGCCAAGAAUUUUCUAAGUUAAUGCAGGCAGAAUUUGAAAUGAGUCUAAUGCAAGAACUAAAGUUCUUUCUGGGAAUUCAAAUUAAUCAAACUCCAGAAGUCACGUACAUUCAUCAAAGCAAGUACAUUAAAGACGUUCUGAAGAAGUUUGAUAUGUCUGAAUGCAACUCUGCAAAGACUCCUAUGCACCCAACUUGCAUUCUGGAAAAGGAAGAGGUAAGCAACAAGGUUUGUCAGAAGCUCUAUCGAGGUAUGAUAGGCUCUCUUCUCUAUCUGACUGCUACUCGUCCUGAUAUUCUCUUUAGCGUCUGUCUUUGUGCCAGAUUCCAAUCAGAUCCUAGAGAAUCUCAUUUAACAGCUGUUAAGAGAAUUCUUAAGUAUCUGAAAGGAACUCCUAACCUGGGCCUGAUGUAUGAGAAAACAUCAGAGUAUAGGCUUUCUGGUUAUUGUGAUGCAGAUUAUGCAGGAGAUAGAAUAGAACGAAAAAGCACAUCUGGAAAUUGCCAGCUUCUGGGAAACAAUCUAAUCUCCUGGGCUAGCAAAAGACAGUCAACUAUCGCUCUAUCAACUGCAGAAGCAGAAUAUAUCUCAGCAUCACUGUGCACAACUCAGAUGCUCUGGAUGAAACAUCAGCUAGAAGAUCUUCAAAUCUUUGAGAGUAACAUUCCUAUCCUUUGUGAUAAUACUGCUGCUAUUUGUUUGAGUAAGAAUCCUAUUUUACAUUCCAGAGCCAAACACAUAGAAAUUAAACAUCAUUUUAUUAGAGACUAUGUUCAGAAAGGAAUAGUAACGCUGAAGUUCAUUGAUACAGAACAUCAAUGGGCAGAUAUCUUUACUAAGCCUCUAGCUGAAGAUAGAUUUCUUUUCAUCUUAGAAAAUCUGAACAUUAAAAAUUGUCCUGAGUAAAAUUUGGCUCUGAACAUGUAAAAUGAGACUCUGAUAAAAACAAAUACACUUCUGCCUCUGACUCUGAUACUUCUACCAAGUUAAGAAGAUAUCUGAGUUAGAAAUCUUCAGAAAUCCUUUGGUAUUCCUGAAGAUCAGAUACAUCAACACGUGGGGAACAUGCGUCUAACCCUAGAACUUCUAGACAGCUGUCAAAAGAAAUCAAAGGUCAGAACGCUUGAAAUCUCCUCGAGCAGUGUGCUUACUGUUGGGAUUAGACAUUCAUUAAUUAGCUAUAAUCAUUUUUCCCCCAAACGUGCUAUUUUGGUUUUUGUGCUAACGCUGGUAUGUGUGUCGUUUUGCAUGUGUUUUUACCCUUAGUAUAUAAACACUUUCUCUCACUUUUCACACUUAUCACUCUCACUCACUCUAAAACCCUAAACCCUUCUCUGAAAGUUCUCUGCAAGUUCUUCAUCUUCUUCAAUCUCCAUCAUCUUCAUCAACAUGGACGCUCAACAACAAGAACUCUUCAACCAUUCUCAACAAGUGGAAUCUAGUUCCAAUCCCCAAACCUCAAACACUCAAACACCCACGGUUAUAAGCGUCACCACAACCCCAGUUUACAAAGAACCUCACAUUCUUGACCGUGAACAACACAUUCAUCUUUCAACUCCCUUUGAAGGUUUGGAUGUACUGUGUGAAUCGCUGGUGGAUUUUGAGAAUUUGAGAAGAAAUGGCGUUGAUUUAACUGAAGAUCUUCGCAAGCAAGGUUGGGAAACCUACUUCAACAGAUUGUAUGGUCCAAUCUAUCCUCUUCUGGUGAAAGAAUUCUGGAGAUGUGCAGAUGCUGAUGAUGAGUUCAUUGUUUCUUUUGUUCUGGGAGUGAAGAUCAUCAUCACAGAAGCAUCUAUUGCCUCUUUGCUGAACAUGGAGAGAACUGGAGGUAAAAGGAUUUACAACAUUCCUCCAAGGUCCAAGCGCAUCACAGAAGUCAUUAACCCUACAAUCUUCAAAGCAAAUGUUGAAGGAAACCCAUCUAAGAACAAGGAGCUUCAUCAGAACCUCCGAGUUUGGCUGAAGAUUAUUCUGGGAACAAUCCAUCAUCGUCCAGCCUCCAACUCUUCAGAUUAUAUAAAUGCUGAUCAGAAAUGCAUCCUCUACUGUAUUCAGAAGGGUAUUCCAAUCAACCUCCCUGUUCUCCUCUUCAGAUAUCUGAGGGAUUCAGUCAGAGAAACAAGGAAUAAUAUGAAGCCCAGAUCCUACAUUCCUCUGGGAAGAUUGCUCUCUGACAUCUUCAUUGAGCAUGGGCUGGUAGAUGCUCUGGAGAAGACCAGAUGUAUGGAUGAUCUGGCAAUUGACGUUGGAAAGCCUCUGAAUGCCAAAAAUCUGAGGAGUAUGGGAAUCAUCAAAGACAUCAGAGUCAAGCCCACUAUGAAUGUAACCUGGGAAGCUCUGAAGGAUCAGAGGAAGAUGCCUCAUGGCCUUGAAAGGUUCUUCAAGAAUGAACCCAGAGAUGCCAUUGCUAUCUACCUUCAGGAUCGUCUGGAUGAAGGCAUUGAUAUCUCUGAUUUCCGCCUUGAAGACUGUCUGGACUCUGUAGAAGAUCUGGUCAGAUACAAAAGAGGUCUUUCUGAGAAGAAGAUAGCUGAGGAAGCAAGGAAGGCAAAGAAAGCCAGACUUGGAGAAACCUCUGGCACCAAAGCUUCAGCACCUCUGAAUGUCUCCUCUGGUAAGUCCAUUCCUCCUGUCUCUUCUGAAUCUGUAAUGGCUUCCUCUAACCCUCUCUCCUCUCAACCAAUAUAUACCACCGCUGAAAUACCACCUUCAACCAUCAGAACCUCUCAACCUCCACCUGUUCUAAAAAUUGCUCGUAAUUUCACAACAACCUCUGACCCUAAUCAACUAUAUCACCACAGCUCUUCCUCAUCCUCUGAAUAUGAAUCACCCCCUUACCUUUCCCCUUCUUCUGACCAAGAGUUCUCUGAACAAGAGUCCUCUGACCAAGAACACUCUGACCCAAACUCCCCAACAAUAGCUGAAAUUUAUGCUAAAAAUUUCGCUCCACAACCCUCAAGACAAUCUGAAGUAACCUCUCCCCUCCAAACUUCACUUCCACCACAACAAACAACAACCUUACCCUCUGAAACUCAACCAUCUGAUCCCUUCACCUCUAAUAUCACUCCACCAUUUAUUCCCGCUGUACCUGGACCAGACUCUGACCCUUUAGACCUAAAUCCACUAUAUGCUUCAUCCCCUAGUCUUCAACCAGACGCAGAUUCUGAACUUCAAGCAGAAUCUGAACCUCAACAAACUGAACCUCAACCUCUAAAUCUCAGCCCUCAAAACUCUCCACCUCAUUCACCUGAACCUGAACCUGAACUUACCAUACCUACCCUUGAGGAGGCCAUUAUACAGGUUGCAGAAGCUUCAGUCCAGAAGAUCAAGUCUCUGGCUAAAAACUCUGAAGUUAGUGAUGAUCCUAAAUCUGUUAGGACACACUGGAACAGAGUCAUUAGUUGGAUGACCUCUGAGUCUUAUAGGCUGAAGAGUAUCUCUGAACAAGUCAGAAAUGGCUACAUCAGAGACUCUGAGGAAAGACUCCAAGAGAGACUGGCUAGAGAAGCUGAGGCCAGAAGGUUAGAGGAAGAGAGACUGGCUAGAGAAGCUGAGGCCAAGAGAUUAGAGGAAGAAAGAUUGGCUAGGGAAGCUGAAGAAGAAGCUAAGAGGUUGGAAGAAGAACGCCUGGCAAAGGAAGCAGAACUUCUAAGGAUUCAGGAAGCUGAAGCCAAGGCUAAGGCAGAUGCAGAAGCCCAAGCUGCUGCUGAAGCUGAAGCUCAGCAGGCUCUGAUUCAGGGGGAGUCUUCCUCUGCGAUCCCUCUGAUUCUUAACACUCUGAAGGAGAUCAAGCAAGAUCAGAAAGAGAUCAAGCAAGAUCAGAGUGAGCUCCGGGCAAGGAUGGACAAGCAAGACGCUCUGAAUGAAAACCUCCAGAAUAUGUUUGCUAUGCUACUACAGAGACUUCCUCCUCCUCCAAACCCUUAGGCACUUAGGAUUUCUUUUGUUUGCCUAGUGUUUUUGCUUCUGUCUUUUCUUUUUUUUCUCUGAUAUUUCUGUUGAAUCUGAUGUUUUGACUGCUGCUUGCCUUUGUGCUUUUGUUUAAUGAAGUGUUUUUCUCUCUAUUAUUUUUUUUAUGUUUUAUGCCUUUUUGAUUAUGCCAAAAAGGGGGAGAAAUUAUUAAAUAGCUCUGAUGAAAAUUAUGUCUAAAACCUUAAGCAUUCUGCAACAAUUAUAGAAAUAGUUCUGAUAUAAAUAGCUCUGAUUAAAUAAUAGCUCUGAUUAAAUAACUCUAACAUUAAAAUUAAGAAAUUGCAGAAAGUUUUCAGAAAUCUCAUUGCUUGGAAAGCUCUGGUAAGAACUUCUGAACUCCCUAGUACUAACUCAGGGGGAGCUUUUGUCUAUCUGAUCUAAUAUUUUUCAUGUUUCAUCUGAUAAUUUUAUUUGUUUUGUCAUCAUCAAAAAGGGGGAGAUUGUAAGAACAAAAAUUGUUCUACAACAGAUUCCAUGAUUUUGAUGAUAACAAAGGAUGAAACCAAAAAUGGCACCCUAACGAAAAGUUUCUAAGUGUGCAGGGUUCUAAAGAAAGAAGAAAUAAAUCUGAUGAUGUCAUCAGAUGCAAAACAAGAUCAGAUGCAAAAUCUCAAGUAUCAGAAGCAUCUAAAGAGGAAUCUCGUUUCAAGAAGCUCUGACUCUGGACAAAACUACAAAGUAUCAGAAGCAUCUGAACAUGAAGUAAAGUCUAGAAGCUCUGACUCUGAACAAAUGCCUUCUGUAAAUUCUGAAGUUAUCAGCGCCAUCUGAACUUUCAAGAGAUAACAUCAGAAGCCAGUUUCUCCAGAUACACAAAGACUCUAAUCAGAAUUGUUAAUCAUGAUGAAGUAACGUUUAAGCCAAGUUAAAGUUCUGCAAAUGGAUUUCCUCAAUUAGAAAGAGACGUUAAUCUCCACUUCCAAGAGAGAAGAUACUAAUUGUGGUAAGUAGUCACUUCUAAGAGAAAAAGUCUACUGCAGAAGCUAUUAAUGGAAUGGCGUAACUACAUCUCAAUAUCCAACAGAUUCAACGCUACUUCAACUCUACUUCAACUCCUAUAAAUAGAGAAGAAAUCUCAUUCAGUAAACACGAAGAAAUCACUAGCCAAAACUAUACUGAAAUCAUAUCACGCUCAAGAAAAACAUCUUUGUUCUUCAAAGAUUUUCACUAAGCUUUUGCUUAUCAAGUGAAAAAUUUGUUCUUAAGUUUGUAAUAUUUGCUUUCUUAGAAGCACUCUAGAUUACACAUCUUGUAUCUAAUUUUUAUUUGAUUUCCUCAAGUGACUCUUUGUAGUCUGUAGACUUGAGAGGACUAAGAGAUUUUCUUCUCUCUUAGGGGUUGUUUGUAAUCUUUCAAGAUUAGUGGAUUAAGUCCUUGUUGAAGGCGAAAUCACCUUGGCCGGGUGGACUGGAGUAGCUUUGUGUUAUAAGCGAACCAGUAUAAAAUCUUUGUGUGAUUUCAUUUUGCAAAAGCGCUUAUUUUUCAAACAAUUCAAACCCCCCUUUCUUGUUUUUCUCACCUUCAAGUUUCACAAUUCUUUGAUGAACUAAAAUGCAAUUGAGGACUCCGCGUCUUUGAGUCAUAAAUCAUGGAGACUCAUAAUGCGUCCAAAAAUGCAUAUCCAAAAUUUAAGUGGCAUUUUCAAAUUUUUAUAGGAUGGUUUUCCAACACUUAUGUAGAGAUAAACAAUUUCGUAAUUAAAGGUCUCUAAGAGGAGUUGAAAUAAAUAUAUUUAAAAAAUUAGUAACAUAAUUAUUUAAGGAAUAAAGUUUUCUAACCAAAAGAAUUUUUCCCUAAUUUUUUUGUGCCUAAUUUAUUUUGCUAACAAAGUAAAGCCCUGAUUAUUGUUACUAAAUUUUAGUAAUUUUCAUUCAUCUCUCAAUUAAUAUCUCUUAUAAUCCUCAUUAACUCUCAAUUAAUGUAAUUCAUAUCUAUCAAAAAAAAUUGAAAAUUUUGUAUCUAGGCUUGGGACCAACUAGUUUAGUGAAUUGCUAAUUUCAUCUUAAGUGUUGGAAAUAUGCCCUAUAAAAUUUUGAAAAUACCCUUUUGAAUCCGAAAAUGCAUCUUCGAACGCACCUUACGCCUCACUAAAACACACCUCAACUUGUUGAUGUUUUUUAUGUAAUUCAAGUGAUGUAACCAGUUAUCUCGGGUAGGUAACCGGUUACAUAAAUGUCUAAAGUUCAAUCAAGUAGCAAAAAUGUGGAGUUUUUGAAGGUGUAACCGGUUAACCAUUUUGGUGUAAACGGUUACCACAAAAGCUGAUUUAAUUCAAUGUCAGGUGUAACCGAUUAUCCAUUUUUGUGUAACAUUACAAGCGUAAUAUUUUGAUUUUUCCUGCUAUUUUACUUGGUCAAUUCAGUUCCCAAUUGUGUUGUAUCUCUUGUAUAAGUGUUUAGAAUGCACACUCAUCUAAGGUUAAUGCAAUAAUAAUCUCUCCCCCUUAAUUCUCCUCUUUCACACUCCACAUCCAAAGUAUCUCCAUCAUUGUUCACCAAACUUGUGGUCUCUUGUUCCAAAAUUUGACAUCAAGAGUCUGGUUCAGAUCCACAAACACCUAGUGUGCAACAUGAAUUAUGUUUCCAAUGAAAGAAUUCCUGCAAACCUACCUAUCUUUGAUGCGAAGAAUUAGGAUAAACGGUGCAAGGAAAUGAAGAUGUUGUUUGGAUACCAAGAUGUUCUUAAAGUAAUCAAUAAGGAUGUUACUCCUCUUAUUCAAAAUGAAACAGAGGCGCAACAAGCAACACAUAAGGAAGAGAAGAAGAAAUAGUUCAAUGUGUUGAUGGCGAUGAUUUUAAGAAAGUUGAUGAUUGUGAAUCGUCAAAGUAAGCGUGAGAGAUCUUAGAGAAGGCAUGUGCAUGGGUUGACAAGGAAAAGGUGGUGAGGUUACAAACUCAUAAACGUCAGUUUGAAUUGAUUCAAAUGGAGGAAAAGGAGAUAAUCAAUGAUUUUGCAAUGAGAAUCACUCGGUUGGUGAAUCAAGUGAAGGCAUGCAAAGAAACUGUUACGGAGUUGUAUGUUGCUGCUAAAAUCUUGUGUUCUUUAACACCAAGAUUUAACAGUAUAGUUGUGGCAAUUGAUGAGUCAAAGGAUCCCGCGACGAUGAGCAAAGAGGAGUUGCAAAGUUCUCUUGAGGCUCAUGAGAAAAAGAUGGAAAAGAGGAAUAACGAUAAGGCAAAGGCGGAGAUUGCUUUGCAAGCUCGUUUCAAUGAGAAGGACAAGAGAUCGAAAGGAAAAUGGCCCAAGAAAAGAAAAGGGAAUUUUCAUAAUUUGGGUGGAAGAGAGUCCUAAAAUUCAAAUGAUUUGACUUGUCAAAGGGGUGAGAGCAGCUACAAUAAACAUGGUGGUCAAGGAAACUUUAGAGGUAGAAGGAAGAAGUUUGAUAAGAGCAAGGAGAUGUGCUAUAAGUGUCAAUGGUUCGUUCAUUUUGCAAAAAAAUACAAUGUGAACAAGAAAGAAUCUCAAGGGAUUAAACCAAGGUUGCAAGAUAAGAGUUUGAUGAAGAGAAUAUAAUUUUGGUCAUGAUCAAAGAAGGGAAUUAUAGCAGCAAACAACUGUGGGACAACAGCGGCAAUAAAUCAAAGAAUGCUAAAAAGGUCGGUUGAAUGAUACGAUUAACCGAUCGCAUGAAGAGGAAGAUACCAUGAUGAGUUUGAAAGGAGUUCAAUGUAGUGAUGAGUGGUAUUUGGACUUGGGUUGUUCAGCUCAUAUGACAGGAAUAAAGGAUUGGUGUGUCAAAAUCAAUCGUGCCAUGAAGAAUAAACUAAAGUUUGCAGAUGAAACCACCCUAAUGAUCGAUGGGAUCGAUGAUGUUUUGAUCAUGAGAAGGGAUAAUGGACAUUACUUAAUCACAAAUUCUUGUACAUUUUUGGAAUCAAAUUUAACCUUCUAAGUAUUGGCCAAUUGCUUGAGAAGGAUUCCAAGAUUCACAUGGAAGACAAUGGGUUGUGCGUUAUGGAUAUAAGAGGAGGCUUGGUCCUUAAAGCGCAUAUGGCUGCCAAUAGAACCUUUAAGGUUGAGUUGAAGGUUAUAGAGUAUAAAUGUCUUGCUACUACAUCAAGUAGACAACAGUGGAUAUGGCACUAUCGUCUUAGACAUCUCAAUUUUAGAGAUCUCAAAGACUUUCAAAAGAACAUAAUGGUAACAGGGCUGCCAUUGAUCAACAUACUAGCUGAAAUUUGUGAAGAAUGUGUGCAAGUGAAGCAACAUAAGGGAAAAUUGAGCAAGUAGACUCUAUUGGUGGAAAUAUGUAUUUUGUCACAUUUAUCGAUGAUCAUAGUACAAAACUAUGGACAUACCUAAUCAAGAUAGAUGACAAUGUAUUUCAUGAUCGUCCGUCAUUGCAUAUAUUUAGUCGAAGAAUCAGACAAAACAAGUGAAAGUUAAGAUAAAAUGAAGAAGAAUAAGGAAAAAAUAUCUAAGCAUGGAAACUGGGGACUUAUUGAAAUUUUGAGUAAAAAAGGGAGCAAAAGUGUGCAACCACUGGAAUAAUCAUGCGCACCAUCACGUAGCAUCGUGCACACAAUGGGGUCUUUAAAGUUGCAUCGCGCAUGCGAUACAAGGAAUCACGCGCGUGAUAAAUACUUUUUAUGGGCUUUUCAGACGCGUUCUGGUCCAUUCUAACGCCUUUAAAAGGGGAUUUUCUGAACUUUCACAAGAGUUACAAAAUUGGGAGAUCUAGGCACUACUUUGAGAGCACAAGUGGUGAUUUUUAUAACAUUAGAAGUUAUUGGAGACCAUUACUUCAACGUAUUUCACAUGUUAUUUUCAUCUAUCAAUUAUGAUAUUUUUAAUUGCAUUAUGAGUAGCUAAGCUCCUCUAGAUUAGGUUGUAUACUGAUGAACCUAUUUCUAUAUUGUUGGAAUCUAUGUUGAUUUAACAAUUGUGUGAACCUUUUGAACUAUAAUUCCAUUCAAUUGCUUCUUGUUCAUAAUGCUUUUUAUGUGAGAUGAUAUUUUAAUAUGAUUUUGGGAACAUAAGGAAUACUGACCAUUAGUCUAUGUGUUGGACCUAGGGAAAUUGUUGUACUUACGCUGGUUGAAUAGGAAUAGGAGACCCUGAGUAGUGGCGUAGAGAAUUAACGCUUUAUACAUCGCCUAACCCUGCUUACGCUGGAGGACUAAGGAUAAAAAGCUCUGAGUGGUGGUUAGUGAGUUAUUUCAUGAGGGAUCAACUAUAACAGUUUUGUUAAUUCGUCGUGGUGUUAUAGUGAUAAGACCAUUCGUACAAGACAUCAAACAUCAACAAUAGAGGAAUAUGAGAUUUUAAAACACAACUUGGCCGCUUUCGUGAUAUUGUUUAAUUGUUUAUUUACUUUUUGCACAGAAACUCAACCCCCCCCCCCCCNNNNNNNNNNNNNNNNNCCCCCCCCCCCCUUUACUAGUUUUUUAUAAAUUGCACACAUUUUGUCUUGCUUGAACGAAGUUCACGUGGAUUCGAUCUUUUUAUUACUUCGACGAUGUCAAUACACUUGUCGAGAAGUCAUCAAGUUUUUGGCGCUUUUGCCAGGGACUAUUAAUUUUUCAUCAAGGCGAUGUUUGUGCAAUUUUUUUUAGUCUUUAAAUUUUAUGUUUUAUUUUCUUGUUUCUCAAAAUGCUAUUGAGGUAUUUUCUAUUUGUGUAUGUACCGUUCAGGAUCAACAUUAAUACCAUUGGAUCCAAAAAUUGAAAGAAACGCACAUGCUCUCAGAAAAGCUGUUAGAGGAGCAACUCUGGAAAGAGGAAUACUAGAAGAAGAGUAAUUAUCAAGUUAGUCAUACUCUGAAGAUGAAGCUGUAAUGGCAGAUGCACAACCCCUAACUAUGGGGGAUUAUUAUAAAUGAACCGAUGAAGGACACUUCUCCAGAGGGUUUGUACCGGUAGACCCUUCUAACUUUGAUAUUAAAAAUUAUGUGCUUUAAGGUUUGAGAGAAAAUUUGUUCGGCAGGAACACGAUUAGAGACCUAUGGGUGCAUCUUACACACUUCUAUGAAACAACUUCAAUGUGAAAAUCAAUUGAUGCCACUGAAGACCAGGUUAAAUUGAGGUUGUUUGGGUUCUCACUAAUUGGAAGGGCGAAGAUUGGUUACUUUUCCUCCCGAAUGGAACGAUACGAACAUGAAAGGAAUUAGAGGAUAAAUCCCUGGAAAGAUUUUUCACUACUACUCAGUUUACCGAGCGCUAAGCAGAAAUUGUGAGGUUUGAGCAGUAGGAAAUUGAGUCACUUUAUGACUCUUGGGAAAGAUUCAAACUUUUGUUACGCAGAUGCUCGAAUCACAACAUGAAUAAUAUAGAGCAGAUGCAAAACUUCAUUAAAGGUCUCAAAGUCAAACUCACGUAUUUUUGGAUGCUUCUACGAGAGGUACUAUCUGAAAAAUGAAUGAACCAUGGGUAAAAGAUAUCAUUGAGAAAAUGUGUAUAAUUGAGUACCGAUCCAAGAACGAAAGGUCGAUCAAGAUGGGAACUGUGGGCACGCCUAAAGGUAUGUUACCUAUUGAUACCCACAUUGCUCUUUUAGCUCAGAUUGAAUUAUUAAAUAAAAAGCAAGCUGGAAGAAGCUUAGUUAAAGCUAACGUAAGUCAGGUACAAGCACUUAAAAGCGAUUUAUAUGGAGGAUAACAUGCGAAUGGAAGUUGUUCAUUGGAAGGGACAAGUGAGGAGGUAAAAUUUUAUAAUUUUUAAAAAAAAUAACUUGUAUUCAAACACAUAUAAUCCGGGUUAAAAAGACCACCCAAAAUUCCUUUGGAAUAAUAAUCAAAAUUCAAAUGCUAACUAAGGGAUGCAACAAAGCCAACAAGCUCUGUUUCAAAGAAAUCCAUCACAAAUGGUAGAGACCUUGAAAAUUUUCAUUAAGGUCACUCAAAGUAGCUUUGCUAGGGUAAAUAAGACCCUUGAAGAAAUGAGUAGAAACUAGGAUGCGUCUAUCAAAAUUUUGGAGAUGAAGAUUGGUCAAUUAUCCAGACAAGUAGCUACUUUUCCAAGCUCAAGUGGAGGAUUCACCAGUAACAUUGUUGAUAACCCUAAGAAUGAUAACCCUAAAUAUAGGUUUAGGGGAAAUUACUGAAAAGGAUAAGGAGGAGAUAGUUAAAGAACGUGUGGUUAAGAUAGAUGAGGGUACAAAUCAAGGUGACCAAGAGGAAAGAGGAGACAUCAUUGAUCAACUUAUUGACAAAAAUUCUCCUCGGGGGAGAACAAAGAAGCAGAUCAUGACUGAACCAAAUCCUCCUUUACCAGAUCACGUAAAACCACCGUACCCAAUAAUUAAAAAGAAAGUGGUUUAAGAUGAUGAAGCGAGAAUGUUUGCAAAGUUCAAGGAAAUUCUAGCUACUCUCCGGGAAAGUAUUUCGUUCCAUGAAAUUUUAGAACUAAUGCCUAAGUUUGCUAAAUUUAUGAAGGCGUUACUAAAUGGGACGGAAGAGAAAAGGAUCAAGGAACAUGUAAACAUGACCGAAAAGAAUGAUAUGGUAAAACCUCAAUCCUUACAACCUAAACUAAAAGACUCAAGUAAAUUUAUGAAGGAGUUAUUAAAUGGGACGAAAGAGAAAAGGAUCAAGGAACAUGUAAACAUGACCGAAAAUGAUGAUAUAGUAAAACCUCAAUCCCUACAACCUAAACUAAAAGAAUUAGGUAAGUUUACUAUUUCCUAUAAUAUUAGUGGAUUCAAUAUUCUGCAUGCUCUAUGUGAUAUGGGAUCUAACAUAAAUGUCAUGCCACCGAAAACUGUCAAAGAAUUAAAAGUGGGUGAGAUCACACCGAGUAACAUGACUCUCAGUCUAGUUGAAUUGUCUAUUACUCAUUCAAUUGGUACUUUACGCGACAUAUUAGUACCUAUCGACGACUUAUUGUUUCCUAUAGAUUUUAUAGUGCAUGAUACAAAAGAAGAUUCGGGAGGAUCUAUUAUUCUUGGACAUCCAUUCUUGGCAAUCGGGAAAGCAAAAGAUUGAUGUGUAAACUGGUCAACUUAUCUUGAAGUCAAAUAAAAGGAAUGUGGUUUUCAAGGUAUAUGACUGGACACCUUAUGUGGAUAAUUUGGAUACUUUCUACUAUCUGGAUGAAAAAGGUAGGAAAGUAGAUAAAGGAACAAUGAGAAAGAAAGUGACAGGCGUGAGGGUGUCCCUUGCGCCUGACGUACCUUAGACAUGGAUUAUCAAGCUAGUGAUGUUAAAAAAGUGUUUGAUGGGAGGCAACUCAUCAAUAAGAAUUUAUUUUUUUAUCAUAGUGAAUAUUAAUUUUUCUAACCUUGUUAAUUUUUGUGCUAUGUUAUUGGAAGAGAAAAUAGGUGAAAGAAGAAAAGAAAGAAAAAGCAAAAGGGAAGAAAAUAGAAAAAGAAAAGAGAGAGGAAAGUUUCAUCCCCCAGAAUCAUCACGUAUGAUAAUAUAAACUAGUUCUUUACAAUAAUAAAAUUUGAUAUUUAUUUAUACAAACACAAUUAUAUAAAGAGAAUAACACACAAAUCACACAUGAUAAUUUUAGAAUAAUUAUACUCUAAUAUUUUUUGAGUCGUGAUAUAUCCUCUUCUUAAAUAUUUGAAAGUUGAAUCUCUCUCACUAAUCUCUAUUCCCCUAUUUAUUUUAAGAAUAAACAUAUUGAAUUAAUAAAACAUAAUUGCACCUUUCUUAAAGGUUAUACAAACAACUACUAAAGUUGAAAAAACUAAAGAGAGGUCAACUCAAUCUUUAUCAAAUUAAAUUAAAGUUUAUUAUAAAACACAAACAACUAGUUCAUUCAAAUGAUAACUUGUUUAGUACACAAGUAAGAUCUUACUUAAUACAUAGAAAUAAGAUCUUACAGAAUAUAGAGAUUAAAAACAUAGGAAUAACAUGAAAAGCUUUUAAAAUGACAUAGACAUUGAUUAACAAAGAUAUGAACUAGUUUCGGGUAUUUCUUAACCAUCCGUCAAGGUAAACUUGUUUGGAGUCAGGGGUGGAUUUUGCUUUCUCGACUCGGAUAUCUUUCAACCAUCCAUCAAGGUAAACCUGGUUGUUGUCAGAGGUGGAUUUUACUGUCUCGGCUCGGAUAUCUUUCAACCAUCCAUCAAGGUAAACUUGUUUUGGAUCAGAGGUGGAUUUUGUUUUCUCUGCUCGGGUAUCUUUCAACCACCCAUCAAGGUAUACUUGGUUGGAGUCAGGGGUAGAUUUUAUUCUCUCGUUUCGAUAAUCUUUCAACCAUCCAUCAAGGUAAACUUGGUUGGAGUCAGACAUGGUUUCUGUUUGCUUUGCUCGAGUAUUUUUCAACCAUCCAUCAAGGUAAACUUGGUUGGAGUCAGAGGUAGAUUUUUCUUUCUCAGCUCGGGUAUCUUUUAACCAUCCAUCAAGGUAAACUUGUUUGGAGUCAAGAUUUUUCUUUCUCAGCUCGGGUAUCUUUUAACCAUCCAUCAAGGUAAACUUGUUUGGAGUCAGAGGUGGAUUUUGUUUUCUCUGCUCGGGUAUCUUUCAACCAUCCAUCAAGGUAAACUUGAUUGGUGUUAGGCAUGGACUUUUCUUUCUCAACUCUGAUAUUUUUCAACCAUCCAUCAAGAUAAACUUGGUUGGAGUCACUUGUAGAUUUUGUUUUCUCAACUCGGGUAUCUUUCAACCAUUCAUCAAGGUAAACUUGGUUGGAUUCAGAGGUGGAUUUUGCAUUCUCUGCUCUGGUAUCUUUCAACCAUCCAUCAAGGUAAACUUGGUUGGAGUUAGGUGUUGACUUUUCUUUCUCAACUCUGCUAUCUUUCAACCAUCCAUCAAGAUAAACUUGGUUGGUGUCACCUGUAGAUUUUGCUUUCUCAGCUCGAUUAUCUUUCAACCAUCCAUCAAGGUAAACUUGGUUGGAUUCAGAGGUGUCUUUUGCUUUCUUUGCUCUGGAAUCUUUCAACCAUCCAUCAAGAUAAACUUGAUCGGAGUUCUGGGAGGAUUUGGUUUUCUCUGAUCGUGUAUCUUUCAACCAUCCAUCAAGAUAAACUUGGUUAGAGUUAGCAAUGUGUUUUCGACUCUUCAAUGGAUUUUUGAGCCAACCAUCAAGGUAAGGUUGAUCAGCUUGUAUUUCUUGUACAUUCUCUUGCUGAAGUUUGAUAUAUCGGGCAAAGCUUCCUUGUCCAUUCUAUAAUACAAUUGAAUAAAUGGAUAUUAGUGAGUUAUUUUUGGAUGGUAUAUAUGAUUACAAAAACAAAAUUAUGUGUUUUAUGAGACACAUUAUGUUACAUAAAUAAGACACAUUCAUUGUAUAUUUCAGAUGGAUAUAGAAUGCGAAAUAAAAAUCAAAGAAAAACAAUUUUUUAAAUUUCAUUGCCGCAUAGAAAAUAUUAUUUUGUCAAAUUAAAUAGAACAACUUGAUUAAGUGAAUGAUGAAAUCAAAUCAAAUAAAGAUGCAAAAUGAUAGAUUGUGAUAAAUAAAUGAUGAAAAAUAUAUGUGUAAAAGAUACAAGAAUGGAUGCAUAACUUACAAUCAAUAAGAGCAUGAUAAAAGGGAGGAGAGACAAAACAUCUUUGUUUGUCAUUUCUUUAAUGUUAUGAUUUUGUGGGAAAAUUGUUUUAAUGUAAAAAGAUGUAUUGAAAUGGAAGUGAAUUGUGCUAUUUAUAAGUGAAUGAAAAGAAAAACUACAUUAAGGACAUUGAGACUUUGGUUGGCAAGAUUAUUUUUUUAAAUAUUUAGUUUAAAUUAUUUUUUAAAUGUUUAGUUUAAUUGAUAAGUUUAUAUGUCUAAGAAAGAUCAAUUUACUAAGAUUUAUUAUUUACAAGAUCUAUUAGGUGUGUUGUUUUGAGUUAUAAAAAAUAUUAAAAAAAUUGUUUGUUUGAUAUAUUUUUUUAAUUAGAAGCUCCUAACUAAAUCCUCUUAGUUUAAAAUAAAUAAAUUUUAGAACUGCUACUGCAAUUAUUUUUAUUUUAAAAUUAAAAAUGAUUUUCUAAAAAUCCUUAAUAAAAACAUAUUAAAAUGACAAAGGUGAUUUUGUUAAAUGUUAAACAAACAUUUAUUUUGAUAAGUUAUUUCAAAUAACUUAAAAUUUCAUAAAUUUAUUUUAAUUUAUAAUUAAAGUGGUAAUUAUGAUAAUCUCGCCUCUUGAGUUCUAAUAUUUGAGCUAAUAGUAUAAAUAUGUUUUAGUUGAAUUAGAAUUUGCAUUAGUGAUAGUUUCAAUUUUACAAUUAAUUAGACUAAAAUAUUGAUGUUCGUCAUAUAUAUAUAUAUAUAUAUNUAUAUAUAUAUAUAUAUAUUAAAUAGUAAUUAUAUAUUAUAAAUUUUAAUUUUGGGAAAAAAAUAUUAUUUCAAUAUUUUAAAAUUUUAAUAAUUAUUGUUUUAUAAAAUUAAUUAUAAUGAGUAUAAUAUUUUAAUUUUAUUAUCAUCAAAUAUACCCUACAUCAAAAUUCACAAACUUUAAAUAUAAAUAUCGGGAUCCACUUAAUUGAAUUGGAAUUUAAACAUCAAAAUUUAGACAAAUGUUAAAUUUUGAAGCACUUGGUUUUUGAAUCAUGACUCUUCUACAACCAACUCCUAGGGACUUACUACAUAGCCAACAAUGAAUCCAAAAUAGUUUCACAAGAAACACUAAAAUACUGUGUUGGCCUUUGCAUGUUUAAGAUGUUCACAUGUAGCUGGGGUUUGCGUGCUUAUGAGCUUACCUAAUAGUAAGUUAAAAAAACAAUAUAUUAUUAUACUGACCAGUCUAAAGAGAAAUAGAUAAGUUACUGUAUUUGUUAUUAUAAUCAAAUAUUAUCUAAAAAAGAAAUAAAUUAUAAGGAAUAUGUUUUCAUUAUUUUUAUCUUUAUUUAAAGAAUAUAAAUAUUUUUUAAUUAAUGAUAAAUAAUUGAUUUUAAAUGUGAUUACGGUUUAUAUCUUUAUCUAAGAAAAUAAAUGAUAAAAUGUGAAUACUCAUAUCUAAAAUUAAAUAUUUAUCCAAUUAUGUAGGCCAGCCUCAUAUUUAUUGUAAAAAUUUUAACAAAGUUUAAAAUAAUGAAAAUUAGAAUAAUGGUAUUCCUACAUUAAAUCUUACAUCAAAUACUUACAUUAAAUAUUUUUUACCGUAUUUAAACGAUGAAUAAUAUUUUUAUUUUUAAUAAAAAAAUAUUUAUAUAAAAAUGUUUUUAUUUUUAAAAUUAUUUUUAUAAUAAAAAUAUAAAAUUUAUCACAAAAUAAUUUUAUUAUCGUAUUAACUAUAAAAAUAUAGGUUAUAAAUCACAUAUUUCACUUAUAAUUCAUUAACCAGUAAAAUACAUAAUAUUAAUCAAAUUAUGAUAUUAAAAUAUGAAAUAUAUAAUUUGCUUAAUUAUUAUAUUUUAUAUUUUAAUGUCACAAUUUAUUUAUAUUAUUUAUUUUAUUAAUUGAAUAUAAUAAUAAGUAAAAUAUAUGGUUAAUCAUCUAUAUUUUUAUGAUUAAUACAAUAAUAAAAUUGAUUAGUGACAAAUUUUAUAUUUAUAUUACAAAAAUAAUUAUAAAAAUAUAUCAAAAACGAGUUUAAGACAACGUAGGAAAAAGUGAAGUGACACUCAAAUAUUAUUUGCUCAUUAAGCAAUCAGUUAAAAUUAAAGUGAAUUAACGAAUUAAGCAUAAAGUUUCACACAAUCAAAAUUAGGGAACAAUAAAUCAAUCGAACAAAACAAAACUACUAAGUUUUGAGUGUAAAAUUUGGUGUAAUAUUAAAAAUUAAAAAAAAAUUGAGGUUUAUAAGAUGUAAAAUUAUUUAUUAAACUCUUUUAAUAAAUUUAAUAUUAUGAUAAUUUAUUAUGAUAAAUAAUAUUUAAAAUAAGAAAAGAUUGAGCUUUUAAAGGAUGAAAUUCUAGUCAUUAGAUUAAAGAAAACAUCACCAAAACCUUAUUUCACAGAUGAAAUCGACUACAUAUAUGAUAUAUCAAUUUUCACGCUAAUAUUCUAUCAAUCACCAUAUUUUAUAGCCAUUAGACUAUUUAAUCAAAAUUAUUCAUAAUAAAUUUCAUUUGAUAUUUACUUUUUAAUAGAUAAUAAAGUAGAUAUAUUUAAUCUUUAUUAAAAAAUUAUUAAACAUUAUUGGUAUUAAAUAUGAUUUUAUUAAUUUUAAUUUUGAUAUAAUUAAUGGAUAUAAGUAUUGGCUCAAGAUAUAUCAAAGCCUUUGCCAAAUUUUUAACAAAGAUUUUAAUAAUAAAAAUUAUGAGUGUAAUAUUUAAAAUAAAAAAUUGAGCUUUUUAAAAUGUAAAAUUAUUGAUUGAAUUAUCAUAAAUCAGUUAAGUGUGUAUUUAUGCAAGAUGGGACAUCCCAUUUGCAGGGGCACAAAUUCAACCCACAACAUCUCACUUUUUAUCUUGGAAAAUUCCAAUCAAUAAAUUACUUGAUCCAAAAAAAUCAUAGUAAAUCUUGUUUGAUAUUUAUUUUCAAUCAAAUAUAUGUAAUCCUUAAUGAAACCUUAAACAUUAUUGAUUUUAAAUAAGAUUUUAUUAACUUUAAUUUUAUACCAUUAAUAGAAGGACUAUAUUCUGGAACGAAUUAAUAUAUUUUCGUUAUUCUUAUUUUUAUUUAAAUAUUUAAAUAUUAUUUAAAUUAAUAAUAAAUAAUUGGUUUUAAAUGUGAUGAAGUUUAUAUCUUUAUCCGAAAAAAUAAACGAUAGUGAAUAUUUAUAUUAAAAAAUAACACAAUACACUUAAAUAUUUAAUCUCCUUAACCUAUCUAAAUAUCUAGGCCGGCAUAAGACAUAUUGAAGUUUAGUGUAAAAAAUUUAACAAAGCUUUUAAUUAUAAAAAUUAUGACUGUAACAUUUAAAAUAAAAAAAAUUGAACUUUAUUAUUAGAUGUCAAAAUAUUUAUUAAACACUCUUAAUAAGUAUUAAAUAUAAAUUUAUUAAAUUUAUUUUUGAUACAAUUAAUGAAUAUAAGUACGGGCUCAAGAGAUAUACACGCCUUUGAUAAAAAAUUUAACAAAGAUUUUAAUUAUAAAAAUUAUGAAUAUAACAUUUAAAAUAAAAAAGUUGAUCUUAAAAGAUGUAAAAUUCUUUAUAAAAUUAUUAUAAUAGUUUUUGAUUAAUUAAUAUGCACAGUCAAUAUCAUUUUUUUAUUAUUAUUAUUAUUAUUAUUAUUAUUAUUAUUAUUAUUAUUAUUAUUAUUAUGCGUCGGUGUACAACUCAUAAAAAAAGACGUCAAUCAUAAAUAUAUAUUGGUACAGUGUCGUCAAUUGGAUUGACGCAUCCUCGUAGGUGUUAUAUGCAGGGAUGAAGCUAGAGAUUUUGAACUGUAGGAGCAAUAUAUUAAUAUAUAAAUUUAUUUCUAUUUAUUUUUAAAUCAUAAAUAUAUAUUUAAUUUAUUUUUAAAUCAUAAAUAUAUAUUAUAUCUAUUUUUUAAGAAAUCUAUCUCUAAAACAAUUUUUAUUAAUUUUUUAAAAUUUUAAAAUUUUAAAAUUUUGUAAAUUUUAAAAUUUUAUUAUCAAGAAAAAUAUUUUUUUAUGUAUUUUUUAUGAGAUCAUAAUAUUAACAUAAAAUUCUAUAAAUCAAUUUUUUUAAAGAUCGAGGAAAAAAUUAUUUUAAAAUUAUAACAAGAAAAACAAUUCAAUAUAUUUCAUCUGACAUGUUUUAAUUUAAUUAUUGAAAAUAAAAAAUUCACUAUAUUUUUGGACAAUAUCCUAAAUAAAUAUUCAUAUACUUUAUUAUUUUCAUCUAAUUUUUAGUAAUAUCUUCAUAAUAAUAAUAUUAUUUAUAUAAAUUUAAAAUAAUAUAAAUUUAUAUAUAUAUAUAUAUAUAUAUAUUUAUAUAUAUUAUAUAUAUAUUAAUAUAUAUUAUAUAUUAUAUAUAUAUAUAUAUAUAUAUAUAUAAUAUAUAUAUAUAUAUAUAUAUAUAUAUAUUAUAUAUAUUAUUUAUAGUAGGGACCAUUUGUCUUAUGCUAUUUUAAUUUGUUAUUUCUUAAUUUCCCCGUCUAUUUCAGUGUUUGGAUUAAAAAAAGGGGGGGGUCGGGGGUUCCCUCUUGGGGGUGGGUUUAGUAUUUUAAUGUUUUUUUACUUAAUAUUUCUUUUGUGUUUUUCACAUUCUUCUAUGUCUUAGAUUGACGUCUUCUUUAUUUUGAAAGUGGGUUACUCUCAGAAAUAAUUGAAAAAGUAAAUUAUUUUAGAUAUCUAUUUGAAAAGUUAGAAAAUCUUAAAUAUUAUUCAUUUUAAAUAAUAUUUUAUUAAUAUAAUUUUUAAUACCAUUAAUAGAAGGACUAUAUUCUGGUAUCAACCGAAAGGAUUAUAUUAUUGGACUAUUUUAAAUUUCCUAUUAUAUUGUUGUCGUCUAUUAUCAAUUUAUUUUAUCAAUAAAUCACUAUUUGAAAUUUUAUUAGUAUUUAAGUCUUUAAAUUCAUCUACACCUUUGACUUCUACUAUUAAUUUUCAUUUUCAUUUUUUUAAUGUUUAUAUAACUGGUACAUUGUUAACUUGUUUAUUUAAUAAACAUUAAGCAAUAUUUUUAAAUUAACUUUUUAAUUUAUUUUUAUAAAUUUAUCUAAAGUUCCCUUUUAUAAUUUAAUUAAAAUUUCAACUCUCUUUUUUUAAUUUCUAAUUUUUUUUAUUCAAAUUUUUUUAAUUGACAUUACUCUAAAUAACAUAAUAAAACAAUUUCCACAAUAAACACAAACAAAAAAAAAAUUCAAAAAUAAGAUAAUUGAUUAAAUAUAAAUGAUUUAAAUUAAAAGUAAAUAAAAUAAAAUUGCAUAAAUAAAAUAUAAUUUUAUCCUUUUACAAUGCUAGAGAGGACAUACACUUUAUCAUAGAAGUAACGAUUAAUUAAUGGAGAUGAUGAAUUAACAUAUUUUAUACUCUCAUAUACACAUUUUAGGUUGGAAAUGAUUUGAUAUAAUCCUUUAUCUAACCUGUUUAAAUUUUAAUGGGUUGAAUUUGUCGUUCAACCCACAAUUUCAUUGUCAAAAUUGACAGAAACCGACUUGUUUAUUUAAGGGUUGUGUUCGCGAUGUUUUAAAUAAAAAUUAUUUUUUUAUAUAUUUUUUAAGAUAUAAAAAAUUUAACCCAAUUCAAAUUAGAUGAAACACAUCAUAUAAUGUCUAAUAAAGUUCAUCAACACGACAUAACACUCGAUAAUAGUAUUAAAUUCUAAUAGUAUCAAUGUUAAAUUAUUUUAAAACAAUUAUUUUAAUUAACUCUUUAAUCAUAACAUUUAUUUAUUAUAUUUUUAUAAUACAUUAUAAUAAAUAUAUUAUAAAUAUUCUUAUUUUUAAUUAGAAAUAUAUAAUGAUAAGUUAAUUAAAUAAUUAUGGUUUGUGAAAAACAAAAACAAAAUCAACGUCAAAGUUAUAUGCUUCAACAAUUUAUAUAAUGACUCAUUUUUAAAUAAAAUAGCUUUAAAAAUUAAAAGUUUGAAAAAUAAUAGUUGAUAUAUUAUAUAUUUUAUUUAUUUUUAUGUUGACAAUAUAAAACAUAGACAUUAAUUUUAUUCUUUAACCAUAAUUUUUAUAAUAUAUUAAAAUAAAAAGUAGUUAAAAUUAACUAAUAAAAUUAAUUAUAAAUAGUUUAAAUAAUUUAAUUAUUAUCAAAUAAAAAUAUAUAAAAUAUUUAUUUAGUAAAGAAUAUUAAAACGAAUAACAAAUUAUAUGAGAUGAUAUGACUUUUUUAUAAUCUUUUGUUUUCUUAAGUUAAAUUAUUUAGUAGAUAAAAAAAAAAAUUAAAAUUGAUAUAUUUCUCUCUCUUCUUUAAAUGAUAUUUUUUUUUCUAUUUCUUACCUUUUAAUAGUUGGAUUAAUCAAAUGGUUUAAAAUUGCACAUGAGAGAGGGCAUAAGAGAAAAAAUUGGAGAGGAUCCAAUUCCGAUAAAAAGAUGUGGUAAAUUUAUGAGUAGUUUAAUAAUUUAUACAUAUUUUUAGCCUUAUUAAUUGUCACUUCGUUGAAAAAGAAAAAGGAAAUAAUAAUAAUGAUAGUGAUAAUAAUUAAAUAAUAUUGAAUUUUUUGACAAAUAAUGUUAUUAAAUAUUAUUGAAUAUAAUAGAUGAAAGAGAAAAAAAAAUGAAGAUCUUUGUCUGGCUUACCUCCUCGUUGAAUAGGGUAUGCUAACUAUUAAUAUGCCAAAGCCUCUUUAAAAAAUUAAACAAAUCAAUUAUAGGAUCCGAUAACUAUUAAGGAAUUUCUUAUGUCAUCAUAUGAAAUGGAAAAACUAUACAAAAUUUAAAAUAUUCAUUCAAGUUUAAAGAUGCAUCUUCGAAUACACAUUUGUAUCACCUUAUGACGCACUAAAUGAGCGACACCCUAAAGUAAAAUAAAAUCUUAUUCCAAAGAUACAUCUCUGAGUAUUUUGAACAAAUAUAUUGAUAUUUAAGCAAGCGUCCUCAGCAUGACCAGAUACCUGUAUCAUACACUCAGUUGCUGUCGUAUCUUGUCCAGUAAGGGGCAAUUGCGCCAAAAGAGAUUCCGCAUGCAACUCCUCCCUAAAAUCACAAGCAUAAUCCUAAUGUGCCUUGUUCAUUUCAUGUCGGAUACAUAGGGCAUUCUAUAGAGGAUUAUUUGGUCCUCAAGGCCAUAAUGCAAGAGUUAAUUGACCAUAAGGUUUUGUCAUUCUUUGACGCAUGACCCAAUGUCAUAAACAACCCGUUGCCAGACCACUGUGGACAAAUAGUGAAUGCAGUUAGUGGCGAAGAUUGCUCAGAUUCAGUUGCUUCUUCAGAGGAGUAUCGAUGCUAGCAAUAUCAUAUUGAUUCAAUCAUGUAUCAUUUGUAAUCCUUUCUUGUUUUUUAAAUGUUGUUCAUUUGUAACUUGUCUGGUUUUUCAGAUGAUAAUAAUAAUGAAAUAAACGUGCAUGUUUUGCUUAAAUCCAUUCGUGUCCACUCAUAUUUUAUUUUAUCAGUAUCAAACUGUUUGUCGAACAAAAUCAAAAGAGAAUGAUGCAAUUAAAAAUACGCAAGAUCGCUGCCUGUAUGGUUUUGAAUAAGAUCGUGCUGAUGAUGUAAGGCAUUGUUCAAUCCCUAAACACCGGAGAUAUAAGGAAGAUAAUCCCUAGUCAACCCCUUUGGGUAUUGUAAUAGGAGUUUCUUUCUUGAACACAUAAAACCCUCAUGCUUAACCAGGGGCAGAGUAUUCUUCAGUUAGUUUAGACUUGCAUUCAAAUUUAAGAAGGACAAUAUCUCAUCCAGUGAUCAAUCAUAUCAUAUCCCUCUCAAGAGGAUGGAAUCAUAAAUCCAGGAUGGUUAUCCCUUACCCAUCAAAAAGAGUGAGAUAAUCACGACUCGUGCAACAAAUCGAGAAAGCUGUGUCACAAGGUUUUCUCUAGUACAAAAAUAAAAGAUGAAACAAAAUUAAAAGCCCGCUAAGUCAAAAGCUUGAAAACAAGAUUGACUUAGGCAAAAGUCAGGGUAUCCCGGUGGGAUGCAGACCCAAAGGAUCAGCCUAGGAAAAAAUAAGGGUAAACAAAACAAAAGAAUUAGAGGAUCAAUACCAAAAUUCGUAGCGAGAGCAAAUCCCUGUGACUAUAAACAAAAGCAGAAGGCGAGUGGCUAUCGCUCUAAAUUCUCGUGGAUUCCUUAAACCAUCAUUGUUGAUAUUCAAAAUCCUUUCUGAAAGACGAACGCUUAUUUUAAGCUAAUUGAAUAUAGAACUAGAUAACAUCACACAGAAUGGGUGGGUUAGAAUAGGUUUUGAGCCUUAUAUCCUUUCUUUCUGAAACCGUGAACUAGGCCAAGUUACAACCCUCAAAAGACCUAAUUGAAGUAGGGUUUAUUUCAAAAGCAUACUAUGGUAAGAUCGCGUUAAGCUGACUCCUUAAGAUUUUCUUGUCAUAUGUUUGAUACUGAUAUGGCAUUCUAAACAGUGAUUUGUUCACUAGAUGUCAUAAUCUUAGUGAACACACUUGAGUUUUCAAAACUUGCAUGAGCAUGACAUUACAAUUAUCAUUUUAAAAAUGAGCGUUUUACAUGCGAACAUGCAUUUGACACCAAGGAAGCUUACAAUGGGAAAGUUGAUCAAAUUCCUAAUAUCCCAUAGCUCAAAUCUCUUCAAGAGCCCGUCAAUCUAAGGCACCAUGCCAAGAUUUUGCAAAUCUCUCUGAAUCAGCUGUAUAAGGGAAAAGUUUAAUUCGAAGUUCAUAUUGGGGAAGGCCACCUCAAGAGCAUGAGAAGUCAAUCACUCCUAAGAUAAUUAACUAGGAGGAUAUAGUUUCAAGAUGCUGGGGCAAGCCAGUUUGAGAUACUCAGAUGACGAGAUCACUCUAAUUUGUAAUUGGAGAAAUUGGUGCAGAUAUCCAAUACAUUGGGGCAGAGGCAGGCUACGCAGGUACAAGCUCUCUCCAUGUUCUAGACAUAAUCCAGAGGUGUGACAACAAUUUUUCAGCUUGAAGUAGGUUCGAAGAAUCACGUCUGGAGGAUACCAUAUCCUAGCCAAAAAUUUCCACCUCCCUCUAUAUGAGCACCUGGAUUAACCAUUGCAUAAAUCAUUAUCAUGAAUAAAUCACGUCGCUUCACUCAUGCAUACCAUUCAUCUAUCAUAGCAUGAAGCCGUGUGUGAGAAUCAAAGGAAUUAAAGCCCAGUAUUUUAUUGGCAUCUCCAAAUUCCAAACUUGCCUGGUACCUUUUUAAACCAUCUAGUUUGACAAUUCUUCCAAAAUCCAAUUUGCUUGGCGUCUUUUAAGCCCAGUUUGCUUGGUAUCUUUUUUCGACCUUUAGGGUCGAUGAUCCUCUUUUCCAACAUUCAUGGUUGAGGAACCUUUUUUCAAUCUUCAGGAUUGAUAACCUUUUUCCAAUCUUUAGGGUUGACGAUCUUUGUUUCUAACCUUCAUGGUUGUUGAAUCUUUUUCCCACCAUUAGGGUGAUGAUAGACUUUGUUUCCGGCCUUUAAGGUUGAUGAUCCUCUUGCUUUCAACCUUUGCGGUUGUUGAAUCUUCUUCCAACCAUCAUGGUUGUUGAAUCUUUUUCCUACCUUUGUGGUUGUUGAAAAUUUUUCCAAACCUUCUUGGUUGAUGAACUUUUUCAAUCUAUGUGAUUGACAAACUUUUUUCCAAACUGUAAGGUUGAUGACCUUUCUUUUUUUCAAACCUCUGUGUUUGACUUUGUUUCCAGUUUUUGAACUGAUGAUUCAUUUGUGAAACCCCUUGUUUGCAAGAAUAUUUUGGAACUUUCAUGCGCUCUUUGAUUAGCAUACAUGGCCACAUGUUUCAAAAAUGAUAAAAAAAAAUACAAUUUAGCAUGCAUAUCAUGAUCGUCAUUUGCCAUUAAUAUCCCCACAGUACAUCAAAAUCACCAGCAAAUAAACCCGUAAAAAAUCAAGUUGAUAUCCCUAUAUCUCAUACAAUUGUCCUUCAAGGAAAAAAAUUCGGAUACUUCGAUAUUUAAUCCACGCAUACCUUAAAAAGCUGAAAAGCUCUCGCAAUUCGACCAUUCAGGUCUAAGCUGAUUAAAUAGGGGCAGAUGUCGUAUCCUAAAUUUGUCCUCCCUAUUUCAUCUUUCCACUCAAUUUAUCAACUUGAGAUUCAUCUGUACCACAUUCAUAUUUCAUUCAUAUGCAUCAUUCAUUAAUCAUACAUUCAAAGCUUGUGGCCUGCAAAUCUAAGGUUUGUUGAUGGGACAUGGCUCUUCAUAGGCUCAUCAUGUGAGGGGAAACCCUAAUUUCAUACUCUUUUAGACUUUGAUUCAAAAAGGUUACAAUCACGACAUUCAUUUAGUCAUUCAAACCCUUAUUCCUGACUUUGUUGUCUUUCGGUCUCACAAGCUUUCACCUGUGUAUCAUGAAGCCCUAAUCAGGGAAGAUUUGGUCCGGUUGCACCUUAUGGCUUGACUUUUCAUCUUGUGUGUGCUGGAAACCCUAAUUCAUUAGGGAGAGGUGUUUGACUAUCCUAUUAUGCAUGCCUACUGGUUUGGAAUUGCACAUGAUUCAGGUCUUGUUUCAAGCAUCCCUAUGCCCAUCACAUUUAACUUUGCAUAGGCCAUUAACUCAAGUCUUUUGGUAUGGGCAAAUGCAUAGACCCAUAUGCCCGAUUCACUUCAUUCAUAUGAUGCAGAUGAUCAAGGAUGAUUGGUCCAUUUAAGAUUUGGUUCCAUUGGUUCAUUCUUUGUUUCUUAAGCAAAAUCAUUAUUUCAUUUGAAUUAUGUCAUGUGAAAACCCUAAUUCAAAUUUCACAGUUGACUUCGAUUAACUAGUUUACCAAAGUCAACCAUCCCUUUUUGAGUCCAUUAAACUUUUUCAUUAAUCAUUCACACUUAAUCACAUUUUUCGAGCUAUUUGAUGCAUCCAAUUCAUUCAAUUUUCAAAUGUAAUUUUGACCAUUCCAAACAUUUUAACCAUUCAAGGUUAACAAUUUAAGUUCUAUAAACCAUCUUCUUUUACAAUAUAUUUCCACUCAUAAACUUUCCAUAAGCAUUCAAAAUUUUCCAUCAUAAAUAUCAUUCAAUACAAUAAACUUGUCCAUGGUUCGCGCAUUUAAUCCUUUCUUUCCAUCAUUUAUUUGCAUUGCAAUUCUAUUCAUCCAAAGUAUCAAACUUUUCAUAAUCACCAAGUUCCAUUCCAAUACAUUCAAGUUUUACCUACAACUUUCCUUUACAAUUAUUACAAACCAUUGUUUUACAUUGUUACACUAUGUAUCAACCAUAUCCUACAUAACCAUAUUAACCAUUCCAAAUGAUCAAGCAAGAUAGAAUUUCAUUCACUAACCAUACAAGAUAUCUCAAGCAUACAUUUCCAUUUCAAGCUACAUUAUAAUGCAUCAUAAUCCAACAAUAUCAUGAAGCAGCCCAUGGCCUCUUAUGCAUUCACUAGAAAUAUUUCCAUAGCACAAAUUGGCCAUGUCCCAAAAGAUAAUGCACAAAAAAAGCAUGAAAUAUCAUGAUUCUGUUAGGCUCUGUUUUGAAAUUAUUUACCUGAUGAACAACAGACAUAAAUGCCGAUCGAGGUUAUAUGGAAGCUUCAAAUACUGAAAAAGAAAACACACCCAUUGCAUUGAUGGCUACAGCUCUUCCUUUGAAACGCCAUUGAAGCUUCAAUUCGUGGAGCUUAAACCACUGCACCUCUUCGACCUCACGCGGAAAACGCAACAACAGCAUAUGCUUAGAAGAACAGAGGGAGAGGAAUAAGAUUGCAGCAACAUAACAGAAAGAGUGAAGGAACAAAAUUGAGACGAAGAAAAAGGGAAGAGAUCGGUCAAUACCUGUUCGCAGUUGAAGCAUCAAAUUUGGUAAGUCCUUUUGAUUUUCUUUUCUUUCUGUUUAAGUCCGCGAGCACAAUGUUGGAUGGAAUCACAUGUCGAUGAGGUUGAACACAAUCCAUGAACUCUAUUAUCUGUUAGAAUUAGAAUAUUAGGUUAUUAAGUGACAAUUAGAAAUUGUGAUUUAAUUAGAAUUCUAGUAUUGAUAGAUUUUGGAUUUUCAUUAGAAUUAAUUAGAAAUUUUAGAAUUUAACUAGGGUUUUAGAAUCUAUUUUAGACUAAUUAGAUUUUCACAUAAUUAUAUAUAAUUAUAAUUAAUUAGUUUUUGAUUAAAUGUUGAUUAUUAGAAACUAUUUUCCUAAUUAAUCCAUUUAUGCAUAUUGACUAUUUUACCCUUUAGAGGUUAUGUUUGUCAUUUUAGCCAUAAGGACAUGUUCCUUUAGGUUUAGAUCUUGACAUCAAUUUUUAAUCAAGUCUUGACCAAUUAUAUCAUGAUCCCUUAGGAUAGUUUGUAACAAAUUCUAACCAUUAGAUUAGGAUUUAAUCUAGUUUUCAAACUAAUUCAAACCUUCUGAUUCAAAUUGAUCAAAAGCAAUUUUGAUCAAUUAAAUCAUUUGAUAUUGUAUAAUCCCACAGUCUAAUUUGAGUGACACAAAUACUCUUGGUCACCUAAUGAGACUUUUUCGGUAAGUUGUGGAGCUCGAGGCCUCAAGUCAUAUUUUCAAUCAAGGCAUCAUCGGUCAGACCAAGCAGUGGAUAAUACAAGGUACAUCAAAGGUGGCAUCUUUGAGAGCUUGUCAAAUCAAAGUUAUGAUUGUGUGGCAUGAGCCUUGAGUAAUGAAGAAAGAAUGAGACUGAAGAAUUCCUACCCCCAUCAACACAAAGGGCAUCAUGUCAGCAACUUGUUAAUUUUGAUUCAAGUUGCAUGCCAUGAGCCUUAAGAAACAAAGAAUGAUGAGAGUGGGGAAUUCCUAUCCUUGUCUAGAAUAUUCUUGGGUACGGGACGAAUGACCCAGUUGCUCAAAGUAUUCGCCUUUUUCCAUAGACUUUGGUGCAAUUUAAAUCAUGCAAUUGACAAGCCUUCUUCUUCAAGCAAGCAUCAAUCAUUCAACACUUCAAUAGUGAAACACCAUUACCCCCUUUAGUAUUGGACUUUCCUCCUGGAUGUUCAUACAUUUCUUGGGAUUAUUACCUUGGGGUCACAUACCCAUCUCGCAAUCAAUUGCUUCAUGCAUUGCCUAUCAGUUCACACUAUGGCAUACUUCAUUGCUUGCCCUCAACGUACAGACCCUGACAUUCAGCCUAUGGAGUACAUACUCUGGCUUUGUUUCUUCCCCAUAAGGUACAGACCUUGGCAACUUCUUGCAGCCCAUAGAGUAUAGACUCUGGCUUUAUUCCUUGCCUACAACAUACCGAUCUUGGCAUCCUUGCCCUAAUGAGUUCAGACUCUGGCCAUCUGAUUUUGUCUAUACAGUACUGACUUUGACAUAUUAUUAUGCCUUAUAGUUAAGACUUUGGAAUUCAUUCAUCCAGCCCAUUGGGUUCAGACUUUGGCAUCGUACUAUUUUGCCCUUAUGGAGUUCAGACUCUGGCAUUCAAAUCAGUUCAUUUGCCUUAUAUAGUUCAGACUAUGGCAUGCUUAUACAUCUUGCCCAUGGAGUUCAGACUCUGGCAACCUUUAACAUUGUCUUGAAGUCAGACUUUAGAAUUAUAUCUCCUUUUCCCUUAUUGAGUUCAGACUCUGAGAAUCUGUUCCUUGCCUUUGUAUUAGUUCAGACUAUGGAAUUCAUCUAUCUUGCCUUGUGGAGUUCAGACUCUGGCUAUAUCUCAUUUGUCCUUAUGGUUGAUUACCAUCUUUGGUAAGUGUCAUACUCUCGCUUAUUAAGCAAUCACCUUGCCUCUGAGCAAUCCUAUCAAAUCUCCCUUUGCUUUCAGUUGUAGUAGGCUAAACUACGAUUGCUCUGAUUUUCUCAUUGCACGAUGAGAAUACAUAGGCACAAGGGUUCAAAUCCUCCGUGAGCAUACUUAUUUAUUACUCCUACCUUAGGGCAUUUCUCCAUCCAUCUCCAUGAUACAGUCAUAUACUACCUUUAUUCACUUCAUGUGAUAUACCCUAUUCUUUGAGCCAAAUACAUUAUACCUUUGUGCUCCAUCUUGUACCCCUUUGUGAACCAAGAGAUGUUUCUGUUGUGAAACCAAAAUUAAUUUCCUUUGUUUUCGGCUAUACCAUAUAGUGGCGAAUGUUCAGACAAUCCAUAUAUCGGUUUAUUCCAGUUUUACUCUUGGGUUCACGCUUUCACCCCUUGUUGGGGUUCAAAAUAUUAUCCUCUGGUUCAGGCCAUACCUUGAUCACAACUUCCUUUUCAUCUCCCACCACUAGUUCUUUGAACUACGAAGUUAUGAAUUCCUCAUUGCACUAUGAGUAUACAUAGGCAUGAGGGCCCUAAUCCUCACCGAGCACUCUAUCUAUUUCUUUUCAUUUUCCCCAUUCUUUUGCGAGUAAUCUUUAGAUACAACACUCAUUCGAGCGAGAACAAUCAAAACGGUUCCCAUGGAGUACCAUAGAUGUUAGGGAUGCUAAUACCUUCCCAUUGCAUAAUCAACUUCCUUACCCAACAUAUCUCUUUCCCCUGGGUUUUAUCGAUGUGUUCGGGUAUAUUUCCGCUAGCUGCAUCACCAACUCCAAAAUCUCAAAAAAGUGUUUUUAAAGGAACUCGCAUUAGCAAACCACCUCCUUCACCGUCUCUACCAAAAAUUUCAUUCAUUGACGAGAUGUUAUUUUUUUCAUAAAUACAUCGAACAAAUCGUCAAUGUUGAGGGUGACGGUAAUUGCGAUUUUCGAGCUAUUUCGAUUUUGCUGGGUAAAGGAGAAGAUGAUCACACACUUGUCUGCCAUCAACUUAUCCAUGGUUGAGGACCCAUAUAGAAUUAUACACACGACUUUACCGAAAGAAACAAAAUUUUGAUGCAAUUUAUGAGUCUUUUAUUCCUUGCAUUAGUGGUCCGAAACCAGAGGAAAAAUGAAUGUGCUUCCCUGAAAUGAGUCAUCUCAUAGCAAGUGCAUCUGAUAAAGUGUGUAUUGGUCUUACAAGAUACGAUUUUUUGGAAACUUUUUUUCCACUGCGCACCACCCAACCUCAAAAUCUAAAUGAUCGUAUUUUGUGUAUUAGAAUACCUUUAAAAUUACGACACUUUGUUCAAAUUUAUUUGAAACGGGAUGUCGUAUACCACUUACAUCAGUGGAGUGGACAACUCAUUCAACAAUAAAAUCCGGGACUUAGACGGGCCAAUUUAUGGAAAAGAUGCAAGAGUUUACCAAAUUGAGCGACAUUGAAAGUGAAUAUAAUGCACAAAAGUCAAAGGGGGAACCACUCAUACUUAUAAAUUUAGCCAUCGACAAAUAUUUCGAUUCGUUUUAGUUUUUCGUUAUCAAUUAAUUGUAUAUAAUUUUGUAUUAAUAGUAAGGGUUAAUAACAUUUUUAUAGAAACAUUCUAGUUGUACCUUGGGGGGAAUGACCCAUGAUUGAUGCUUACGUGUCAUGAUAAAUAUCAUGAUAUAUUUUAGUUUUUAGUUUUUUAAUUACAUAUAUGCUUACGUGGACUUACAGUUUUUUAUUUAUGAAUUAUUUCUAUUUUCAUGUGAAAAUUUAUUUUCUUUUUCAUUUAUUUUAAUCAUAACAAUUAUCAAAACUACUUUAAGAAAGUUCUAAAAUUUUGUCAACAAUGAAAUUCUCAUACGGAUUUGGCAAGGAACUUUGAAAGGAGAUUUGAAAGCGUGAACCACAACCAUAGAUAGGAAGAAGGAGAAUUAGGGUUCAACAUAGUUUGAACCGUGUUUAUGUUUAUGUUAGGGACCGAUUCGGGCUAGACCCAAUCUAGGUUCGGUUGAUCCACUAACCAUUAGUUUUUUUUUUAAAUUAUUUUGUGAGUAUACCAUUUGUUGUUUGGCCUUACCUAUUUGUGACUUGGGCAAACCCCACUUUAGGAGCCAUCUUGUCUUAUUUAUUUAUUUAUUUUUGUCUUUUCCUCAACCUUUUUUAUUGCAUUAAUAUUUUAGUAAAAGAAUAUAUAAAAAACAUAAACUUUUUCAUGAAAAAAAAGGUGGUUUACAAUUUUAUAAUAAUUGAUUUUUAUUGUUAUUUCAAUUUUUUUAUCAAUAAAUAAAUAAAAGUAGACAAAAUUUGUUUGAUGCGUGCCUUAGGGUUUCUUUUUCCUAUCAAGCUAUAUCUCAAAAGAAGAAUAUUUCUUUAAGAAUUAUUCCUUUUUUUAAAAAUAAAUUUGAUUCCAUUAUGGUUUGAUUUGUUUGAUCUUUAUUGAUUGUGUGAAUGCUUGUAUUGUUCAUACUUGAUCCAUGAUUUAUGUAACCUUUCACUUAGACCUUCGAUUGUUAGUAAGAUAAAAGUAAAUGUGCAAUAAAAUCAACCUUUUAAAAUAAGAUUCAAACACUCUAUCGAUAUGAAUUUGGUUUUAAAAAGAUCUCACUAUUUUCACCAUCCAUUCAAAGUUAAUUUCAAGUCAUCUCACAAAUUAUUUUCAUGCUAACACGAAUAAACCCUCGAUCAACAUCGAGUUUCUUUUUUGCUUAUUAAAAACUUGAAAAUCAUUUUCAUAAUAAAUCAGUUGAAAAAGGAAUGGGAGGCGCACACAUCUCUACUCCUCGAAUAAGUGAGUGAUUGGUAGACUCCAUAUUGCUCUAACUUUCAUCUUCCGAAUAAAAUAUCCUAAAUAAACAUGGAUGAAAAAGGAAGAGAGGCGCACACAUCUCUACUCCUCGAAUAAGCAAGUGGAAGACACACACCUCGCUACUGCGAAUAUUUUUUCUUCCGCAAAUAAUUUUCAAAAUAUUAAAAUCAAACAAAAAAGGAAUGGGAGGCGCACAACUUGUUGCUCCUCGAAUAAGUGAGUGAUUGGUGCGCGCCAUAUUGCUCGAGCUUUCAUCGUCUUCCUACAAAACACUAAACCAAUCAAACCUAUUUUCUCGCCCCCUUCGUUCAUCCCAAGACGAUGUAAACACGCUUCAUUUCUACCAUGCGCAAGAAGUUAUAACUCUUUUCGCUCGAAUGUGACGAGAACAAAUUUGUGAGAAUCUGGAUUAUGUUAUUCAUUCUAAUGUGAUGCCAAUGUUCACUUCUCCAUGUUUUUAGUAGCAAAUAAUGUUUUCGCUCGAAUGCGACUAAGUACCUUUCGUAAAAACUGAUCAACAAACAAAAAAUUUCUACCCAGAACUACGUAGCCUUGAGUUUUUCAUCGCACCUGAGAUAUGUAGAAGCGAGACCCGUAAUCUCGUCAGGCACAUUAAUAAAAGAAAACAUUUUGCGACCCAUUUUGUUUUCUCUUUACACUUUUGACCACUCGAAGAAAACAUAUGACAUAAGCUAAAAUUUCAACCACAAAUCUAACUAAAUGGUUCCCGUUGAGUGUAACAGAUGUGAGGGGUGUUAAUCCCUUCCCCUCGCAUAAUCGACUCCCAAACCUGAAUUUGAUUGUGACAAACAUUUUCUUUUUCUUUUAAGGAUUUUAUCAAUAUUUCCCCUCCUUUUUGGAAUAAAUCAAUUUUGAUGGUGACUCUGUUAUCUUGACCAUGCAAGCGCUCAUGGUCAUUUUUCGCGUCGCGACACUACUGUACAAUAGUUAUCUGUAUCAAAAACUAAAAUAUUUGUGUCUGUAUCUUGUUGUCUAGGAUUGUUGGAAACGAGAAGGAUGGAAAAAUAAAGUGUGUUUAUUUUUCUAUGUUGUAAAAUCACAAGGUGGUUUUUCUUGGUGAUUAAGUUAGAAUCUUGUGUAUAGAAUCUAGGUUUAGGCUUGUACAAAAUAAUAACAAUAUUGAAAUCUCUUAUAGUGUCUAAGGGGACUGACAUACUCUCAGAUUGUGAUGGGAACUAGUAUGAUUUUCGAUGUUAUUUACUUUAUGCACUUUACUGCUUUCACCACCUAACCAUAAACCAAAAAAUAAAGAAACAUUCAUCUCUAAAAACAAUGUACUUACAGCGAGAGCAUGAUAUUCCGCUUCAGUACAUGAACAAGACACAAAAUUUUGUUUCUUUAAGCGCUAUGAAAUCAAGGAGUUACCCCAUAACACAUAAAUGCUAGUGUAUAUUUCCUAGUAUCCAGACAACGUGCCCAGUCGAAGUCAGCAAAACCAUGCAGCUUUAAGGAAUUAUUGCUGGCAAAAAAAUGCCUCGAGUAGGAAAUGCCUUCAGAUACUUCAAAACUCGAGUGGCUUCCUAACGGUGAGGAACCAAGGGGUUAGCCACAUAUUGGCUAAGGUGACGGACAAUAAAAGAAAUACUUGGCCGUGUGUUUGUAAGGUAAAGUAGCCUGCUAAUUAAUUUACAAUAUGAAGAAGGGUCCUCUAAAGGAGUACCUUCACUAGAUGAGAGCUUCAUGUGAGGAUCAAUAGGUGUGGAGACAAGCUAAGCCCCAAGAAAACCAGUGUCCUCAAGCAGCUAGAGCAUGUAUGUUCUCUGGCUGAGAAAGAUACCAGAAGUAGAACGUGCAAUUUUGAGGCCCAAGAAGUACCUUAGUUGACUGAGAUCUUUAAUGCAAAAUUGUUGAUGCAGGAAAGACUUUACUUGUUUAUUCCACAAUCGAGUCGCUUGUCAAGACAAUAUCAUCAAUGCACACUGAUAAGGAAGUGAAACCAUGAGGUGUGAUCUUGGUGUAUAAUGAGUGACCAACAACAGAUUGAGAGUAGCCUAAUGAAAUGAGAGCUGAAGAAAGCUUAGAAUGCCAUUGUCGACUGACCUGUUUCAGUCCAUACAAUGAUUUUUUUAAGUGUACAAACCUUGUUGGAUUCAAGAUUACCAUAGCCAAGAGGAAGAGACAUAUAUACUUCUUUAUUUAGGUCUCCAUGAAGGAAGGAGUUUUUAACGUCCAGUUGCUCAAGGUGCCAGUGUUUGACAGCUGCAAGAGAUAAAAGAACACGAACAAUAGUAAUUUUGGCAAUUGGGAAAAAAGUAUCAAAGUAAACUACAUGUUCUAAUUGAGUGUAACCCUUGGCUACCAACCGGUCCUUGCAUAUAUCAAUAGAGCCAUUGGCAUGGUACUUGACUUUGUAUAUCCAUUUACAACCAACUGGAGUUUUGCCUAGAGGAAGGUCCACAAUGGUCCAAGUUUGAUUGUCCUUAAGAGAUGCAAUUUCAGUAUCCAUGGCCUACUUCCAACAGUCAUGUUUAGAGGUAUGAAGAUAGGUUUUUGGUUUAAAUAUGGAUGAAAUAGAGCAACAAAAGGAUUUGUAAGUUGGAGAGCAUUUUUUAUAUGAUAUAAAGUUGGAGAUAUGGAAGGUAGUGGAAGAGGAGUUAUUUAUAGAGGCAUAUCUAUUUGAUGAAAGAAAGAGAUUACAAUAAUAGUCUUUGAGAAAACUAUGAGGGUGUUUGGUUCUCAUUGAUUUUUGAGUUAGUAGUGUGGAUUGGUUUUGGGGAAUGUCUGAGGGAGGGUUAGAAUUAUGUGGAUACAUGUUAUCAACUAAGGUAUCAUGAAGGAUGUUGGGUUCAAAGUCAAUAACACUAGGAUCUUGGGUACUUGGUGAUGGAUUAAAAGUAGUUUGAUAUGGACUUGAGGUACUAGAGUCAAUCAAAGUAGGUUGAUUGAGACUUGGAAGGUUAGGGAUAAGUCCUGUUUCAGAAGUAAUAGGAUAAUCAUAAGAAUUUGUGACUGGUGUGACAACAGUAGAAGGAGUGGACAUAUGAGGCUCAGGGGUCAGAGUGAGGGCCUGAGGUGUAACAUAGUCAAUGUCAUAGGUGAUGUCCAUCAAGCUAUGAAUAUAAGUAGGGAGAUUUGUGGCAUUACUUUUGAAUGGAAAGGUGGUUUCAUAAAAGAAAACAUUUAGAGAUAUGAAUAAGUUAUGAGACUGAAGGUCAUAGAGAAUAUAACCUUUAGUACCAUCUUUGAAACCAAGGAGAAUGGCUUUUCUAGCCCUACCAUUGAAUUUUGUUAUGUGGGUCUGUAAAGUUGUUGAAAAACAUAAACAAACAAAGACUUUCAAAUGAACAAUAAUAUAUUAAGUUUUGAAAAAGCAACUCGUAUGGAGAUUUUGACUGAAGUUGAGGACUAGGGAUCCUAUUAGUCUUGUGGACAACAUGUUGAAUACUGAAGUUCCAUAGGUUUAAAGGAAUAUGUGUUAAUGUUUUCUCUCAACCACCCCAUUUUGCUGUUUUUGUUAUAGUGGUGGUGGUGGUGUGUGUGUGGCGGGGGGGGGGGUGUUCUACACAAGAUUUAUGGCGACUUAUGCCUUUGGAAGGGAAAAAGGAACUAAGAGUUAGGAACUUUGAACCCUUAUAUGACCUAAAGCAUUUAAGAGUGGUUUUGAAUUUAUUUCCUAUUGAGGCAAUAAAAUGUAUUACACUUUGUUUUGUUUCAGAUUUUUCCUUAAUAAAAUGACCCAUGUAAACCUUGAAAAUCCAUCAAUAAGAGUUAAGAAAUAUUUAUAGCCUAAAAUAGAAUCAGUAGAAAAGGGCCCCCAUAAAUCAACAUGUAAAAGUUCAAAUGGAGCAUGAGUAUGAGUAAGACUAUUUAGAAAGGGGAAUUUCUUUUGUUUUGCAAAAUGAAACGAAUCACAAGGGUUCAUGUUAUUUUUACAAGGGAUGGGGGGAAAAUGUUUAGCCAUAGUUUUCAUACUGAAAUUAGAAAGGUGGCCUAGUCUUAGAUGCCAAAGUUCAAAGGAAUUAGAAAUAACAUAAUUACUAGUGGAAUAAACAUCACUAAUAUCUAUCACAUAGAGGCCUCUGUGCCAUUUAGUUGUACCAAGCAUUUGCUUUGGAUGGUUCUGCAAAAUAUGACACAAGUUUGAAGAAAAUUUCAGAUAGCAAUCAAUAUUGCUAGUCAAUUUUGUGACUAAGAUUAAAUUAACAUGAAAGUUAGGAAUAUAGUGAAAAUUGUAAAGAGUUAAGGAAAGGGAAAUGACAAUGUUUCUAGAUAUGCAGGCAGUCAUGUGAGAUUCAUUUGGUAAGGAGAUUAAGCUAUUGAUUAACUUAACUCACAAAGAAAGAGUCGCCACAACGCUUUUAUUAUUUCCAAAGAAAAUAGAAAAAGAACGAACCAAACCCAAAGAAGUUUAAAAAAAACUAAUAAAAACAAAGAUAAGGGUCCAGGGGUUGGUUAUGUACAGGGAAGAUACUAGCACCCUAAGCAUCUAUAGUACUCUACAGGAACAUCUUUGAAAAUAUGUGCAUUUAGAUUUAAAAUGGUGUUGUUUACAAAAGAUUAGGGAGAUGAAAAGAGAUUUUUUUUUUAUAAUUUUUGUGUUUGCCAAGACUUUCUGAACCUCGUGCCUACGUACCCAUAAAGUGCAAUGGCGAAUCAAAACCUCGUAGUUCGUGGUAAAAAUAACAAAGAUGUUUGCUUUGAUUCAUUUUUAAUGAAUUUUUUUUUGUCAUUUUAAGAAGAACAUUCAACUAGCCAUCCACAAGUAUGGGAACUUUGCAUCACCAUGAGAAGGACUCUAACUUGGAUAAAUAUCAACUAGCUCUCUUAUAUAGAAAAGAAUUAUUAUCAAUACUAUGGGGAUAGAAAAAUUAUAUAUCAACUAUGGAAAUGACUCGUGUCUAAACUUUGAGAAAAAAGUUUUAAAAAGGAAAAAAAAAAGUGCACAAAGGGCACAAAAAGGUUUGAAUGAGUUAUGCAUUUUUAGUUUUUUGAAAUUGGUUUGAAUAUGAUUAAGAUGUAUUAGAAUUUAUUAAUAAAAGAUUUUGAAAAGAAAUCACUUGAAAAAAGUCAAGGUUUAUUGAGGAAGUAGUUCAAGUUUGAAAACAAGAAUGUUUUGAAAAAAAGAGAGAAGAUUUUGAAAAUCAAAGAAGGGGAGGAGAGGAAGAGAUUAUCCUAGAACAUAAAGUAAAAGCUAUGGAGGAAAGAUCCAACCAAGAGAUAACAACAAGAAUUCACUCCUUUGGAUUAAGCCUUAAGCAAGUCAAAUAAGCAAAGAAUAUUCCAUGUAUCAGAUGAAACCAAAGUAGCCAAGCAAAAUCUUCAAAAGAAUCUCAAAGUCAAAGGUAGCAGAUGAAUCUCAAGGUCUCAAAUCAGAAACUCCCAAAAGAUAAACAAGUAUGCCACUAGUUCUCUUAGAUGGAAAAUAAUUAUCAUCAAUACUAUGGGUAUAGAAUAAUUACAUCUCAACUAUGGAAAUGACUCAUGUCUAAACUUUGAGAAAAAGUUUUAAAAGAAAAAGUGCACAAAGGGCACAAAAUAGUUUGAAUGAGUAAUGUAUUUUUUAAGUCUUUUGAAAUUGGUUUAAAUGUGCUUAAUAUUUAUUAGCAUUUAUUAAGAAAAUAUUUUGAAAAUCACUUGACAAAAGUCAAGGUUUAUUGAGAAAGUGAUUCAAGUUUGAAAACAAGAAGGUUCUUGAAAAAAAAAGAGAAGAUUUUGAAAAUUAAAGAAGGGGAGGAGCUAAGAAGAUUAUCCUAAAACAUAAAGUAAAAGUUAGGGUGAAAAAUCUAACUAAGAGAUAGCAAGCUUUAUGACAUGUGUUAAGUAAGAACACUCUCCUUUGGAUUAAGCUUCAAGCAAGUCAAACAAGCAAAGAAAAAUCCAUGUGUCAGAUGAAACCAAAGUAACCAAGGAAAUUAUUUAAAGUAAUCCCAAAGUCAAAGGUACCAGAUGAAUCCCAAGGUCUCAAACUAUAAACUCCCAAACAAGGGUCAAAAUUCUAGUUCUAACUCCGUAACUCCAUAAUAAUCCCAAUGAUAGUAACCUCAAGUCCAUGAAUUAAGAGAACCAAUUUUUAGGGGUUUUUUCCUUUAUUAAUGUAUUUAAAAGAAAAAGAAGUCUAAAUGGACAAAGAAAAAAAGGCAUAAACAUAAACAAAGGUCCAAGUGGACAAAUAGAAAAUAGCAUAAAUACAAACAAUAUGAUAUGCGAUGCUAAAAUAAAAUCAUAAAGUUAAUAACAAGAAAUAAAUGGCAAAAAAAUAAAGAGCAUAAGAUAAAUGGCAUUAAAGUAAAUUUAAUAUAAUAAUAUGUUAGUAAGUUGUGUUAGUAAUAAAAAAUUGAAAGAUAAUUUAUCAUUUUUGGGAGAAUACUCAACUAUUCGCCCACAAGUAUGAAAAUGUGGACCUCUACAUCACCAUGAGAAAGACUCCAACUUGGAUAAAAUCAAUAAGUAUGCCACUAGUUUUAUUAGGUGAAAAGGAAACAAUAUUUUUCACACAAUACCAUGGGGAGUAGGAGACUUACAAUCUCACUUAUGAAAAUGACUUACUUUCGGAUUCAGGAUAAAUUUAACGUUAUGUUAAGCAAUCGUAAUUGGACUCAUGUUGAAGUCACAACUAUCUGAGCCCGGUCAAUAAUAAUAUUUAUGUUAAUACAUGCUAGAGAAAUUAUAUGUAAAUCAUUCUCCUAAAGAUAUGCCACACAAAAAAAGGAUGGAUCAAGCACAAAUGUUAAGAGAGUUGUUCAUUACAUCAAUCAAUACUUCAUGAUACUUAGGACAAGCUUAUGCAUCAAUCUAAAGUACCUUAAAUAUUCUAUGAUCAAUUAGGAGGUAGAUUUGAAGUGAUGAAAGUUCAUCAAGUACCAAUUCAUACAUCAUAAACAAGAUGAACACAAACCAUCCAAUUGAUCAAGAGAAAAAAGGAAGCGAAAGAGAUUAAGAAGAAGAAGAAGACGAGAGAAACCAAACUCAAAUUGGAUCAAAGGAUUGAUCAAGUCAUCAUCAAAAUCAAUCAUCCAUCUUGGUAGAUUUGGGUUUUCACCCCAUCAACACCGAAGAUCCAUUGAAUUUGAUGAGAUUUAUGAUCAAAAUAGCCAAGAUCCAAGGUCAACAGAAGUCAACAAAGGUCAAACAAGCAUAAAAUGAAAGAAAAUAAAAUAAAAUGCAUCAAAAAUAUUUUUUAAAUGAAUUUUAAAAGGCAAAUAAAACAAAAAAUUCCAUAAAACCCUUUAAAAUACCAAAUAAAUGGCCAAGAAAAUUAUGGAAGGUUGAAGAUAAAAUAAGGAACAUAAAAUAAAUUUUUCAAAUAUUUUUAAUGCAUAAAAGUAUUUUUAAACUAAUUAAAAAAAGGGGAAAAAGAGGAAAUCCAAGAAAAUAAAAUAUGGAAAAAUAAAAAUCAGAUGAAGAAAAAAAAAAGAAAAUUUUAGAAAAUAUUUUGGGAUUUUUUGGAUAAAAAAUGAAUUUUCUAUAAAUUUUUAAAGAAAAUGCAAUUUAAAAUAAAAAAUAAAAAGAAAUAAAAAACAGAAAAAAAUAGAGGCAUUGGAUCUGACCUCAUUAAUUGACGUGGCAAAUCCAACAACUAUCAGGCUAGGGCGCAUGGUGGAAAAUAGUUAGAAUAAAACAUGGAAUCACAUUCAAAAUGGACCAAUCAAAACAUUUCAAAAUGCCAACGUGGAUAGCCAACUCAGAUGGCCUGAAACAAAUCCAUUCAUCUUCUUCGGUAAUCCCUCAUCGGAGUUUCAUCAUUUGACAAAGUAAGAACAUGAGACUACCACCAAUGUGAUCGUCUCCUCAUCACGAAUUCAACCUAAUGCUCAAAAUUAAUUUAUCUAAAUUGAGUAUGGAGAAUUUCAGAGAAGUUUUAGAAACAAGCAAGUCACAAAAAGUAAAAUUAAAUGAUGAACAUUAUCACUCAACACCAGAUAAGUUAGGGGAAAGCAUAAGAGGGUGAAGGACUACAUUGUGGUAACUCGUUUGAGUUCAAAUGAUGCUCAAAACUACCUUGUCCAAAUGUAGAUCGGAGGUUGAAGAAGCUUGAUCUGGUCAGGGCACUUCAGAAGGUCUUACAGAUUGAGAAUUAUUGCAAAAUCUUCAUAGGAGACUGAAAGUUUUAAUUGAAUCAAGAAAUUGAACUGAAACAAGCUAGAAAUCAAACACGAUAGCUCAAUUUUCUAGAAAUGUUUAAUAGUGGAGCAGGGGUUUUUUAGCUCUCCAAAGCUUGGGAAUAAGGCAAAUAUAUUGCUCUAUUUAUAGGGAAGUGAUUGGUGAUCUCAUACGUGCCAAAUGAUGCUUAAUUCGUGCAAAACAAAUUUGCUCAUGAUGUGAGAAAAGUGUGACUUGUAAAACCAUCAAAACUCAGCCAAAUUAUGCAUUAAAUGAUUCAUUUAACUUUUGAAGACUUGAUUAAUCAUGUUUAGGUCCAAAACGUGUGGUAAAUUGGCUUGUAAUUAAGGAUUAGUGAAGUUCAAAAUUCUGAACAUGGUGAUUUCUUCAGUUCCAAGUUACCAUGUUUAAUUCAAUGGGGCAUCUUGCCUAGGAGGCUUUUUGAUCUCAUUUUUCUUGCAAUUUUUGGACAUCAUAUCAAAGAUUACAAUGUGCCAAGAAAGGUUGCAUUUGGAUGCUUGAGCAGAAGUUUAUGGCAUGUUAAAGUUGGCACAAAAAUUUGGUUAUGCAACUUGGAAAAUUCUAAGUCCCAGAUGGCUAAAAAUGACCCAUAAUGUCUCAAAGAAUUCCAUGGUCUUCCAAGCAUAAUUUGACUUUGAUCCUUGAAGAAAACUUGUAGAGGGCAUCACAAAUGAUAUUAUUCAAAAAGAAUCAGCGUCAAAUGUUGGAAAUUGAAGAAGUUAUAAUCCUUGAAAGUUGAGAAAAAGUCACUUGAAAAUAGGUCAAAUUUCACUAGGUCCACAAAUGACCUAUAAUGUCUUCAAACUUUUGAUGAUCCUCCAUGCAUAAUUGGAUCUUGUAAUGUAAAGAGAAGUUAUAGAGGAUAUUUAGAAGAGUCAUAUGCAAAAAGAAACAUUCAAAAAUAUUGAGGAUUGAAGGAAUUGUGAACCUUGGAACUUUGACUUCAAAUGUUGAAUUUUUGGUCAAACCUCUUGGAAUAAACUUGUGUACUUGGACUUUUAUUGCAUUUCAAGGUACAUGGAUGAUCAUAUGAACUAAAAAUAAGGUGUCCUUAAAUUUAUUUUUAUUAAAUUUCUUAAAGUUUGAGGUAACAUAUUGAAGAAGGCAUGGAAAUAAACACAUGAACCUUUGCCUUUUCUUGAGACCGAUUAUCCACUUUUGUGUAACCGAUUACAAGCGCAAUAUUUUGAUUUUUCCUGCUAUUUUACUUGGUCAAUUCAGUUCCCAAUUGUGUUGUAUCUCUUGUAUAAGUGUUUAGAAUGCACACUCAUCUAAGGUUAAUGCAAUAAUAAUCUCUCACCCUUAAUUCUCCUCUUUCACACUCUACAUCCAAAGUAUCUCCACCAUUGUUCAUCAAACUUGUUGUGUCUUGUUCCAACAUUUGACAUCAAGAGUCUGGUUCAGAUCCACAAACACCUAGUGUGCAACAUGAAUUAUGUUUCCAAUGAAAGAAUCCCUGCAAACCUACAUAUCCUUGAUGCGAAGAAUUAUGAUAAAUGGUGCAAGAAAAUGAAGAUGUUGUUUGGCUACCAAAAUGUUCUUAAAGUAAUCAAGAAUGGUGUUAGCCCUCUUGUUCAAAAUGCAACAGAGGUGCAAAAAGAAACACAUAAGAAAGAGAAGAAGAAAUACUUCAAAGUGUUAUUCUUGAUCCAUCAAUGUGUUGAUGGCGACAAUUUUAAGAAAGUUGGUGAUUGCGAAUCGUCAAAGCAAGUGUGAGAGAUCUUAGAAAAGACAUGUGGAUGGGUUGACAAGGAAAAGGUGGCGAGGUUACAAACUUACAAACACCAGUUUGAAUUGAUUCAAAUGGAGGAAAAGGAGACAAUAAACUAUUUUGCAAUGAGAAUCACCCGGUUGGUGAAUCAAGUGAAGGCAUGCAAAGAAACUGUUACAAAGCAGUAUGUUGUCGCUAAAUCUUGCAUUCUUUAACACUAAGAUUUGACAAUAUAGUUGUGGCGAUUGAGGAGUCAAAGGAUCUCACGAUGAUGAGUAAAGAGAAGCUGCAAAGUUCUCUCGAGGCUCAUGAUAAAAGGAUGGAAGAGAGGAAUAACGUUAAGGCAAAGGCGGAGAUCGCUUUGCAAGCUCGUUUCAAUGAGAAGGACAAGAGAUCGAAAGGAAAAUGGCCCAAGAAAAGAAAAGGGAAUUUUCAUAAUUUUGGUGGAAGAGAGUCCUAAAAUUCAAAUAAUUUUACUUGUCAAAGGGGUGAGAGCAUCUUCAACAAACAUGGUGGUCAAGGCAACUUUAGAGGUAGAAGGAAGAGGUUUGACAAGAGCAAGGAGUAGUGCUAUAAGUAUCAAUGGUUUGGCCAGUUUGCAAAAGAAUGCAAUUUGAACAAGAAGGAAUCUCAAGGGGAUGAAGCCAAGGUUGCAAGAUAAGAGUUUGAUAAAGAGAAUACAUUUUUGGUCAUGAUCAAAGAAGGGAAUUGUAGCAGCAAACAACUGCGGGACAACAACUACAACAACUCAACGAAUGCUGAAUAGGUUGGUUGAAUGAUACGAUUAACCAAUUGCAUGAAGAGGAAGACGCCAUGAUGAGUUUGAAAGGAGUUCAAUGCAGUGAGGAGUGGUAUUUGGACUUGGUUUGUUCAACUCAUAUAACGGGAAUAAAGGAUUGGUGUGCCAAAAUCAAUUGUGCCAUGAAGAACAAAGUAAAGUUCGCGGAUGACACCACUCUAAUAUUCAAUGGGAUCAGUGAUGUUUUAAUCAUGAGAAGGGAUAAUGGACAUUCCUUGACCAUAAAUUCUUGUACAUUUAGGGAAUCAAAUGUAACCUUCUGAGUAUUGGCCAAUUUCUUGAGAAGGGUUAUAAGAUUCACAUGGAAGACAAGGGGUUGCGGGUUAUGGAUGUAAGAUGAGUCUUGGUCCUUAAAGCGCAUAUGGAUGCCAAUAAAACCUUUAAGGUUGAGUUGAAGGUUAUAGAGCAUAAAUAUCUUGCUACUGUAACAAGUAGACAAUAUUGGAUUUGGCACUAUCGUCUUAGGUAUCUCAACUUUAGAGAUUUCAAAGACUUUCAAAAGAACAGAAUGGUAACGGGGCUGCCAUCGAUCAACAUACUAGCUGAAAUUUAUGAAGAAUGUAUGCAAGCGAAGCAACAUAUGGGAAAAUUAAGAAAGUAGAUUCUAUUGGUGGCAAUAUGUAUUUUUUCACAUUUAUCGAUGAUCAUAGUACGAAGCUAUGGACAUACCUAAUCAAGAGAAAUGACGAUGUAUUUGAUGAUUGUUUGUCAUUGCAUAUAUUUAAUCGAAGAAUCAAAGAAAAAUAAGUGAAAUUUGAGAUAAAAUGAAGAAGAAUGAGGAAAAAAUAGCUAAGUGUGAAAAUUGUGGACUUAUUGAAAAUUUGAGUGAAAAGGGGAGCAAAACCGUGCAACCACGGGAAUAAUCACGCGCACCAUCACAUAGCAUCGUGCACGCGAUGGGGUCUUUAAAGCAGCAUUACACGCGCGAUACAAGGAAUCACGCGCGUGAUAAGUACUUUUUAUGGGCUUUUUAGACACGUUCUAGUCCAUUCUAACGCCUUUAAAAGAGGAUUUUCUGCACUUUCACAAGGGUUACAAAAUUGGGAGAUCUAGGCACGAUUUUGAGAGCACAAGUGGUGAUUUUUAUAGCAUUGGAAGCUAUUGGAGGCCAUUACUUCAACGUAUUUCACAUGUUAUUUUCAUCUAUCAAUUAUGGCAUUUUUAAUUGCAUUAUGAGUAGCUAAGCUCUUUUAUAUUAGGUUGUGUUAUGAUGAACCUAUUUCUAUAUUGUUGGAAUCUAUGUUGAUUUAACCAUUCUAAGAACCGUUUGAACUAUAAUUCCAUUCAAUUGCUUUUUGUUCAUAAUUCCUUUUAUGUGAGAUACUCUUUUAAUCUGAUUUUGGGCACAUAGGGAAUAUUGACUAUUAGUCUAUGUGUUGGACCUAGGGAAAUUGUUGUACUUACGCUGGUUGAAUAGGAAUAGGAGACCCUGAGUAGUGGCAUAGAGAAUUAAUGUUUUAUACAUCACCUAACCUUGCUUACGCUGGCAGACUAGGGAUAGAAAGCUCUGAGUAGUGGUUAGUGAGUUAUUUCGCGAGGGAUCAGCUAUAACGGUUUUGUUAAUUCGAUGUGGUGUUAUAGUGAUAAGACCAUUCGUAAAAGAUAUAAAACAUCAACAAUAGAGGAAUAGGGGAUUCUAGAACACAAUAUGCUCGUUUUCGUGAUAUUGUUUAAUUGUUUAUUUACUUUUCGCACUGAAACUCGAAAACCCCCCUUUUUACUAGUUUUCUAUAAAUUGCACACAUUUUGUCUUGCCUGAAGGAAAUUCAUGUGGAUUCGAUCUUUUUAUUACUUCGACAAUAUCAAUACACUUAUCGAGAAAUCAUUAAGUUUUUGGCGUCGUUGCCAGGGACUGUUGAUUUUUCAACAAGGCGAUGUUUGUGCAAUUUUUAUUUUUAUUUUUUUAGUCUUUUAGUUUUUUUUUUCUUUUUCUUGUUUAUCAUAGUGCUAUUGAGGUAUUUUUUGUUUGUGUAUGCACAAUUUAGGAUCAACAUUAAUACCAUUGGUUCUAGAAAUUGAAAGAACUACACGUGCUCUCAGAAAAGCAGUUAGAGAAGCAGCUCUGAAAGGAGGAAUACUAGAAGAAGAGCAACUAUCAAAUUCUUCUGACUCUGAAGAAGAAGCUGUAAUGGAAGCUGCACAACCCCUAACUAUGGGGCAUUAUUAUAAAUUAACCGAUGAAGGACACUUAUCAAGAGGGUUUGUGCUGGUAGACCCUGCUAACUUUGAUAUUAAAAAUUAUGUGCUUUAAGGUUUGAGAGAAAAUUCGUUUGAUGGGAACACGAUUAGAGACCCAUGGGUGCAUCUUACACACUUUUAUGAAAUAACUUAAAUGUGCAAACCAACUGAUGCCACUGAAGAGCAGGUUAAAUUGAGGUUGUUUGGGUUCUCACUAAUUGGAAGGGAGAAAGAUUGGUUACUUUGCCUUCCGAAUAAAACGAUACAUACUUGGAAGGAAUUAAAGGAUAAAUUCCUCGAAAUAUUUUUCAUUACUACUCAGUUUACCGAGCGCUAAGCAGAAAUUGUGAAUUUUGUGCAGCAGGAAACUGAGUCACUUUAUGACUCUUGAGAAAGAUUCAAAUUUUUGUUACGCAGAUGCCUGAAUCACAACAUGAAUAAUAUGGUGCAGAUGUAAAACUUCAUUAAAGGUCUCAAGAGUCAAACUCACAUGUUAUUGGAUGCUUCUACGAGAGGUACUAUCUGAAAAAUGAAUGAACCACGGGUAAAAGAUCUCAUUAAGAAGAUGUGUAUGAAGGAGUACCGAUCCAAGAAUGAAAGGUCGGUCAAGAUGGGAAUUGUGGGCACGCCUAAAGGUAUGUUACCUAUUGAUACCCACACUGCUCUUUUAGCUCAGAUUGAAUUAUUAAAUAAAAAUCUAGUUGGAAGCAGCUUAGUUAAAGCUAAUGUAGGCUAGGUACAAGCACUUGGGUGCGAUUUAUGUAGAAGAGAACAUGCGAAUGAAAGGUGUUCAUUGGAAGAGACAAGUGAGGAGGUCCAAUUUGCUAAUUUUUUAAAAAAUAACUUGUAUUCAAACACAUACAAUCUGGGUUGAAAAGACCAUCCAAAAUUCCGUUGGAAUAAUAAUCAAAAUUCAAAUGCUAACUAAGGGAUGCAACAAAGUCAACAAGCUCUGUUUCAAAGGAAUCCCAUCACAGUUGGUAGAGACCUCACAAAAUUUCAUUAAGGUCACUCAAAGUAGAUUUGAUAGGGUAAAGAAGACCCAUGAAUAAAUGAGUAGAAACUAGGAUGCGUCUAUCAAAAUUUUGGAGAUGAAGAUUGGUUAAUUAUCUAGAAAAGUAGCUACUUUGUCAAGCUCAAGUGGAGGAUUCACCAGUAACACCGUUGAUAACCAUAAGAAUGAUAACCCUAAAUAUAGGUUUAAGGGCAAUUACUGAAAAGGAUAAGGAUGAGAUAGUUAAACAAUGUGUGGUUAAGGCAUAUGAGGGUACCUGUAGCACCUCAAAUUUGCACCCCCCAUUCAUGCAUUCAUUUCAUUUUUUAGGUCAUUUAUCAUUCCAUAUUGCAUUGCAUUUUGGCAGUCAGCAUUGGCAUCAAGAGAUUCAUCAGUACAAAAGAGAAAGUUUUUUCUUGAGAUGAAGGCCAAAUGAUUAUACUAAAGAGCUUAUAUGAGCCCAGGUUCAUUUUGAAGCAAAGUUACCAAGUGGUAGAGGCCCAAACUCAUCAGUGCACUUCCAGGUCAUCUGAGGCCCAUACAAGUCAACUAUGCAGUCAACUAAGGGCUUUGAGUUGGGGAAAUGGUUUGAGACACUUCAUUCAUGUCCAAAAGAGGCUUUUUCAUCAUGUCAAACAUCUACCUUGAAGAUUUUGAAGUCAAAUCAAAAGUUUCCAAAAAUGGAAAGUGACCUGUAAUUCAAAGUUUCCAAAAAUGGCAAGUUUUUAGACCACAUUCAACUUGACUUUCCAACAUCAAAUAAGCUUCAAAUGAAUUUUUGGUCAACAUGAAAGUUGAAGAUAUUUCUCUCCUAUUUCCAAAAAGUCCAAGAGUAUGAGUAUCUGAUGAAUGGUUGAGAAGUUAUGAACAAAUGAUUGCAAAGUAUGCAUGGAACUUCAAAGUGCCAUAACUUUUGAUCCAAAACUCCAAAUUGAGCCACUCUUUUUGCAAAAUGCUUGUAUUGACCAAUAUUUUCCAAAUCAAACAUUGCAUUGCAUGAAAUUAACUCACAUGAUCAUUUGUCCAUGCAUGUAUAUUUUGGAGGGAAAAUGGAUAAUUCAAAUUCUAUUGAUCAUACAUGAAAAAUUCCUAUGCCAUUGUGAUCUUUGGAUGAUUUUAAGUGACUUUUAACCAUGCAUGUGCACUGUUCACGUGUAAAAUCUCCAUGCACCACACAUUUACCAUUUUUGCAUUACACCUCAUUUCUCAUUAAGUUUCCAUUAGCCAAGCCUAAUUGUGAUUAGCAUGAUAAUUAACAUGUGAUAUAAAUAGAUAAUCCUAACUGAAUUGGAUGAGAUUACACAUUCUAGAUCUAGAAAUUGGAUUUCCCUCCAAAAAUUCUCUCAAUUCAAACAUCAAAUUUCUACACAUAACUCAUGAAUUUUCUUGCAUAAUUGUGUUCAUCUUGCAUCAUUGAGUAAGAAUCAAGGCCUGGACUGAAGGAUUUGGUGCAGAGUCGAGCUCCACGAAUGCAUGAAAAUGAAGAAGGUUUUCUGAAUUUGAGCUUCAUUUAGGUAGUUUCAAUUGCUAUUCCUUCCAUAAAGCUUCACCUCAAGGUUGAUAGAGGAGACCUGGAGCUGGAGGAGGCUUGAAUCCACGAAAUCAUCGCACUGUUCUUCAAGAAGGUUAAAAUUUGAAUCUCAUUAUUUGCCAUUUUAUGCACAUGAUCUUGUAGGUCGUGCUCCACUGAUGAUUCUGAUAUGAAUAUUAUUGAUUUUGGCUGGAUAUUGAGUGAGUUAUGAUGAAUUAAAGUUUGUAUGCUAAAUUUGUUCUUGCUCGAUCCAUGAGAUAUGUGAUGAUUUAGAGUGAAUUAGGCAUGGAUUUGGAAUGUACGUUAUGCAAGCUUUCGAUCCAUAUCAUUUUUGCAUGAUUCUAGAAUUUUUUUGAUGCACCUUCAUCGGCGUACCACCGGAGAAGAUGACCGAAAGUACUAUUCCGGUCAUCUGGUUCAUGAGCUAGGGUUUUAAUGUGCGCACCUGUAACCAUGCAAGCCCCAGUUCGAUCCUUGGCAACUGUUAUUUUAAAAUCCAUUUAUUUUCUCCCUAUGAUCCAAACGUUGCGUUUUGCUCUAGCGCCCUUGUGAACAAGCCUUGCCUCUGUUCGAUUCUUGGCCUGGCAAUUAUCCCAAUUGAUUUUAUUGAGCGCGCCUAUGACCCUAUAGUCCUCAGUUCGAUUCAGGCGCUUUGCAUUUUUUCUUUUAUUUUCAAUUGAAGCGCUGCCUUGGACCUUUGUGUCCUGAGUUCAAUCCCUGACCAAGUAUUUUUCAUCUUUUAAUUCACAUUUCAUUUUUUCACAUGAUUGUUGUGAUGUCUAUUAUUUUUUGAUGUGAUUUUCCUAAUUUUUGUAUUUCUGGAAUUUUAAAUGUGUUUGUGUGAUUGAACAUGAUGCAAAUAUGACAUGUUAUGCUAAAUGUUUUAUGAAAUGCUCAUAUUUUAUCCAAUUGCCUUGAAAUUUGACAUGCUUGAUCUAUACAUGUGACAUGAUUUUUGAGCUUUUGUUUGGCAUUUUUAGCACAUUCCAUCACUGUUUGGGACACAUGAACAUAUGAUGUAGCAUUUGGUGUCACAUUCUUGACCUUGCUUGUGUUCAUUUUCAUUUGCAUGUCAUUUGAUAUCUUCUGGACCUAAUUCUUUGCAUGAUGCUUGUGUUUAAAAUUUUGAUCUCACAUAAAAAAUUUCAUGAUCAUUGGAUGCAUUUCUGUUUUAAUGUGGAUUUUCUACCUUUUUCUUGCCUUGUGUAGAUGAUGAAUAAGCACCACUGUUGAUUGACUGUUUGGUUUGUCUGAAUGUGAUAUUGACUGUUUGACUUUUGUACAGGUACAUUAGUCGCUUUUAGCUCUCGCUUGAGCUUUGCUUUGGUUGUGGUUGAUAUACCACCUAGGUAAUCACUCUAACUCCAUGUAGUCUGGAAGCCCUGUCGUUUCUUUUGGCAUGCAUUUGGUUGAAGUCCUCCUUAAGAGGCAAUGACUGUGUUUAUUUAUAUUUAUGCCAAAGACCUCCUUGUCGAGGCAUGUUACUUGUUAAGUCCUCCUAAGUGAAGAGGCAAUUGACAGAUGGAAAGGAUUAGCAAUCAAUCCCCUGUUAUUCGUUGAAUCGUUCAUUAUGCUCGCACUAUAUGCUGAUGCUCUUGAACCUAACCCAAGAUCCUUGUAUAUAGAGUCAGUCAAGUGGAAUAGGGUCCCUCUUUCUGGAUCCCCAGGUUUUCAUUGAUUUGAGCUCACCCAGGCCAGGGUUAAGAGCAUGAGGUCUUAUCCUCAUUACCUUUCAUCAGCUUCACCCUAACUCUCAAUGUUAGUGGUUAAGAGCUUCAGCACACCCCUACAGUUUUGGCUUGUUUGUCGAGGUUGAUAUGACCCCUUGACUAAAGCCUUACCCUCAGAUGUUUGAGCCCCUUGUUGGCGUGUUUACUUCAUGUAUAUGUUUUUGUGUGGUGUGAUUGUAUCCCCAUAGGAUUGCUAGACUUCGUAUAGUCUCUCGUUUGCAUGUCAAUUAAGGUAGCAUGGUUCCUUCGUCUAGGACUUCCUUUCUUGCGUGAGCAUUCCUAAAACACAAACAAACUUUAUCUUCUCUUAAGGACACGUUGACUCCUUCUACUACAGGUGAGUAAGUCUCCAAAGGUCGAGCAUCCAUCUAGGACUUCCUUUCUUGCGUGAGCAUUCCUAAAACACAAACAAACUUUAUCUUCUCUUAAGGACACGUUGACUCCUUCUACUACAGGUGAGUAAGUCUCCAAAGGUCGAGCAUCCGGUAGAUUGCAUAGUAACGUUGUUCACCUAAAAAACACAACAAACAGAAAUAGUUUAGCCGAACUACGACAACUCUGAUUCUCAUGUUCAGAUGAGAUACGUAGGCAUGAGAUGCGAUGUCUUGUCGAGUUUGACUGACGACUAACAUUAAUCCUUGCUAGUUUUCAUCCUCGUUGCGAUUCUUUUCUCUCGCCCUCGUUGCGAUUGAGACCUUCCUUUUCUCUUGCCCUAGUUGCAAUCGAGACCCUUCUUCUUUUCGUGUGUGUUUGUUAGGAGUCGGAUAUAAGUCCAUCUAUUGGCAUUCUGUUUCCUGUUUGCGUGUGUGUUUGUUAGGAGUUGGAUGUAAGUCCAUUUAUUGGCAUUCUGUUUCCUUGUGUGUUUGUUCGGAGUCGGAUGUAAGUCCAUCUAUUGGCACUCUGUUUCCUGUUUGUAUUUCCUUGUUAGGAGUUGGAUGUAAGUCCAUUUAUUGGCAUUCCGUUUCCUUUGAGUGUUCUUUUGACGUCUCAGCGUCUCUUUUCAGUGUUUUGUUUCGGCGUGCGUUAGCCGAGCUACGAGUGCUCUGAUUCUUCCUCUGGUUAGAGAAGAUACGUAUGCAUAGGAUGCGAUGUCCUAGCGAGCACGUCUCCCAUUUCCCCGAACUACGUCGACUCUGAUGUUUGUUUCUGACAAACUACGUAGGCCCAGGAUGCGACAUCCUGCCGAGUCUGCUUUCUCCGUCUCCUCUUCCGCCUGUUUAUUAUUCCAUUGCGUGCAGUCUUUGAGCAGUUUUAUUAGCAACCUUAUUCUUUCCUUCUGAGCGUGGAUCCCAUCGAGUACGACGGACGUGAGGGGUGCUAAUACCUUCCCCUUGCGUAACCGACUCCCGUACCUAGCAAUCUUUGUUCGUAAGACCAUUCCUUUCCCUUUUUCAGGUUUACUUCGAGGGUUUCCUUUCCCUCCUUUGGGAUAAAUAACGCACGGUGGCGGCUCUGUGUCUUUUCCCGCCGGUUGUUUUUCGCGAUGCGACAGUACCAAUCAAGGUGACCAAGAGGAAAGAGGAGUCACCAUUGAUCAACUUAUAGACAAAAAUUCUCCUUGGAGGAGAACAAAGAGGCAUAUCUUGACUGAACCAAAUCCUCCUUUACCAGAUUACGUAAAACCACCGUAGCCGAUAAUUAAAAAGAAAUUGGUUCAAGAUGAUGAAGCGGGAAUGUUUGCAAAGUUCAAGGAAGUUCUAGCUACUCUCCAGGAAAGUAUUUCAUUCCAUGAAAUUUUAGAACUAAUGCCUAAGUUUGUUAAAUUUAUGAAGGCGUUUCUAAAUGGGACGGAAGAGAAAUGAAUCAAGGAACAUGUAAACAUGACCGAAAAUGAUGAUAUGGUAAAACCUCAAUCCUUACAACCUAAACUAAAAGACUCAGGUAAGUUUAUUAUUUCUUGUAAUAUCAGUGGAUUCAAUAUUCUGCAUGCUCUAUGUGAUCUGGGGUUUAACAUAAAUGUCAUGCCACUGAAAACUGUCAAAGAAUUAAAAAUGGGUGAGAUCACACUGAAUAACAUGACUCUCACUCUAGUUGAAUCGUCUAUUACUCAAUCGAUUGUUACUUUACGCAACAUAUUAGUAUCUGUGGACGACUUAUUGUUUCCUAUAGAUGUUGUAGUGCAUGAUACAAAAGGAGAUUAAGGAGGAUCUGUUAUUCUUGGACGUCCAUUCUUGGCAACCGAGAAAGCAAAGAUUGAUGUGGACACUGGUCAACUUAUCUUGAAGUCAAAUAAAAGGAAUGUGGUUUUCAAGGUAUUUGACUGGGCAUCUUAUGUGGAUAAUUUGGAUACUUUAUACCAUCCGGAGGAAAAAGGUAGAAAAGUAGACAAAGGAACAAUGAGAAAGGAAGUGACAGGCGUGAGGGUAUCCCUUGCACCUGACGUACCUUAGACAUGGAUUGUCAAGCUAGUUACGUAAAAAAAGCGUCUGAUGGGAGGCAACCCAUCCGUAAGAAAUUAUUUUUAUGUCAUAGUGAAUUUUUAUUUUUCUAACCUUGUUAAUUUUUGUGUUAUGUUGUUCGAAGAGAAAAUAGGUAAAAGAAGAAAAGAAAGAAAAAGAAAAAGGGAAGAAAAUAGAAAAAGAAAAGAGAUAGGAAAGUUUCAGCCCCUGGAAUCAUCACGCAUGAUAAUAUAAACUAGUUAUUUACAAUAAAUUUUUUUGAUAUUUAUUUAAAGAAGCACAAUUAAUAUAAAGACAAUAACACACCAAUCACACAUAAUAAUUUUAGAAUAAUUAUACUCUAAGAUUUUGAGAGUCGUGAUAUCUCCUCUUCUUAAAUGUUUAAGAAUUGGAUCUCUCUCACUAAUCUCUAUCCCCUUAUUUAUUUUAAGAAUAAACAUAUUGAAUUAAUAAAACAUAAUUGCACAUUUCUUAUAGCGAUUAUACAAACAACUAUCAAAGUUGAAAAAACUAAAGAGAGGUCAACUCAAUCUUUAUCAAAUUAAAUUAAAGUUUAUUUUAAAACACAAACAACUAGUUCAUUAAAAAGAUAACUUGUUUAGUACACAAAUGAGAUCUUACUUAAUACAUAGAAAUAAGAUCUUACAAAACAUAGAUAUUAAAAACAUAGGAACAACAUGAAAAGUUUUCAAAAUGACAUAGACAUUGAUUAACAAAGACAUGAAUUAGUUUCGGGUAUUUUUUAACCAUCCAUCAAGGUAAACUUGUUUGGAGUCAGGGGUGAAUUUUUCUUUCUCGGCUCGGAUAUCUUUCAACCAUCCAUCAAGGUAAACCUGAUUGUUGUCUGAGGUGGAUUUUGUUGUCUCGGCUCGGAUAUCUUUCAACCAUCCAUCAAGGUAAACUUGGUUGGAGUCAGAGGGCAAUUUUAUUUUUUCAGCUCGAGUGUCUUUCAACCAACCAUCAAGAUAAACUUGUUUGGAAUCAGAGGUGGAUUUUGUUUUCUCUGCUCGGGUAUCUUUCAACCAUCCAUCAAGGUAUACUUGGUUGGAGUCAGGGGUGGAUUUUGUUCUCUCAUUUCGAGUAUCUUUCAACCAUCCAUCAAGGUAAACUUGGUUGGAGUCAGACAUGGUUUCUGUUUGCUUAGCUCGAGUAUUUUUUAACCAUCCAUCAAGGUAAACUUGGUUGGAGUCAGGGGUAGAUUUUUCUUUCUCAGCUCGGGUAUCUUUUAACCAUCCAUCAAGGUAAACUUGUUUGGAGUCAGAGGUGGGUUUUGUUUUCUCUGCUCGGGUAUCUUUCAACCAUCCAUCAAGGUAAACUUGAUUGGAGUUAGGCAUGGACUUUUCUUUCUCGGCUCUGGUAUCUUUCAACCAUCCAUCAAGGUAAACUUGGUUGGAUUCAGAGGUGGAUUUUGCUUUCUUUGCUCUGGUAUCUUUCAACCAUCCAUCAAGGUAAACUUGGUUGGAGUUAGGUAUUGACUUUUCUUUCUCAGCUCUGAUAUCUUUCAACCAUCCAUCAAGAUAAACUUGGUUGGUGUCACCUGUAGAUUUUGCUUUCUCAUCUCGAGUAUCUUUCAACCAUCCAUCAAGAUAAACUUGGUUGGAUUCAGAGGUGUCUUUUGCUUUCUUUGCUCUGGUAUCUUUCAACCAUCCAUCAAGAUAAACUUGAUCAGAGUCUUGGGAGGAUUUGGUUUUCUCUGCUCGUGUAUCUUUCAACCAUCCAUCAAGAUAAACUUGGUUAGAAUUAGCAAUUUGUUUUUGACUCUUCAAUGGAUUUUUGAGCCAACCAUCAAGGUAAGGUUGAUCAGCUUGUAUUUCUUCUACAUUCUCUUGCUGAAGUUUGAUAUAUCGGGCAAAGCUUCCUUGUCCAUUCUACGAUACAAUUGAAUAAAUGGAUAUUAGUGAGUUAUUUUUGGAUGGUAUAUAUGACUAUAAAAACAAAAUUAUGUGUUUUAUG
rnacentral:lncRNA from 1 species